rnacentral:lncRNA from 1 species
AAAAAUACGAAAUUCAAUAAAAAUUUAAAAAAAGAUUCAGCGGGUUGAAUUUGGUGCCCAAAAUUUCCAGAUCGAAAAUUCAAUAUAUAAGGACACUCCAGAUUUAAUUUCGUGAUUUUUGGAGAUCGGGAACACCUCGAACGAAGUUGUCAAGUUACUCCGCAGUUUUUCGGGUUUUCUGUUUUCAGCAAUUUUUAUUGAUUCUUAGCUGUAGGUUUUCAUUUGUUUGCUUUUUAUUCUCCUUUUACAAUAUCUAACACCUUCUUGUUUCUUGUGUUAGUAGGAUUUAAACGUGUGGACAAUCCUUCCUCGGUGCAACACGAAUCACUUGGUGUCUCGUCAGUUUUUGGCAUCCUAGUGCAAAUUAGGAUUCUUUGGUAGUUUGGUUCACACUCUCUAAUUGGUUGAUAUAAACUCUGAUAAAGAACUCACAAGAUUGAAUUCGACCUCAUUGAGAAUUUGAUUUUUCUUUUUGAGUGAUUAAUGGUGAGGUUUGCUAACUUUUAUUUUUGAGAGUUGAGUGUUUAUUUUUUACAGUUUUGAAGAUGUCUAAAGGUGAUAAUAAUGAUACACUUAUGAAAGUCCAACAACAGUUAGACGGACAUACUGCUGCAAUCACACAAAUAAAUGCUACACUUCAAGCAUUGAAUACUACUUUGAAUGAGGUACGAGUGAAUCAAAAACAUCAAUAUCGAGAUCCAAUUAAGGAAGAUAGGGAUAACCAGCCCCAUAGGUGCAGCCCUCAACGUGUCCCUAGAAUGUAUGAUGAUUUUCAUGAUCGUGGACAAUCAUCUUUGGCAAAACCAAAGAGCGAGCAGCAACGAGAACAUCUCUUUCAUACUCGCUGCCAUGUACAAGGUAAGCUUUGUAGAGUUAUUAUUGAUGGUGAAAGUUGCUCAAACAUAGCCAGCACGACGAUGGUGGAAAAGCUUUGCUUAACCACUACCAAGCAUCCACAACCUUAUCAACUACAAGGGCUUAGCAACGAAGGCCAAUUUACGGUCACUCAACAAGUGCGCAUCGCCUUUUCUAUCGGUAAGUAUCAAGACGAAGUUGUGUGCGAUGUAAUGCCUAUUCAAGCCUGCCAUUUGUUGCUAGGAGAACCAUGGCAACUGGAUCGAAAAGUCACUCACGAUGGUCGUACCAAUAGGUAUUCUUUCAAGCAUCAAGGAAAGAAACUCACCUUAGUGCCGCUCACUCCGGAAUAAGUCCAUGAGGACCAAAUCAAACUGAAAAAUUCUGUUAAAACAAGUGAGGAAAAAGAAAAAGAGAAUGAAAAAGAGCAAAAAGAGACUGAGAGUGAAAAAGAAAUUGAAGAAAGAAGAGAAAAUGAAUUAGAAAAAGAAACAAAAGAAAAAGACGUGGAAAGGGUAGUGAGGAAUGUUUCCACUAACCAAGAUAUGAAUUUUUCUUGUGUUGCUACUUUUCAGGUUCCCGAAAGAUCGAAAGAUAACUUUCAACUUCAAUACCUCUCAAAUGAAAGACGCUUUCAUACGAUCAACUUAGGCAAAGAUGAAAUCACACUACAUGAUCCCGAAGGUAAGCGAGGUAAGGAAAUUUUAGAAACCGAGUCCAGUGCAGAUUUGAAAAUUAUUGAUAAAACUUUUGGUGACUUAGUUCUUAAAAGAUCCCCUCAUUUUGAUCCGAUUAAUUGUUACUCUUCGAUUGUGGUUGAUAAAGUCAUUACGAAAAGAAGAGUGAUUUGUUAUUCUCUUGAUUUACCUUGUGUAAAAUCCUUGAAUUUGUCCAAAUCUGUUUUGGAGAAUAAAGUAACGAAAUUUUCCAAAUUUGUUUUCAAUUUAUAUUCGUGCCUUAAACAGUUUAUGUGGUUGUACAUGAAGUUUGAGUUCCAUUUGACAAAGGUUAACUCAACAACGGAGAUUCGACUACACUAUGCCCCCGAUGAACGAAGGUUUGUUUUAAAUGAAAAAGGUAAAAUCGACCCUUAUUCUUCUGCUUAUCGAGGAAAGAUGCUUGAAACCUUUGAAACACUUUUGUACUCCUCGGAUAGUGAUAAAGAUCGUGUUGAUGAACACUUAGAUCGAAACGUGCUUGACUGUCCUAUUUUAUUUAUUGAUGAUCUAUCUGUUUUGAUGGUUGAUAAAAAGAUUCUUGUUUUUGAUAAUGCAUGUGUGAGUGAAUCUAUAGACCGUCGAUUAAUGCAUGGUAUGAUUAUGCAACUCUGUGAACCAUGUGAAUCUUUUCAAAUACCUACUUGUGACGAUUAUGUUUACCAUUUGAUUUAUUACUCGCAAUUUAUUCAUGGUUUGUGGGAACAAUGUGAGACGACUGAAUGCCUUAAAACAUGUCCAUCUUUGUUUCAAAUAUUUGACGAGGCAGUGGUGAGUAAAUUAGAUUGUUUGCAUGGUAAUCUGAAUCUGUCCAUUCACAUGCGUUAUACCUGUUCUAUUAUGCUUAUGAUUAGACUACAAGCUUAUUUCCGUUGCUAUUUACUAUCUCAUGGCUAUUCUUCUCAGUGGACUCAAUUGCCAUUAGUCCCGUUCGAUAGAGGAAAGUCGAGUUCAUUUGAUUUUUCAGAUUCGAGGACGAAUCUUUUUGAGGAAGGGGGGAAUGAUACGAGUCACAAAAGCCGAAAUUCUUGAAGGCGAGGCCCAAUAAGCAAAUUCCCAGCCCAAUCAAGAAAUCCAUCCAUACUUAGUUGAAAAUCAGGCCAAAUUGUCAAAGUGGCCCAAGUUGUAAAGUUUUAUUUUUAUUUAUUUAUUUAUUUAUUUAUUUACUUAGUUUAAAUUUUUAUGUCAAUAUUCAGUCCAAGAGUCCCAGAUAAAAUGACCUUUGACCGAAUUUCCAUAUUAAAAUAAUUAGGAGUUUUUUUUUAUUUUAGUUUUCUAAUUAGAUUAGGACUAGUUAUAAGGCCUAUUUAAAGGCAUGGCUGUCCACCUUGUUAAACACUUAUCAUUAUUAUUAAAAUUUCAGAUUUGUUGAGAGCAAAAUUUUCUUUGAGUUUUCUCCAAGAUUUCUCUCUUGAGUUUUCUUUAGAAGUUGUUUUAACAAUCUUGUGAUUGUGGGAGCCAUCUUCAACCUUCUUCUUGCCAUUGAUAUUCUUUGGAGGGGAGAUUAGAGCUAUUUGAAGGGAGUUGUGAGAUCUUUCGAGAUUUCAAGGCUUCUUAGGACUUAUCUUUUAAUUUCUUACUGUCAAUUCUUUCUUUAUUUCUACUUGUGCUGAAUCAUUAUCUAAUCUAUUUUCUGUUCUUAUUGUGUUUUCAGCCUUUUUCUAUCUUAAGGAAUCAGCCCAAAAAUCCCCAAUUUCUAGGGUUUUUCCAUACUCUUUUUGGGUGAAAUUAGAUUGUCAAAAUUUGGAGAAAACUAUCUUGGUGUUCAAUUGGGCAGAAUCACAAUCUCCUUGAGGGUUUCAAGAACCCUAACACUUAUUUCUAUUCUCAAUUUGAUUCUUUGCUGAUUUGGGGAUUUUAUUUCAGAUCUGAAAAUUCAAAAAUCUAAUCUUUUAAUUUUCUGUUUCGUUUCAGAUCUAAUUGUUUAGGGUUUUCGUAGGAGUUUCUCGUGACUUGGCAACUCGAUCUUGGUCCGCGCGCAACCCCGUAUCAACACGUCACCAGCAUGAUUGCUCUUCGGGACCUAGCCCGGACAUAACACCAGCACGAAUGCUCUUCGGGGUUUAGCACGGAUAUAUCACUAGCACGAAUGCUCUUCAGAACUUAGCCCGGAUACAUCACUAGCAUGAAUGCUCUUCGGGACUUAGCCCGGAUAUGGUCACUUAGCACAAAGCCUUCGGGACUUAGCCCGGACAUCAUUCGAAUAACCAUGCACAUUUAACAAUAAAUCAUGACACAUUCGUAUUUCAUUUUCAUUAGCAAAACUCAAACACAAGACACUUAUCAUUCUUGUAAUUUCGGCUCAAUAGCCACACACAAAGAGCAUGAUUUUGAUUUGCUUAAAACAUGAUCUAAUCAAAUCAUAAUUUAAGCUCUAUUACUCAAGAACUUACCCCUUUCCGCUGUCCGAAAUCGGCUUGGUAAGGUCGCACCCUUAAUAUAAAUAAUUGAUAGAAAAUAUAUAUAUAGUGGGUUUGCACACAUAGUGCUUAAUAAUCAACCACGCACACUUAGUGCCAUGUACUUUAAACUCGCACACUUAGUGCCAUGCAUUUCAAGCCCGCACACUUAGUGCCAAUCUCACAACCGUGAACACUUAUUGCUCGCACACUUAGUGCCAAUCUCACAACCGUGAACACUUAUUGCCCGCACACUUAGUGCUGAAAACCAACCACUCUAUACGCUUCACUGUCUUUUUACAUUCGACAAUUUCGUCUCUACAUACAUAUACACAUAUAGCAAUACACAUUAGUAUAUCAUUUACAUUACUUGAAUACAAACACAACAUGCUUAUCGACCAUUCAACUUCCAGUUCCAUAGCCACAUACAAAAAUCACAUUUAUAGUCAUAACACUCAUUCAAAAUUGCAUCACUUAUACCCUUAUAAUUCAAUCCAAAUCGAAAUUCAAAUACGAGUACAUGAUACGUACCUGAUCAACUUAAUAAUUUAGGCAUAUCUAAAUGAAGUUAUAUUGCAAAUUCUCAUAGUCAGAAGCUUGCUAUAGCUCGAUCGGGAUCAAGAUUCAUUACAAUACAGCAAACACAUUUUAAUAGCAAAAAAUCAUCACACUAUCAUUUUAUCACUUUAUGGCAUGUAUAAAUAGACUCACGCAUGCUACGUUAGUCCAAGAAUCGACUAAACCGUAGCUCUGAUACCAAUAAAAUGUAACACCCCUAUCCCGUAACCGUUGCCGGAAUAGGUAAGGUGUAACACCCCGUACCCGAGACCGUUGCCGGAGUCGGACACGAGGGGUUCACAGACUAAAUUCGCUUAUUAUCGCAGUCCAUUUUAAAAUUUUCUAGGCAGUUGGCUAACUGCGACACUGUCACCUUAAAAAUCAUAUCUUGAGUUUCACAACUCGAAAAUCAGUUUCGUAAUUUUUCCCUGAAACUAGACUCAUAUUCUCAUCUACAUAUUUUUUUCUAGAAUUUUUGGACGGGCCAAUUAGUACAGUUUAUUAGUCAAAGUCUCCCAUGUUACAGGGAUCGACUACACUGACCUUUGUGCAUUACGACUUGGAUAUCUCCCUGUACAGAGCUUCAAUACUGAUUCCGUUUGUUUCUAUAGAAACUAGACUCAGAGAGGAAUCUAUACAUAUAUGGCAUGACUCCUAAUUAUCUCUGGUUAAUUUAUAAUGAAUUUCCAAAGUCGGAACAGGGAAUCCAGAAACCGUUCUGGCCCUGUCUCACGAGAACCUGAAUAUCUCUUAACAUACUAUCCAUAUGAUUGUUUCGUUACUUUCAUAUGAAAAUAGAUUCAUCAAGGUUCGUUUACAUAAUUUAUUCAUUAUUUAAUUCCAAUCCUACUAUUUUUAGUGAUUUUCCAAAUCUACAUCACUGCUGCUGCCAGCAUCUGCCUUUAAGGUAGACUUUACCUAUUUCAUAGUUUCCAUGAUUCAACUAGCCCUUUUAGCAUAAAUAGCACAAAUUAUGAUAGUGAUUAACCAUUCCAUACCAAAUGAUUAUAACAUUAUGCUCAAACAUAUAUAAGCCAUUUUCGCAUGGCUAUAUACAUUAACCAAAAUAUUCUUCCGCCACUAGUCUAUUUUAUACAUGCCAUAAGAUAAUCCAAAACAUAGUAGUACCAAACAGUGGAUAGUGAUAGUGUGACUAGUUGCUGACGAUCCCCGAGCCUGUAGCUUCGCAAUGAGAUCUAUAAAACAGAGGAAACAGAGUAAACGGAGUAAGCAUUACAAUGCUUAGUAAGUUUUAAGCAGUGUCAACAGAUAACAAUCAAAUUAUAACAUAGUUGUUCGUAUUUUUAUUUCACUCUUCCUUCGGGCAUACCAUCCCUUUACCGAAUAUACACAUCUCAUCAUAUACAAUAGGCAGAUAAACUUUCACAUAAAAGUGAGCUCAUGUGACAUAGAUAUAUCGUAUGAUUUCACAUCGCCUCUCACACUGAUCCGAUGUCACAUAAUCAUAGGAAUAGUCUCAUAGAUUGCUCUCGUAUGCAUCACAUAACUACCUUAUGAUUUAGUGCAAAUCAAGCUCACAUAUAAACUUGGAGUACAUACCUGUUUAACCUUUCGCAUUGAAUAUAUUUAUAAGCAAUUCUUAUUACGAAGUCUUACCCGGACAUAAUCUCCACACGAAGUUAUCGGGUCUUACCCGGACAAAAUUCCCAUACGUAGUCAUCGGGUCUUUAGAGCUCGGAUAUAGUACGAGCACAAAGCUUACGGACAUGGAUUCAAAUCAUGGAUUCAAUAUACCAUUACCAUAAAAUCAACAACCAAAAAUUCAUAGACAAUUUAGGAAAAUCACAUUACAAAUCUCAAAUUUAAGCAAAGACCAUGGCCGAAAUGCACAUAUAACCACAUAACACAAAAAAAAAAUAUUGAACCUUUGGUUGCCUAACUAGCUUAACAUCCAUCAAAUUUUAAUCAAGAAACUCACCUCAUCUAUAAUCAACCCUCAAUACCCUAAAGCAUCAAAAACGACAUCAAAGAAAUACAAACAUCCAUGACCAAAUGUCAUCUUCAUAACUUUACAAAAAACAUUUGCCAUGAGCUAGCUUCUAUACUUGAUGGCCACUCCAAAUAUACAAAGAUUUUCAAUGAUAGAGCAUUAACAUACCUUAAUCCACUUAAAGGUGACCAAAUGCCUUAACUUCAAUUUCUUCUUUUCUUUCUUUAGGUACGGCAAUGGAGGAAGAAAAAGAUGAACCAACUUUGUUUUUAUCACCCAUUUCUUUUAAUAUAAGUUCACCUUUCAUAUUAUUUAUUCAUUUAACAUUUAAUUUAUUAAUAUAAAAGGCAUAUAUUUUGUAUCCCAUACUCCUUAUUUUAUUUUUCCUAACAUAAAUCACUAACAUAACAUGUUUAUGACAUGUUUUGCCCAUAACAUUUUGUCCUCCUUCCUUGUCAUGGCCGGCCACUACUAAAUUAAGGGGGAAAUUGACAUGCAAGUCCACCCUUUUAUUACAUGCACUAAUAGAUCCUAUAGAUUAACCUAUCACAUUUCAAAAGUGUCACACAUAAGUCCUAUUAGCUGAAUUCAUAUGCAGUCGACUAAAUCGAAGCUUAAAACUUUCACACAUUCAUAUUCACAUAUUUUAGACAAUAAAUAUCAUAUUCAAAUAAUUUGGUGACUAGGUUUAGCGAUCCCGAAACCGCUUUCCGACUAGGGUCACUUUAGGGGUGUCACAUCGAUUGAGCUGAAAUGUGCUCAAUUGAGCUGGUCGGAGUUGAAACGAGCUAGAAAAGCUAAAAUGGAGCUGAAAUUAGCUUGCACUAAGGUGCAUGGUUUCUUCAAGGAGUUGGAUCGAGCUUCCUCAUCUUCAACAAGCUGAUUCUCCUUCCAAAACUUGAACAACAAAGCUGAAACAACUUCAUGAAAUCGCUUGGACCUAGCUCGGGUCAUUGGUCCCUUUGGAAGCUCGAGGGAAUCAAGACGAGGACUUGAUGGGGCUUGGGGCGUGGUCACAUCAUUCCCCCUUCUUCAAAACGACUUGUCCUCAAGUCGAGCUGUUUAUUCUCUAGAAAAUAAUCCGUCUUUUGCAACUCUCCUUGAAUGAAUGGAACAAUUAGUCGUUCAUAAGCCUUUGCAAAAGAACUCACAAUAUUCGGCAUUAGAGAUGGCAAAUGAAUCAAUGAAAAUAGACAACCAUUAAUCAUCAAGAAAUGAUCAGAACAACUAUGUGGAUCAUGCAUGGUCAUAACAAGACAAGUAUGAGUUAUGUAAAAAGGCAAACUUAAAACAUCAUUCUUACAAUCAUAUGGACAAAACUCCUUCCAUAUCCAUAACUCAUCAAAUGGUCGAGACAAAGACAAAUAUGUUUUUAAGCAUUCAAACCUUUCAAUUUGCUUCCACAAGUCAUUGUUCAAGUAAAUGGAAUGCGAGUAAUGGAACAAGAAAUUUAAAUCUUCAUCACAAACACACAAAUGAAAAGUUUCAUAUGAUUCAUGAUUUCGCAUGUUUGGCACUCGCAAUUGUCGUUUGGUUAUGUUCUCAACAAUGAAUUCAUCACAUUUUCCAAAGAGAAAAAUCGUCUUAUCAUUACUCAAAAUGGAUUUAUCAUCAUCAAGCAAAAUCAAAUAAUUAACCACAACAGGAUUCAAACGAUUUUCAGCAAUCAAGGUGUCUUCAAAAAUUUUAGUUACAUUCAACUUAAAAGAAGAUGGUCGCAUAACAUCAGAAUUCAUACCUGAUUCACCUUUAGGAGUGGAAAAUUGAGAAUCAAUUUUACCUUUUUCAAUCAAAGUGAACCUUUUCUCCUUGAGAGGGUAUUGAAGUCGAAGCUCAUUACACAAUCCUUGAAAAACCUGAAACGAAGGGUAAACACAAAGGCAACUUGCACUUUUCAAAGUGUUGGGUUCAUAAUGCUGAAAGAGGGUAAUGUCUCCAAAGACGUUGAACUCAAAGGAACAGGCUAAAACACUAUUCACAUAUUGAACAUAUGUAACGAUACCAGGUUCAAAAACAUGAGUUGAUCUUACCUUUUCGAAAUGAAAAAUGAAUUUCAUGGACAGCCACAUAAAAUGAUCAAAGAACAAUUUUAAAUUAUAAACAGAGUCUUUAAAUUUCAGAGGCCAAACAUCAAACAGACAUAAAUUUGUCACAUAAAAUUUAGGAUGCUUGAGUUCCGCACAUAUCAACCUAAAAUAAUAAAUUCCAGGUUUGAACACACGAGUUUGAUUACUUACGCCAAAGUGUUUUAGUAAAUCAAACAUGUCAAACCAAAAGGGUUUUCGUGUCCAUAGAAACAAACAUUCAAAUCUCUUUAUAUUCAUCAAAUCAAACUUGCACAAAUUCAUGGAUUUGUCACAUGACAAUAAUGGAUGCACAAAAUUAUCAUAUUUGAAAAAUUGAAUCGCUUUUCGUGAAAACCCGACAUCAUGCAAAACCAAAUCUUUAGUUUUUCGUUCGUACCGAACAACAUCAACCACAUUCAAAGAAUAGAAAUUAAUCGAAUGAAAAUAAGAGAAUUUUUUUAAAACAAAGUCAUUUUCAACAACUUUCAAACUUGAUGGCCAUGACUCGGUUUUUAAAACUUCCUUAUCUCGCUUACCUUCAAGCUCGUGUGGUUUGAUUUCAACUUCAUCCUUACCUUUUUUGGUCAUGCAAAAACGUCGCUUGUUAGGAAGAUAUUGAAGUUGAUAUUCGUCACAGACAUUUGUCGGAACCUGAAAAGAAGGAACAGAACAAAAACAAACAUCAUGGGGGUUAGUUAAAAUUUCGUUCUCCUUUUCUUGUUCUCGCUCACUAUAUUCAUUUUCUCUCGUUUCUUCUUCAACAUCUUUUUCUUUUUCAAUUUUUUUCUCAACCUCAAUUUCUUUUUCAAUUUUCUUUUCUUCAUUUUCUUUUUCACUCACUAUUUUGAUUUCUUUUUCUUUUUCACUACAAUGUGCGGAUGACACGAAAGAAUCAAAGAGAUAAUCAUUUGGCUCAAAGAAAGAGAAAAUAUUUUCAUAAGCUUCUCGUCCAUUUCUUCGAGAACAAUCCUUUGGGAAGGACUUCUUUGAAGCAUACGAGGAAUAGCUCGUCCUUUCUCGCUCAUCUCGAGUGAUUUUUGACUCGAAGUUUUCUUCUCGCGGUCUCGAAAGCCUUGUUGAAUAGGAGUCUUGAUAUGUGUCUCUUCUCGAAUAAUGUCGUCGUGAUGAACUUAACUCUAUUUCUCGACUCGGUGGAGUUUGCUUCUGUCAGGCUUUUUCCUCCACUCGGUCCAAACGUCUUUUUAAUGGGCUUAGUUUUUCCUCCAAUAUUCGGCCCAUCUCGUUCACCAAGUAUUGAAAUUCAUCGGUAGAGAAUUCUUCUUGAGACAUGAUUCAAGAAAAUGUUCGAAAAUCGAAAGAUAGAAUAAAUAGUAAAUGAACCUCACCAAUUCAAAAUCCUCACCAAUCUCUCACAAAGAAAUAAUGAUUUUCACUCGCACUCGUGUUUACACUCUUCUAGGCUUUUUCUUUGAUGUAAAACACACGUGCCUUUUACCUCUCGACCUCGUCUCACAAUUUCGUAAUUCGUCUCGAUAGACUUAAUUUGCUGCUUGAGGGUCGGUUUCAAAAUAGGUUACAAAGGAAUGAUGUGGGUGUAGGGUAGGCUAAACAAAAUAAAAUCAAGGCUAAGUGUGGCGUUGGGAUGGGUAAAUAAUGGUAGGAAGGGAAACUUGAUGAUCGGAGCAAAUAAGAGAAAAAAAAUAAAAACUCGCAAGACUUUUCACUUUUUUUUAACUUGAUUUUUUUUGCUCACCUUUUUUUUUGCUCGAUUUUUUUUUCACUUUUUUUUGAAUUUUUUUUUUCAAUCAAUUUUUUUUUCGAAUUUUUUUUUAUUUUUUUUGUUACUCCAAUACAAUAGUAAGCUAAAUACAAGGGAAAAAAAUUUUAAUUACAACUCAAAUUUUUUUUUGAUUUUUUUUUUCACAUUUCGAACCUACUUGCGGCCUUAUUACGAACGUCGGCGCUCCUCGUUUUAGUAGCUCUGAUACCAAAUGAUGUGAUCCGGCUCGGUUGAUUGAGUCGAUUCACUUGAUUGCCCGAUCGUCGACGAGAAGUUUGUUCGAUUUUGUAGAUAGAUGGAGUUAGAUGAUUUUUAUAAGCGGAAGGUAGGCAAAAUGGGUUCAAAGGAUGGGUUUUGGUUUGAUGAAAGAUAGGUUCGGUUUAACAAAGAAUUAAGUUACAAAGAUGAUAGAUAAAUGGAAAUGGAUAAAGAACUCAAACUUUAAGAAUGAUUCAAUACUAAAAAGUAUUGCCCCGAGUCUUAUAUUGCUUAAGGUGAAUUUUGAUGAAGGAUAGAAGCGGACCUUGACCCGUUACCUAUAUGGAGGUAAGAACCAAAGGUAUAGGAAGAUGGUUGAACGCCACACCGAUUCGGUGAUAAGUUCAAUGGAGUUCGGAUUGACACCACUAGCAAGCUAGUUAAGUCGCUUCGAGACUCGAACGAAAGAAGAGAGGAGGUAACCUCACAAGAACAAAAGUUCUAUUAAGUUUAAUUGAUCAAAUUCUGUAACCUUUUUACAAAGAGAAAAGAACUAUUUAUAGAUUACAUUAGAUAGCCAAAUAGACUAAGUAAAUUCAGCUUUAAUUGAAUUAAACUAAUCUAGAAAUGUAUCUUUAAAGGCUAUGUCCAAAUUCAGCUGAAUGGUACUUCAAUGGGCAGCUUCAUGGCUAAGGAAAUGAACUUGAAGGCUUGGUGAAUGUAUGGGAGAGCAAUGGACAUGUCUAGGUUCGGCCAAGGUGUGAAUGGACACUCCAAGAGAUGCCUUUUGGCCGAAUAGGUACUUAGGAGAUCAAUGGACAGCAACCGAUGCAUGUAAGUGAACAUUCAUGCAUUCUUCCAUUCAUUGUAUUAAAUCAUUCAUGCAUCAUCCUUACGUUCAUUGAACCAGCCCAUUCAUGAAUCAUCUUUAAUUGUGUUCCCACAUCAUGCAUUGUAAGUAGACGUUCAUGCACCUAGCUUGAAUGAAUCUCCACAUUCGGCUGUACCUACAUGAAACAUGAACAAAUUAAUUAAAAUAGAUAUAUUAAUUAACACAUAAAUUUAAAAUAGACAAAAAUAAAGUCUUAAGCUAAACAUAUUAAAUUCGGCUAAGACAACUUUAAAAACAUGAAAUAAAUCAAAACAUAAUUAUGAGCUGUAAUAACUUAAACUAAGUUAAUAAAAUACUUUAAUUAUUCAACCAAUAAAAUAAAUGAGCUGAAUUGUAGCUAAAUUGAGCUCGAUUGAGCUGAAAUGAGCUCAAUUGAACUGGUCGGAGUUGAAACGAGCUAGAAAAGCUAAAAUGGAGCUGAAAUUAGCUUGCACUAAGGUGCAUGGUUUCUUCAAGGAGUUGGAUCGAGCUUCCUCAUCUUCAACAAGCUGAUUCUCCUUCCAAAACUUGAACAACAAAGCUGAAACAACUUCAUGAAAUCGCUUGGACCUAGCUCGGGUCAUUGGUCCUGAGACGAGUCACAAAAGCCCAAAUUCUUGAAGGCGAGGCCCAAUAAGCAAAUUCCCAGCCCAAUCAAGAAAUCCAUCCAUACUUAGUUGAAAAUCAGGCCAAAUUGUCAAAGUGGCCCAAGUUGUAAAGUUUUAUUUUUAUUUAUUUAUUUAUUUACUUAGUUUAAAUUUUUAUGUCAAUAUUCAGUCCAAGAGUCCUAGAUAAAAUGACCUUUGACCGAAUUUCCAUAUUAAAAUAAUUAGGAGUUUUUUUAUUUUAGUUUUCUAAUUAGAUUAGGACUAGUUAUAAGGCCUAUUUAAAGGCAUGGCUGUCCACCUUGUUAAACACUUAUCAUUAUUAUUAAAAUUUCAGAUUUGUUGAGAGUAGAAUUUUCUUUGAGUUUUCUCCAAGAUUUCUCUCUUGAGUUUUCUUUAGAAGUUGUUUUAACAAUCUUGUGAUUGUGGGAGCCAUCUUCAGCCUUCUUCUUGCCAUUGAUAUUCUUUGGAGGGGAGAUUAGAGCCGUUUGAAGGGAGUUGUGAGAUCUUUCGAGAUUUCAAGGCUUCUUAGGACUUAUCUUUUAAUUUCUUACUGUCAAUUCUCUCUUUAUUUCUACUUGUGCUGAAUCAUUAUCUAAUCUAUUUUCUAUUCUUAUUGUGUUUUCAGCCUUUUUCUAUUUUAAGGAAUCAGCCCAAAAAUCCCCAAUUUCUAGGGUUUUUCCAUACUCUUUUUGGGUGAAAUUAGAUUGUCGAAAUUUGGGGAAAACUAUCUUGGUGUUCAAUUGGGCAGAAUCACAAUCUCCUUGAGGGUUUCAAGAACCCUAACACUUAUUUCUAUUCUCAAUUUGAUUCUUUGCUGAUUUGGGGAUUUUAUUUCAGAUCUGAAAAUUCAAAAAUCUAAUUUUUUAAUUUUCUGUUUCGUUUCAGAUCUAAUUGUUUAGGGUUUUCGUAGGAGUUUCCCGUGACUUGACAACUCGAUCUUGGUCCGCGCGCAACCCCGUAUCAUUUGGUAUCAGAUUUUGGGUGUUUUGGGUGUUCUUGGUUGAUUUCUAAACUGAUCUCUAUUUUUUAAAAUAUAAACAGCAGUUUUACCCAGAAAAAUUGUUCAAAAAAAUUCAUUUGAGUGGGUAAACGUUGUCCGAUUGAUCUGAAAUUUUACAUACAUGUUUUUGGAACUUUGAUUGAAUAUAAAAAAAAUUAUUCCCGCAAAAAAAUCAGUCAAAAAUUCAAAAAAAUCAAAAAAUUCGAAAUUCAAUAAAAAUUAAAAAAAAAGAUUCAGCGGGUUGAAUUUGGUGCCCAAAAUUUCCAGAUCAAAAAUUCAAUAUAUAAGGACACUCCAGAUUUAAUUUCGUGAUUUUUGGAGAUCGGGAACACCUCGAACGAAGUUGUCAAGUUACUCCGCAGUUUUUCGGGUUUUCUGUUUUCAGCAAUUUUUAUUGAUUCUUAGCUGUAGGUUUUCAUUUGUUUACCUUUAUUCUUCCUUUACGUUAUCUAACACCUUCUUGUUUCUUGUGUUAGUAGGAUUUAAACGUGUGCACAACUUCUUCCUCGGUGCAACACGAAUCAAUUGGUGUCUCGUCAGUUUUUGGCAUCCUAGUGCAAAUUAGGAUUCUUUGGUAGUUUGGUUCACACUCUCUAAUUGGUUGAUAUAAACUCUGAUAAAGGACUCACAAGAUUGAAUUCGACCUAAUUGAGAAUUUGAUUUUUUCUUUUUGAGUGAUUAACGGUGAGGUUUGAUAACUUUUAUUUUUGAGUGUUGAGUGUUUUGCAGGUUUUCUCCAAGAAUUCUCUCUUGAGCUUUCUUUAGAAGUUGUUUUAACAAUCUUUUGAUUGUGGGAGCCAUCUUCAACCUUCUUCUUGCCAUCGAUAUUCUUUGGAGGGGAGAUUAGAGCCGUUUGAAGAGAUUUGUGAAAUCUUUCGGGAUUUCAAGGAUCUUUAGGACUUAUCCUUUAAUUCUUGCUGUUUUCGAUUUCUUUCUUUACUUUUCUUUGCUUAUACUUGUGCCGAUUUCUCAUCUAAUAUUUUGCUGUUCUUGUUUGUUUUCCAGCAUUGAUUAAACUCAAGAUCUCAUCGUUUAAGUUGUUCUCCUAUUGGUAGCACCCAUUCGAACCCAAAAAUCCCCAAUUCCUAGGGUUUGGCUGAUUGGAUUUCUUUCAAUUUGGGAAUCAAUUGUUUCCUGGAAAUUGGGCAUUCUUGGCCGAAUCAAUUCCUUGGCAGAUUCGCAUCUUUUCUUUCUUCUCAAUUUCGUUUGAUUCAUCGAUUCUAUUUCUUUUCUUCUUGCUGCUCUUUUAAUUGAAUUAGGGAAUUUUAAAUUCAAAUCUGAUUCGGUUUAAAUCUUGUUCUUUGUUUUUUAUUUCAGAUCUGUUCGUCUAGGAUCUUUUGUAGGAGUUUCUCGUGACUUGGCAACUCGAUCUUGGUCCGCGCGCAUUCUUGUAUCAUUUGGUAUCAGAUUUUGGGCGUUUUGGGUGUUCUUGGUUGAUUUCUAAACUGAUCUCUAUUUUUUAAAGCAUAAACAGCAGUUUUACCCAGAAAAAUUGUUCAAAAAAAAUUCAUUUGAGUGGGUAAACGUUGUCCGAUUGAUCUGAAAUUUUACAUACAUGUUUUUGGAACUGUGAUUGAAUAUAAAAAAAUUAUUCCCACAAAAAAAUCAGUCAAAAAGUCAAAAAAAAUAAAAAAAUACGAAAUUCAAUAAAAAUUUUAAAAAAAAGAUUCAGCGGGUUGAAUUUGGUGCCCAAAAUUUCCAGAUAAAAAAUUCAAUAUAUAAGGACACUCUAGAUUUAAUUUCGUGAUUUUUGGAGAUCGGGAACACCUCAAACAAAGUUGUCAAGUUACUCCGCAGUUUUUCGGGUUUUCUGUUUUCAGCAAUUUUUAUUGAUUCUUAGCUGUAGGUUUUCAUUUGUUUACCUUUAUUCUUCCUUUACGUUAUCUAACACCUUCUUGGUUCUUGUGUUAGUAGGAUUUAAACGUGUGCACAACUUCUUCCUCGGUGCAACACGAAUCAAUUGGUGUCUCGUCAGUUUUUGGCAUCCUAGUGCAAAUUAGGAUUCUUUGGUAGUUUGGUUCACACUCUCUAAUUGGUUGAUAUAAACUCUGAUAAAGAACUCACAAGAUUGAAUUCGACCUCAUUGAGAAUUUGAUUUUUCUUUUUGAGUGAUUAAUGGUGAGGUUUGCUAACUUUUAUUUUUGAGUGUUGAGUGUUUAUCUUUUACAGGUUUUGAAGAUGUCUAAAGGUGAUAAUAAUGAUGCACUUAUGAAAGUCCAACAACAGUUAGACGAACAUACUGCUGCAAUCACACAAAUAAAUGCUACACUUCAAGCAUUGAAUACUACUUUGAAUGAGGUACGCAUGAAUCAAAAACAUCAAUAUCGAGAUCCAAUUAAGGAAGAUAGGGAUAACCAGCCCUAUAGGUGCAGCCCUCAACGUGUCCCUAGAAUGGAUGAUGAUUUUCAUGAUCGUGGACAAUCAUCUUUGGCAAAACCAAAGAGCGAGCAGCAACGAGAACAUCUCUUUCAUACUCGCUGCCAUGUACAAGGUAAGCUUUGUAGAGUUAUUAUUGAUGGUGAAAGUUGCUCGAACAUAGCCAGCACGACGAUGGUGGAAACGCUUUACUUAACCACUACCAAGCAUCCACAACCUUAUCAACUACAAGGGCUUAGCAACAAAGGCCAAUUUAGGGUCACUCAACAAGUGCGCAUCGCCUUUUCUAUCGGUAAGUAUCAAGACGAAGUUGUGUGCGACGUAAUGCCUAUUCAAGCCUGCCAUUUGUUGCUAGGAGAACCAUGGCAACUGGAUCGAAAAGUCACUCACGAUGGUCGUACCAAUAGGUAUUCUUUCAAGCAUCAAGGAAAGAAACUCACCUUAGUGCCGCUCACUCCGGAACAAGUCCAUGAGGACCAAAUCAAACUGAAAAAUUCUGUUAAAACAAGUGAGGAAAAAGAAAAAGAGAAUGAAAAAGAGCAAAAAGAGAUUGAGAGUGAAAAAGAAAUUGAAGAAAGAAGAGAAAAUGAAUUAGAAAAAGAAACAAAAGAAAAAGACGUGGAAAGGGUAGUGAGGAAUGUUUCCACUAACCAAGAUAUGAAUUUUUCUUGUGUUGCUACUUUUCAGGUUCCCGAAAGAUCGAAAGAUAACUUUCAACUUCAAUACCUCUCAAAUGAAAGACGCUUUCAUACGAUCAACUUAGGCAAAGAUGAAAUCACACUACAUGAUCCCGAAGGUAAGCGAGGUAAGGAAAUUUUAGAAACCGAGUCCAGUGCAGAUUUGAAAAUUAUUGAUAAAAAUUUUGGUGACUUAGUUCUUAAAAGAUCCCCUCAUUUUGAUCCGAUUAAUUGUUACUCUUCGAUUGUGGUUGAUAAAGUCAUUACGAAAAGAAGCGUGAUUUGUUAUUCUCUUGAUUUACCUUGUGUAAAAUCCUCGAAUUUGUCCAAAUCUGUUUUGGAGAAUAAGGUAACGAAAUUUUCCAAAUUUGUUUUCAAUUUAUAUUCGUGCCUUAAACAGUUUAUGUGGUUGUACAUGAAGUUUGAGUUCCAUUUGACAAAGGUUAACUCAACAACGGAGAUUCGACUACACUAUGCCCCCGAUGAGCGAAGGUUUGUUUUAAAUGAAAAAGGUAAAAUCGACCCUUAUUCUUCUGCUUAUCGAGGUAAGAUGCUUGAAACCUUUGAAACACUUUUGUACUCCUCGGAUUGUGAUAAAGAUCGUGUUGAUGAACACUUAGAUCGAAACGUGCUUGACAGUCCUAUUUUAUUUAUUGAUGAUCUAUCUGUUUUGAUGGUUGAUAAAAAGAUUCCUUUUUUUGAUAAUGCAUGUGUGAGUGAAUCUAUAGACCGUCGAUUAAUGCAUGGUAUGAUUAUGCAACUCUGUGAACCAUGUGAAUCUUUUCAAAUACCUACUUGUGACGAUUAUGUUUACCAUUUGAUUUAUUACUCGCAAUUUAUUCAUGGUUUGUGGGAACAAUGUGAGACGACUGAAUGCCUUAAAACAUGUCCAUCUUUGUUUCAAAUAUUUGACGAGGCAGUUGUGAGUAAAUUAGAUUGUUUGCAUGGUAAUCUGAAUCUGUCCAUUCACAUACGUUAUACCUGUUCUGUUAUGCUUAUGAUUGGACUACAAGCUUGUUUCCGUUGCUAUUUACUAUCUCAUGGCUAUUCUUUUCAGUGGACUCAAUUGCCAUUAGUCCCGUUCGAUAGAGGAAAGUCGAGUUCAUUUGAUUUUUCAGAUUCGAGGACGAAUCUUUUUGAGGAAGGGGGAAUGAUACGAGUCACAAAAGCCCAAAUUCUUGAAGGCGAGGCCCAAUAAGCAAAUUCCCAGCCCAAUCAAGAAAUCCAUCCAUACUUAGUUGAAAAUCAGGCCAAAUUGUCAAAGUGGCCCAAGUUGUAAAGUUUUAUUUUUAUUUUUGUUUAUUUAUUUAUUUAUUUACUUAGUUUAAAUUUUUAUGUCAAUAUUCAGUCCAAGAGUCCCAGAUAAAAUGACCUUUGACCGAAUUUCCAUAUUAAAAUAAUUAGGAGUUUUUUUUUAUUUUAGUUUUCUAAUUAGAUUAGGACUAGUUAUAAGGCCUAUUUAAAGGCAUGGUUGUCCACCUUGUUAAACACUUAUCAUUAUUAUUAAAAUUUCAGAUUUGUUGAGAGCAGAAUUUUCUUUGAGUUUUCUCCAAGAUUUCUCUCUUGAGUUUUCUUUAGAAGUUGUUUUAACAAUCUUGUGAUUGUGGGAGCCAUCUUCAACCUUCUUCUUGCCAUUGAUAUUCUUUGGAGGGGAGAUUAGAGCAGUUUGAAGGGAGUUGUGAGAUCUUUCGAGAUUUCAAGGCUUCUUAGGACUUAUCUUUUAAUUUCUUACUGUCAAUUCUUUCUUUAUUUCUACUUGUGCUGAAUCAUUAUCUAAUCUAUUUUCUGUUCUUAUUGUGUUUUCAGCCUUUUUCUAUCUUAAGGAAUCAGCCCAAAAAUCCCCAAUUUCUAGGGUUUUUCCAUACUCUUUUUGGGUGAAAUUAGAUUCUCGAAAUUUGGGGAAAACUAUCUUGGUGUUCAAUUGGGCAGAAUCACAAUCUCCUUGAGGGUUUCAAGAACCCUAACACUUAUUUCUAUUCUCAAUUUGAUUCUUUGCUGAUUUGGGGAUUUUAUUUCAGAUCUGAAAAUUCAAAAAUCUAAUCUUUUAAUUUUCUGUUUCGUUUUAGAUCUAAUUGUUUAGGGUUUUUGUAGGAGUUUCCCGUGACUUGGCAACUUGAUCUUGGUCUGCGCGCAACCCCAUAUCAGGUCCCUUUGAAAGCUCGAGGGAAUCAAGACGAGGACUUGAUGGGGCUUGGGGCGUGGUCACAUCAAAUGCUUAUAUAGGCCUCCAACAAAUCCUAAUCUCACAAGUAACUAAUAAAAAAAUAAACCUAAUUAAUAAAAUAACAAGGUAAUGAUACGAGUCAUAAAGGCCCAAUCCAAGUUCAAGAACGUGAUGGGCUCAAAUUGCCACAAGGACCAAUAACAAGAUCAAAGGCCCGACAAAUGCGGUCCAAACUAAAUGGGACCAUUCAAGAGCUUGUUAGCAAGGCCUUAGAUGCAUACACGAGAGAACAAGAAAAUCAAGAUUCACUUUCUUGUUUUCAAGAAAAUCAAGAAAUCGAAUCUUGGCCCAAUUUUGCUAUUCGAAGAGAUUUCAAGAAUCAAGAAAAUCAAGAUUUCAAAUCUUGGAAAUCUUGGUCCAAGAAACCAAAUCUUGCAGCCAAAACGCAUUGGAUCUCCAUUACGAGCAUCAACGACCCAAUUUUGGUAGGAGAUGGAUCACGAGCCCAAAUUCUUGAAGGCGAGGCCCAAUAACCAAAAUCCAGCCCAAUCAAGAAAUUUCUUCAUACUUAGUUGAAAAUCAGGCCAAAAUGUCAAAGGGCCCAAUUUGUAAACAUCUUACUUGUUUAAUUUAAUUUUUUAAUCUUUAGGAGCAUUACAUGUAAAAUUCGGCCCAAAACAGCCCAUAUAAGUGCAUGGCCGAAUUUACCUUGUUAUUUUAUUAAUUAGGUUUAAUUUUUUUUAGUUACUUGUGAGAUUAGGAUUUGUUGGAGGCCUAUAUAAGCAUUGGCCAGCCACCCUUUGUAAAAACAUCUCAUUAUUAUUUUUUUCUAUCAAAUUUUAGAUUUGUUGAGUGCAGAAUUUUCUUUGGGGUUUUCUCCAAGAAUUCUCUCUUGAGUUUUCUUUAGAAGCUGUUUUAACAAUCUUUUGAUUGUGGGAGCCAUCUUCAACCUUCUUCUUGCCAUCGAUAUUCUUUGGAGGGGAGAUUAGUUUGAAGGAAUUUGUGAAUUCUUUCGGGAAUUCAAGGGUUCUUAGGACUUUUCUUUAUUUCUUGCUGUUUCGAUUUGUUUCUUUAUUCCUACUUGUGCCGAUUCAUCAUCUAAUAAUUUGCUGUUCUUGUUUGUGUUUCAGCCUUGAUUCAAACUCCAAGAACUCUUCAUUUAAUCGGUUCUUUUAUUGGCAACAUAUAAUCGACUCAAAAUUCCCCAAAAUUUAGGGUUCUUGCCAUUUUCUAUUUCUUCUUGUUGGGUGAAAUUCGGCUGCUGAAAUUUGGGCAAUUCAUAUUGGGUGUUCAAUUGGACCGAAUCGCAACUUAAAUUCACUUCUUGAACCAUUCAAUUUCAUCUAUUUCUUUCUUUUCUUUUUUUUUGCCAUCCAAAUCCCUAAUCUUCCAAUUAAAAAUCUGAUUGUUUCAAUCUACUUACUGUUUUGGUGUUCUUGGCAGAUUCGGCUUGUGGGAUUUCACUAUUGGAGUUCGAUUUCAUCUUCUUGAACUCCGAAUACAUUUAUUCAUUCGUUCUUUGUUCCUUGCUGCUCAUUUAAUCGAAUUUGGGGAUUUAAUUUCAGAUCUGAUUAGUUUAAUCUUGUUCUUUGUUUUAAUUUUCAGAUCUGUUCGUUUAGAGCUUUCGUAGGAGUUUCUCGUGACUUGGCAACUCGAUCUUGGUCCGCGCGCAAUCCUAUAUCAUUUGGUAUCAGAUUUUGGGCGUUUUGGGUGUUCUUGGUUGAUUUCUAAACUGAUCUCUAUUUUUUAAAGCAUAAACAGCAGUUUUACCCAGAAAAAUUGUUUAAAAAAAUUCAUUUGAGUGGGUAAACGUUAUCCGAUUGAUCUAAAAUUUCACAUACAUGUUUUUGGCACUGUGAUUGAAUAUAAAAAAUUAUUUCCGCAAAAAAAUCAGUCAAAAAAGUAAAAAAAUCAAAAAAGACGAAUUUCAAUAAAAUUUUAAAAAAAAAGGUUCAGCGGGUUUAAUUUGGUGCCCAAAAUUUCCAGAUCAAAAAUUCAAUAUAUAAGGACACUCCAGAUUUAAUUUUGUGAUUUUUGGAGAUCGGGAACACCUCGAACGAAGUUGUCAAGUUACUCCGCAGUUUUUCGGGUUUUCUGUUUUCAGCAAUUUUUAUUGAUUCUUAGCUGUAGGUUUUCAUUUGUUUACCUUUAUUCUUCCUUUACGUUAUCUAACACCUUCUUGUUUCUUGUGUUAGUAGGAUUUAAACGUGUGCACAACUUCUUCCUCGGUGCAACACGAAUCAAUUGGUGUCUCGUCAGUUUUUGGCAUCCUAGUGCAAAUUAGGAUUCUUUGGUAGUUUGGUUCACACUCUCUAAUUGGUUGAUAUAAACUCUGAUAAAGAACUCACAAGAUUGAAUUCGACCUCAUUGAGAAUUUGAUUUUUUUUCUUUUUGAGUGAUUAACGGUGAGGUUUGAUAACUUUUAUUUUUGAGUGUUGAGUGUUUAUUUUUGCAGCUUUUUUGGAAGAUGUCUAAAGAUGACCAUAAUGAUACACUUAUGGAAGUCCAACAACAGUUAGAAGGACACGCUGCUGCAAUCACACAAAUAAAUGCUACCCUUCAAGCAUUGAAUACUACUUUGAAUGAGGUACGAAUGAAUCAAGAACUUCAAUAUCGAGAUCCAAUCAGGGAAGAUAGGAAUAACCAGCCCCAUAGGCGCGGCCCUCGACGUGUCCCUAGAAUGGAUGAUAAUUUUCAUGAUCGUGGACAACCUUCUUUGGCAAAACCGAAAUUCACAAUUCCCUAAUUUCGUGGUAAGAAUGAUCCUGACGCUUAUUGUGAAUGGGAAUCUAAGAUUGAACUCAUGUUUCGGUAUUAUAAAUGUCCGGAUGAUGAAAAGGUAGCGUUAGCAACACUGGAAUUUUCUGAUUAUGCAUUAAGUUGGUGGACUCAACUUGGGGUAAACCGCCAUCGGAAUUAUGAAGGUGAGAUUUCGACAUGGGAUGAGUUGAAACAGAUUAUGCGUAAAAGGUUUAUUCCACCUCACUACUAUAGAGAAAUUAAAACAAAGUUGAGAAGACUUAUCCAAGGUAGUAGGACGGUGGAUGAAUAUUUUAAAGAGAUGGAGAUGCUCAUUUAGAGAGCUAAUGUGGAGGAAGAUGAAGAAACAACUAUGGUUCGAUUCAUUGAUGGUUUGAACAGGCCGAUAGCUAAUACAUUGAGGCUACAAACUUACAUUGAUUUGGAAGAAGCAGUUCACAAAGCCAUUGAGAUCGAGCAACAAUUAAAGGAACAAAGGUUUGGGUCCUUCUCUACUUCACAAUAUUAUCGAGGUAACAAUUCCAAUUCUGAUUUUAAGAGUUCAAAACCACCUUUUGUUACUAACAAGUCUUCUUUGAGUAAUGGAAGUAAACAAUCAGGUUGGAAAAAAGGGGCUCUUGCAAAAACGCAAACACCGUCUAAGCAGCCCAAUUUAGGUGAUUCGAGUGCGAAGAGGACUCGUGAGAUUGAAUGCUUUAAGUGCAAAGGGCGUGGUCAUUAUAGUAGAGAAUGCCCUAACACGAGAUUACUUCUUCUAAAAGAUAACGGUGUGUACACUUUCGACUCUGAUAAUACAGAUCCAGAUAUGCCAGAACUUGUGGAUGACAGUGAUAACGGUGACGAGUUGGUCGAACCACCAAAGGAAGGGGACUUUGCUAAUUUUCAAUGCCUUGUAGUUCGUCGAACCCUUAACAUUCAGAUGAAAGAUGAUGAGAGCCAAAGGACCAAUAUUUUCCAUUCUCGGUGUUUUAUUAAAGGUAACUUAUGUUCACUCAUUAUUGAUAGUGGGAGUUGCUCGAAUGUAGUGAGUAGUUAUUUGGUGGAUUCUUUAAAGUUGCCUUGUACCAAACACCCUAAGCCAUAUCACCUUCAGUGGCUUAAUGAAUGUUCCGAAGUUAAAGUUACAAAACAGUCCUUGGUCACUUUUAAACUUGGCAAUUAUGAGGAUGACAUAUGGUGUGAUGUAGUCCUCAUGCAUGCGGCACACUUGCUCCUUGGACGACCUUGGCAAUUUGAUCGCGAUGUUACACACCAAGGUAAACUUAAUCGAUACUCCCUUGUAUUUAAAGGCAAGAAAUUCACUUUUGCUCCUUUAAAUCCUACUGAUGUAUAUAAAGAUCAAUUGAGGAUGAUAAAAUUUUGUGAGGGGGUAAGGGAGAAAGAGCAAGUACAAAAGACAGAGAGAAAAGAGGCUAAUAGUAGUGGAAAAAGUCAAAAUUUAAAAAGCCCAAAGGUGAGUGAAUCCUCUAGUGGUAAAAUGAGCGGAAAAAAUCUUUUGGCAACAAAAAAAGAUGUGAAGAGAGCCCUACUUAAUAAACAGCCUUGUAUCCUUGUGAGGUUUAGGAAAAAUUAUUUAUCUUUAUCUAACAUUAACGAAAAUUUGCCUAGUGUGUUUCAAUCUCUUUUGCAGGAUUAUGAGGAUGUUUUUAGUGAGGCCCCUAAAGGUUUACCACCUUUACGAGGGAUAGAACAUCAAAUUGACUUAGUACCCGGAGCUUCAAUCCCAAAUCGACCAGCCUAUAGAUGCAAUCCCGAGGAGACAAAGGAAUUGCAAAGGCAAGUGGAGGAAUUACUAGACAAAGGGUACAUUCGUGAGAGCCUAAGUCAUUGUGCUGUUCCUGUCUUAUUGGUGCCAAAGAAAGAUGGUACGUUUCGUAUGUGUGUUGAUUGUCGCCCAAUCAACAAGAUAACGGUAAAGUAUCGACACCCAAUCCCUAGACUUGAUGAUAUGCUUGAUGAAUUACAUGGUUCAAUAAUAUUUACAAAAAUUGAUUUAAAAAGCGGUUAUCAUCAAAUUCGAAUGAGGGAAGGGGAUGAAUGGAAAACAGCCUUUAAACCAAAUUUUGGAUUGUAUGAAUGGUUAGUUAUGCCUUUUGGCCUUACUAAUGCACCUAGUACAUUUAUGAGAUUAAUUGAUAUAGGAUUGCGCGCGGACCAAGAUCGAGUUGCCAAGUCACGAGAAACUCCUACGAAAAUCCUAAACAAUUAGAUCUGAAACGAAACAGAAAAUUAAAAGAUUAGAUUUUUGAAUUUUCAGAUCUGAAAUAAAAUCCCCAAAACAGUAAAGAAUCAAAUAGAGAAUAGAAAUAAGUGUUAAUAAGGAAUCUUGAAACCCUAGAAGAGAUUGCAAUUCUGCCCAAUUGAACACCCAGAUAGUUUUCCCCAAAUUUCGGCAAUCUAAUUUCUCCCAAAAAGAGUAUGGAUGAAUCGGCAAGAACCCUAGAAAUUGGGGAUUUUUGGGCUAAUUCCUUAAGAUAGAAAAAGGCUGAAAACACAAUAAGAACAGAAAAUAAAUUAGAUAAAGAUUCGGCACAAGCAGAAAUAAAGAAAGAAUUGACAGUAAGAAAUUAAAAGAUAAGUCCUAAGAAGCCUUGAAAUCCCGAAAGAUCUCACAACUCCCUUCAAACGGCUCUAAUCUCCCCUCCAAAGAAUAUCAAUGGCAAGAAGAAGGUUGAAGAUGGCUCCCACAAUCAAAAAAAGAUUGUUAAAACAACUUCUAAAGAAAACUCAAGAGAAAAUCCUUGAAGAACUCAAAGAGAAUUUUCACUCAAAUCAAAUCUGAAAUUUUCAAUGUAAUUGUAAUGUAAUGUAGGGUGGCUGGCCAAGCCAUAUAAAUAGGCCUUUCAAAUGUUUUUCUAAUUUAAUUAGAACACUAAAACUAAAACUAAAAAAAAACUCCUAAUUAUUUUAAUAUGGAAAUUCGGCCAAGGGUCUUUUAUUUGGGACUCUUGGACUGAAUAUAAAAAUUUAAACUAAGUAAAAUAAAUAAAUAAAUAAAUAAAAAUAAAACUUUACAACUUGGGCCACUUUGACAAUUUGGCCUGAUUUUCAACUAAGUAUGGGUGGAUUUCUUGAUUGGGCUUGGAAUCUUCUUAUUGGGCCUUGCCCUCAAGAAUUUGGGCUUUUGUGACUCGUAUCAUUCCCCCUUCCUCAAAAAGAUUCGUCCUCGAAUCUAAAAAAUCAAAUGAACUCGACUUUCCUCUAUCGAACGGGACUAAUGGCAAUUGAGUCCACUGAGAAGAAUAGCCAUGAGAUAGUAAAUAGCAACGGAAAUAAGCUUGUAGUCCAAUCAUAAGUAAAUAGAACAGGUAUAACGCAUGUGAAUGGACAGAUUCAUAUUACCAUGCAAACAAUCUAAUUUACUCACCACUGCCUCGUCAAAUAUUUGAAACAAAGAUGGACAUGUUUUAAUGCAUUCAGUCGUCUCACAUUGUUCCCACAAACCAUGAAUAAAUUGUGAGUAAUAAAUCAAAUGGUAAACAUAAUCGUCACAAGUAGGUAUUUGAAAAGAUUCACAUGGUUCACAGAGUUGCAUAAUCAUACCAUGCAUUAAUCGACGGUCUAUAGAUUCACUCACACAUGCAUUAUCAAAAACAAGAAUCUUUUUAUCAACCAUCAAAACAGAUAGAUCAUCAAUAAAUAAAAUAGGACAGUCAAGCACGUUUCGAUCUAAGUGUUCAUCAACACGAUCUUUAUCACUAUCCGAGGAGUACCAAAGUGUUUCAAAGGUUUCAAGCAUCUUACCUCGAUAAGCAGAAGAAUAAGGGUCAAUUUUACCUUUUUCAUUUAAAACAAACCUUCGCUCAUCGGGGCAUAGUGUAGUCGAAUCUUCGUUGUUGAGUUAACGUUUGUCAAAUGGAACUCAAACUUCAUGUACAACCACAUAAACUGUUUAAGGCACGAAUAUAAAUUGAAAACAAAUUUGGAAAAUUUCGUUACCUUAUUCUCCAAAACAGAUUUGGACAAAUUCAAGGAUUUUACACAAGGUAAAUCAAGAGAAUAACAAAUCACACUUCUUUUCGUAAUGACUUUAUCAACCACAAUCGAAGAGUAACAAUUGAUCGGAUCAAAAUGAGGGGAUCUUUUAAGAACUAAGUCACCAAAAGUUUUAUCAAUAAUUUUCAAAUCUGCACUGGACUCGGUUUCUAAAAUUUCCUUACCUCGCUUACCUUCGGGAUCAUGUAGUGUGAUUUCAUCUUUGCUUAAGUUGAUCGUAUGAAAGCGUCUUUCAUUUGAGAGGUAUUGAAGUUGAAAGUUAUCUUUCGAUCUUUCGGGAACCUGAAAAGUAGCAACACAAGAAAAAUUCAUAUCUUGGUUAGUGGAAACAUUCCUCACUACCCUUUCCACGUCUUUUUCUUUUGUUUCUUUUUCUAAUUCAUUUUCUCUUCUUUCUUCAAUUUCUUUUUCACUCUCAAUCUCUUUUUGCUCUUUUUCAUUCUAUUUUUCUUUUUCCUCACUUGUUUUAACAGAAUUUUUCAGUUUGAUUUGGUCCUCAUGGACUUGUUCCAGAGUGAGCGGCACUAAGGUGAGUUUCUUUCCUUAAUGCUUGAAAGAAUACCUAUUGGUACGACCAUCGUGAGUGACUUUUCGAUCUAGUUGCCACGGUUCUCCUGGCAACAAAUGGCAGGCUUGAAUAGGCAUUACGUCGCACACAACUUUGUCUUGAUACUUACCGAUAGAAAAGGCGAUGCACACUUGUUGAGUGACCCUAAAUUGGCCUUCAUUGCUAAGCCCUUGUAGUUGAUAAGGUUGUGGAUGCUUGGUAGUGGUUAAGCAAAGCUUUUCCACCAUCGUCGUGCUGGCUAUGUUCGAGCAACUUUCACCAUCAAUAAUAACUCUACAAAGCUUACCUUGUACGUGGCAGCGAGUAUGAAAGAGAUGUUCUCGUUGCUGCUCGCUCUUUGGUUUUGCCAAAGAUGAUUGUCCACGAUCAUGAAAAUCAUCAUCCAUUCUAGGGACACGUUGAGGGCUGCACCUAUGGGGCUGGUUAUCCCUAUCUUCCUUAAUUGGAUCUCGAUAUUGAUGUUUUUGAUUCACUCGUACCUCAUUCAAAGUAGUAUUCAAUGCUUGAAGUGUAGCAUUUAUUUGUGUGAUUGCAGCAGUAUGUCCGUGUAACUGUUGUUGGACUUUCAUAAGUGCAUCAUUAUUAUCACCUUUAGACAUCUUCAAAACUGUAAAAAAUAAACACUCAACACUCAAAAAUAAAAGUUAGCAAACCUCACCAUUAAUCACUCAAAAAGAAAAAUCAAAUUCUCAAUGAGGUCGAAUUCAAUCUUGUGAGUUCUUUAUCAGAGUUUAUAUCAACCAAUUAGAGAGUGUGAACCAAACUACCAAAGAAUCCUAAUUUGCACUAGGAUGCCAAAAACUGACGAGACACCAAGUGAUUCGUGUUGCACCGAGGAAGGAUUGUGCACACGUUUAAAUCCUACUAACACAAGAAACAAGAAGGUGUUAGAUAUUGUAAAAGGAGAAUAAAAAGCAAACAAAUGAAAACCUACAGCUAAGAAUCAAUAAAAAUUGCUGAAAAUAGAAAACCCGAAAAAACUGCGGAGUAACUUGACAACUUCGUUCGAGGUGUUCCCGAUCUCCAAAAAUCACGAAAUUAAAUCUGGAGUGUCCUUAUAUAUUGAGUUUUGGAUCUGGAAAAUUUGGGCACCAAAUUCAACCCGCUGAAUCUUUUUUUAAAUUUUUAUUGAAUUUCGUAUUUUUUGAUUUUUUUGACUUUUUUGACUGAUAUUUUUGCAGGAAUAAUUUUUUUAUAGUCAAUCACAGUGCCAAAAACAUGUAUGUAAAAUUUCAGAUCAAUAGGACAACGUUUACCCACUCAAAUGAAUUUUUUUUGAACAAUUUUUCUGGGUAAAACUGCUGUUUAUGCUUUAAAAAAUAGAGAUCAGUUUAGAAAUAAACCAAGAACACCCAAAACGCCCAAAAUCUAAUACCAAAUGAUACGGGGUAUGAAACUCCUAUAAAAACCCUAAACAAUUAGAUUUGAAACGAAACAGAAAAUUAAAAGAUUAGAUUUUUGAAUUUUCAGAUCUGAAAUAAAAUCCCCAAAACAAUAAAGAAUCAAAUAGAGAAUAGAAAUAAGUGUUAAUAAGGAAUCUUGAAACCCUAGAAGAGAUUGCGAUUCUGCCCAAUUGAACACCCAGAUAGUUUUCCCCAAAUUUCGGCAAUCUAAUUUCUCCCAAAAAGAGUAUGGAUGAAUCGGCAAGAACCCUAGAAAUUGGGGAUUUUUGGGCUAAUUCCUUAAGAUAGAAAAAGACUGAAAACACAAUAAGAACAGAAAAUAAAUUAGAUAAAGAUUCGGCACAAGCAGAAAUAAAGAAAGAAUUGACAGUAAGAAAUUAAAAGAUAAGUCCUAAGAAGCCUUGAAAUCCCGAAAGAUCUCACAACUCCCUUCAAACGGCUCUAAUCUCCCCUCCAAAGAAUAUCAAUGGCAAGAAGAAGGUUGAAGAUGGCUCCCACAAUCAAAAAAAGAUUGUUAAAACAACUUCUAAAGAAAACUCAAGAGAAAAUCCUUGAAGAACUCAAAGAGAAUUUUCACUCAAAUCAAAUCUGAAAUUUUCAAUGUAAUUGUAAUGUAAUGUAGGGUGGCUGGCCAAGCCAUAUAAAUAGGCCUUUCAAAUGUUUUCCUAAUUUAAUUAGAACACUAAAACUAAAACUAAAAAAAACUCUUAAUUAUUUUAAUAUGGAAAUUCGGCCAAGGGUCUUUUAUUUGGGACUCUUGGACUGAAUAUAAAAAUUUAAACUAAGUAAAAUAAAUAAAUAAAUAAAAAUAAAACUUUACAACUUGGGCCACUUUGACAAUUUGGCCUGAUUUUCAACUAAGUAUGGGUGGAUUUCUUGAUUGGGCUUGGAAUCUUCUUAUUGGGCCUUGCCCUCAAGAAUUUGGGCUUUUGUGACUCGUAUCAUUAAUGAAUCAUGUUUUGAGGCUACAUUUGAGUAAAUUUGUAGUAGUUUACUUUGAUGAUAUUUUAAUUUACUCAAAGUCAUUAGAUGAUCAUGUUUUCCAUGUUCGAACCGUUUUGGAUAUUCUACGAACUGAAAGAUUAUUUGCCAACCUUGAUAAAUGCACAUUCUGUUGUGAUAAACUAAUAGUCUUAGGUUUCAUAGUUAGUGCUCAGGGUAUUCAUGUCGACGAGGACAAAGUUAAGGCAAUUAAGGAGUGGCCGACUCCUAAAUCGGUAACUGAGGUGAGAUCUUUCCAUGGUUUAGCCAAUUUUUAUAGACGAUUUGUGAAAGAUUUCUCUACUAUUGCUGCCCCAUUGACUGAAGUUAUAAAGAAAUCAAUGGGUUUCAAAUGGGGUGAAACCCAAGAAACAGCUUUUCAAACUCUAAAAGCUAAGUUAUGUUCUGCUCCUUUGCUUAAAUUACCUGAUUUUGCUAAAACUUUUGAACUUGAGUGUGAUGCUUCAGGAAUUGGAAUCGGCGCCGUUUUAAUGCAAGAUAAGCAACCUAUUGCUUAUUUUAGUGAGAAAUUGAACGGUGCACAGUUAAAUUACUCAACUUAUGACAAAGAACUAUUGGCAUUAGUUCGUGCACUUCAAGUAUGGCAACAUUAUUUGCUGCCUAAUGAGUUUGUCAUACAUACAGAUCAUGAGUCUCUUAAAUGGUUAAAGGGACAAGGUAAGUUGAGUAAAAGACAUGCCCGAUGGGUAGAAUUCAUUGAAACAUUCCCUUAUGUGAUUCAAUAUAAAACAGGUAAAGAUAAUAUAGUCGCAGAUGCUUUGUCUAGACGAUAUACUUUAAUAACUACAUUGAAUGCUAAAGUCUUAGGGUUUGAACAUAUUAAAGAGUUAUAUGAUGAUGAUACUGAUUUCAGCCAUAUCUAUAAGAAUUGUGGACAUACUGCUUUUGAAAAAUUUUAUCUUGUAGAUGGCUUUCUUUUUCGUUUAAACAGGUUAUGCAUACCAAAGUGUUCCAUGAGAGAAUUGUUGAUUCAUGAAGCCCAUAGUGGGGGACUAAUGGGACAUUUUGGAGUGGCCAAAAACACUAGACAUAUUGCAAGAACACUUCCAUUGGCCACACAUAUGAAGAAGGAUGUGGAAAAGGUAUGUUCCAAGUGCAUUACAUGCAAACAAGCAAAAUCUAAGGUAAUGCCUCAUGGCCUUUACACUCCUCUACCGAUUCCUACUUCACCUUGGGUAGAUUUAUCCAUGGAUUUUAUUUUAGGUUUGCCUCGAACAAAAAAAGGAAGAUAUAGUAUAUUUGUUGUUGUUGACAGGUUUUCAAAGAUGUCACAUUUUAUUCCUUGUCACAAAACAGAUGAUGCUACACAUGUGGCAGACUUAUUCUUUAAAGAAGUGGUAAGACUUCAUGGCAUCCCUAAAACAAUUGUUUCUGAUAGAGAUGUCAAAUUCCUUAGCCACUUUUGGAAGGUAUUGUGGGGUAAGCUUGGUACUAAAUUGCUUUAUUCUACUACAUGUCACCCCAAACUAAUGGUCAAACUGAAGUAGUUAAUCGAAUCUUAGGGACUCUAUUACGAGCUAUUGUGGGAAAGAACAUUAGAAAUUGGGAAGAAUGCCUACCAUUCGUUGAAUUUGCAUAUAAUAGAUCUAUUCAUUCUACAACUGGUUAUUCCCCAUUUGAACUUGUUUAUGGUUUUAACCCACUAACAGUACUUGAUCUUGUGCCAUUACCUCUUGAACACGUUAUGAAUUUAGAUGGUGAACAGAAAGCAGAGUUGGUGAAAUCCUUACAUGAGAAGGCUAGACAGCGAAUAGCCAAAACAAAUGAUGCCAACACCAACAAAGCAAACAAGGGGCGCAAACGGGGUUGUACUAGAACCCGAAGAUUGGGUUUGGGUGGGUCCAUUUGAGGAAAGAACGAUUUCCUACAAAAAGGAAGACUAAGUUGGACCCAAGGGGCGAUGGGCCUUUCCAAGUACUCGAGCGGAUCAACGAUAAUGCCUAUAAAAUUGAUCUACCUGGUGAGUACAAUGUAAGUUCUACUUUUAAUGUGGCUGACUUGUCCCCAUUUGAUUUUUCAGAUUCGAGGUCGAAUCUUUUUGAGGAAGGGGGAAUGAUACGAGUCAUAAAGGCCCAAUCCAAGUUCAAGAACGUGAUGGGCUCAAAUUGCCACAAGGCCCAAUAACGAGAUCAAAGGCCCGACAAAUGCGGUCCAAACUAAAUGGGACCAUUCAAGAGCUUGUUAGCAAGGCCUUAGAUGCAUACACGAGAGAACAAGAAAAUCAAGAUUCACUUUCUUGUUUUCAAGAAAAUCAAGAAAUCGAAUCUUGGCCCAAUUUUGCUGUUCGAAGAGAUUUCAAGAAUCAAGAAAAUCAAGAUUUCAAAUCUUGGAAAUCUUGGUCCAAGAAACCAAAUCUUGCAGCCAAAACGCAUUGGAUCUCCAUUACGAGCAUCAACGACCCAAUUUUGGUAGGAGAUGGAUCACGAGCCCAAAUUCUUGAAGGCGAGGCCCAAUAACCAAAAUCCAGCCCAAUCAAGAAAUUUCUUCAUACUUAGUUGAAAAUCAGGCCAAAAUGUCAAAGGGCCCAAUUUGUAAACAUCUUACUUGUUUAAUUUAAUUUUUUAAUCUUUAGGAGCAUUACAUGUAAAAUUCGGCCCAAAACAGCCCAUAUAAGUGCAUGGCCGAAUUUACCUUGUUAUUUUAUUAAUUAGGUUUAAUUUUUUUUAGUUACUUGUGAGAUUAGGAUUUGUUGGAGGCCUAUAUAAGCAUUGGCCAGCCACCCUUUGUAAAAACAUCUCAUUAUUAUUUUUUUCUAUCAAAUUUCAGAUUUGUUGAGUGCAGAAUUUUCUUUGGGGUUUUCUCCAAGAAUUCUCUCUUGAGUUUCUUUAGAAGUUGUUUUAACAAUCUUUUGAUUGUGGGAGCCAUCUUCAACCUUCUUCUUGCCAUCGAUAUUCUUUGGAGGGAAGAUUAGAGCCGUUUGAAGGAAUUUGUGAAUUCUUUCGGGAAUUCAAGGGUUCUUAGGACUUUUCUUUAUUUCUUGCUGUUUCGAUUUGUUUCUUUAUUCCUACUUGUGCCGAUUCAUCAUCUAAUAAUUUGCUGUUCUUGUUUGUGUUUCAGCCUUGAUUCAAACUCCAAGAACUCUUCAUUUAAUCGGUUCUUUUAUUGGCAACAUAUAAUCGACUCAAAAUUCCCCAAAAUUUAGGGUUCUUGCCGUUUUCUAUUUCUUCUUGUUGGGUGAAAUUCGGCUGCUGAAAUUUGGGCAAUUCAUAUUGGGUGUUCAAUUGGACCGAAUUGCAACUUAAAUUCACUUCUUGAACCAUUCAAUUUCAUCUAUUUCUUUCUUUUCUUUUUUUUUGCCGUCCAAAUCCCUAAUCUUCCAAUUAAAAAUCUGAUUGUUUCAAUCUACUUACUGUUUUGGUGUUCUUGGCAGAUUCGGCUUGUGGGAUUUCACUAUUGGAGUUCGAUUUCAUCUUCUUGAACUCCGAAUACAUUUAUUCAUUCGUUCUUUGUUCCUUGCUGCUCAUUUAAUCGAAUUUGGGGAUUUAAUUUCAGAUCUGAUUAGUUUAAUCUUGUUCUUUGUUUUAAUUUUCAGAUCUGUUCGUUUAGAGCUUUCGUAGGAGUUUCUCGUGACUUGGCAACUCGAUCUUGGUCCGCGCGCAAUCCUAUAUCAGGUAAAUUUGGCCAUGCACUUAUAUGGGCUGUUUUGGGCCGAAUUUUACAUGUAAUGCUCCUAAAGAUUAAAAAAAUUAAAUUAAACAAGUAAGAUGUUUACAAAUUGGGCCCUUUGACAUUUUGGCCUGAUUUUCAACUAAGUAUGAAGAAAUUUCUUGAUUGGGCUGGAUUUUGGUUAUUGGGCCUCGCCUUCAAGAAUUUGGGCUCGUGAUCCAUCUCCUACCAAAAUUGGGUCGUUGACGCUCUUAAUGGAGAUCCAAUGCGUUUUGGCUGCAAGAUUUGGUUUCUUGGACCAAGAUUUCCAAGAUUUGAAAUCUUGAUUUUCUUGAUUCUUGAAAUCUCUUCGAACAGCAAAAUUGGGCCAAGAUUCGGUUUCUUGAUUUUCUUGAAAACAAGAAAGUGAAUCUUGAUUUUCUGGUUCUCUCAUGUAUGCAUCUAAGGCCUUGCUAACAAGCUCUGGAAUGGUCCCAUUUAGUUUGGACCGCAUUUGUCGGGCCUUUGAUUUCGUUAUUGGGUCUUGUGGCAAUGUGAGCCCAUCACAUUCUUGAACUUGGAUUGGGCCUUUAUGACUCGUAUCAUUCCCCCCUUCCUCAAAAAGAUUCAUCCUCGAAUCUAAAAAAUCAAAUGAACUCGACUUUCCUCGAUCGAACGGGACUAAUCGCAAUUGAGUCCACUGAAAAGAAUAGCCAUGAAAUAGUAAAUAGCAACGCAAACAAGCUUUUAGUCCAAUUAUAAGCAUAAUAGAACAGGUAUAACGCAUGUGAAUGGACAGAUUUAGAUUACCAUGCCUUAAUCGACGGUCUAUAGAUUCACUCACACAUGCAUUAUCAAAAACAAGAAUCUUUUUAUCAACCAUCAAAAUAGAUUUAUCAUCAAUAAAUAAAAUAGGACAGUCAAGCACGUUUCGAUCUAAGUGUUCAUCAACACGAUCUUUGUCGCUAUCCGAGGAGUACAAAAGUGUUUCAAAGGUUUCAAGCAUCUUACCUUGAUAAGUGAUACGAGUCACAAAAGCCCAAAUUCUUGAAGGCGAGGCCCAAUAAGCAAAUUUCCAGCCCAAUCAUGAAAUCCAUCCAUACUUAGUUGAAAAUCAGGCCAAAUUGUCAAAGUGGCCCAAGUUGUAAAGUUUUAUUUUUAUUUUUAUUUAUUUAUUUAUUUAUUUACUUAGUUUAAAUUUUUAUGUCAAUAUUCAGUCCAAGAGUCCCAGAUAAAAUGACCUUUGACCGAAUUUUCAUAUUAAAAUAAUUAGGAGUUUUUUUUAUUUUAGUUUUCUAAUUAGAUUAGGACUAGUUAUAAGGCCUAUUUAAAGGCAUGGCUGUCCACCUUGUUAAACACUUAUCAUUAUUAUUAAAAUUUCAGAUUUGUUGAGAGCAGAAUUUUCUUUGAGUUUUCUCCAAGAUUUCUCUCUUGAGUUUUCUUUAGAAGUUGUUUUAACAAUCUUGUGAUUGUGGGAGCCAUCUUCAACCUUCUUCUUGCCAUUGAUAUUCUUUGGAGGGGAGAUUAGAGCCGUUUGAAGGGAGUUGUGAGAUCUUUCGAGAUUUCAAGGCUUCUUAGGACUUAUCUUUUAAUUUCUUACUGUCAAUUCUUUCUUUAUUUCUACUUGUGCUGAAUCAUUAUCUAAUCUAUUUUCUGUUCUUAUUGUGUUUCAGCCUUUUUCUAUCUUAAGGAAUCAGCCCAAAAAUCCCCAAUUUCUAGGGUUUUUCCAUACUCUUUUUGGGUGAAAUUAGAUUGUCGAAAUUUGGGGAAAACUAUCUUGGUGUUCAAUUGGGCAGAAUCACAAUCUCCUUAAGGGUUUCAAGAACCCUAACACUUAUUUCUAUUCUCAAUUUGAUUCUUUGCUGAUUUGGAGAUUUUAUUUCAGAUCUGAAAAUUCAAAGUUCUAAUCUUUUAAUUUUUCUGUUUCGUUUCGCAUCUGAUUGUUUAGGGUUUUCGUAGGAGUUUCUCGUGACUUGGCAACUUGAUCUUGGUCCGCGUGCAACCCCGUAUCAUUUGGUAUCAGAUUUUGGGCGUUUUGGGUGUUCUUGGUUGAUUUCUAAACUGAUCUCUAUUUUUUAAAUUACAAACAGCAGUUUUACCCAGAAAAAUUUUCGAAAAAAAUUCAUUUGAGUGGGUAAACGUUUUCUGAUUGAUCUGAAAUUUUACAUACAUAUUUUUGGAACUUUUAUUGAAUAUACAAAAAUAUUUCCCGCAAAAAAAUAAGUCGAAAAAGUAAAAAAAUUGAAAAAAGACGAAAUCCAAUAAAAAAUUAAAAAAAUAUUCAGCGGGUUGAAUUUGGUGGCCAAAUUUUCCAGAUCAAAAAUUAAAUAUUUGAAGACAUUCCAGAUUUAAUUUCGUGAUUUUUGGAGAUUGGGAACACCUCGAACGAAGUUUUCAAGUUACUCUGCAGUUUUUCAGGUUUUCUGUUUUCAGCAAUUUUUAUUGAUUCUUAGCUGUAGGUUUUCAUUUGUUUGCUUUUUAUUAUCCUUUUAAAAUAUCUAACACCUUCUUGUUUCUUGUGUUAGUAGGAUUUAAACGUGUGCACAAUCCUUCCUCGGUGCAACACGAAUCACUUGGUGUCUCGUCAGUUUUUGGCAUCCUAGUGCAAAUUAGGAUUCUUUGGUAGUUUGGUUCACACUCUCUAAUUGGUUGAUAUAAACUCUGAUAAAGAACUCACAAGAUUGAAUUCGACCUCAUUGAGAAUUUGAUUUUUCUUUUUGAGUGAUUAAUGGUGAGGUUUGCUAACUUUUAUUUUUGAGUGUUGAGUGUUUAUUUUUUACAGUUUUGAAGAUGUCUAAAGGUGAUAAUAAUGAUGCACUUAUGAAAGUCCAACAAUAGUUAGACCGACAUACUACUGCAAUCACACAAAUAAAUGCUACACUUCAACAAUUGAAUACUACUUUGAAUGAGGUACGAGUGAAUCAAAAACAUCAAUAUCGAGAUCCAAUUAAGGAAGAUAGGGAUAACCAGCCCCAUAGGUGCAGCCCUCAACGUGUCCCUAGAAUGGAUGAUGAUUUUCAUGAUCGUGGACAAUCAUCUUUGGCAAAACCAAAGAGUGAGCAGCAACGAGAACAUCUCUUUCAUACUCGCUGCCACGUACAAGGUAAGCUUUGUAGAGUUAUUAUUGAUGGUGAAAGUUGCUCGAACAUAGCCAGCACGACGAUGGUGGAAAAGCUUUGCUUAACCACUACCAAGCAUCCACAACCUUAUCAACUACAAGGGCUUAGCAACGAAGGCCAAUUUAGGGUCACUCAACAAGUGCGCAUCGCCUUUUCUAUCGGUAAGUAUCAAGACAAAGUUGUGUGCGACGUAAUGCCUAUUCAAGCCUGCCAUUUGUUGCUAGGAGAACCGUGGCAACUGGAUCGAAAAGUCACUCACGAUGGUCGUACCAAUAGGUAUUCUUUCAAGCAUCAAGGAAAGAAACUCACCUUAGUGCCGCUCACUCUGGAACAAGUCCAUGAGGACCAAAUCAAACUAAAAAAUUCUGUUAAAACAAGUGAGGAAAAAGAAAAAGAGAAUGAAAAAGAGCAAAAAGAGAUUGAGAGUGAAAAAGAAAUUGAAGAAAGAAGAGAAAAUGAAUUAGAAAAAGAAACAAAAGAAAAAGACGUGGAAAGGGUAGUGAGGAAUGUUUCCACUAACCAAGAUAUGAAUUUUUCUUGUGUUGCUACUUUUCAGGUUCCCGAAAGAUCGAAAGAUAACUUUCAACUUCAAUACCUCUCAAAUGAAAGACGCUUUCAUACGAUCAACUUAGGCAAAGAUGAAAUCACACUACAUGAUCCCGAAGGUAAGCGAGGUAAGGAAAUUUUAGAAACCGAGUCCAGUGCAGAUUUGAAAAUUAUUGAUAAAAUUUUUUGUGACUUAGUUCUUAAAAGAUCCCCUCAUUUUGAUCCGAUUAAUUUUACUCUUCGAUUGUGGUUGAUAAAGUCAUUACGAAAAGAAGCGUGAUUUGUUAUUCUCUUGAUUUACCUUGUGUAAAAUCCUUCAAUUUGUCCAAAUCUGUUUUGGAGAAUAAGGUAACGAAAUUUUCCAAAUUUGUUUUCAAUUUAUAUUCGUGCCUUAAACAGUUUAUGUGGUUGUACAUGAAGUUUGAGUUCCAUUUGACAAACGUUAACUCAACAACGAAGAUUCGACUACACUAUGCCCCCGAUGAGCGAAGGUUUGUUUUAAAUGAAAAAGGUAAAAUCGACCCUUAUUCUUCUGCUUAUCGAGGUAAGAUGCUUGAAACCUUUGAAACACUUUUGUACUCCUCGGAUAGUGAUAAAGAUCGUGUUGAUGAACACUUAGAUCAAAACGUGCUUGACUGUCCUAUUUUAUUUAUUGAUGAUCUAUCUGUUUUGAUGGUUGAUAAAAAGAUUCUUGUUUUUGAUAAUGCAUGUGUGAGUGAAUCUAUAGACCGUCGAUUAAUGCAUGGUAUGAUUAUGCAACUCUGUGAACCAUGUGAAUCUUUUCAAAUACCUACUUGUGACGAUUAUGUUUACCAUUUGAUUUAUUACUCGCAAUUUAUUCAUGGUUUGUGGGAACAAUGUGAGACGACUGAAUGCCUUAAAACAUGUCCAUCUUUGUUUCAAAUAUUUGACGAGGCAGUGGUGAGUAAAUUAGAUUGUUUGCAUGGUAAUCUGAAUCUGUCCAUUCACAUGCGUUAUACCUGUUCUAUUAUGCUUAUGAUUGGACUACAAGCUUAUUUCCGUUGCUAUUUACUAUCUCAUGGCUAUUCUUUUCAGUGGACUCAAUUGCCAUUAGUCCCGUUCGAUAGAGGAAAGUCGAGUUCAUUUGAUUUUUCAGAUUCGAGGACAAAUCUUUUUGAGGAAGGGGGGAAUGAUACGAGUCACAAAAGCCCAAAUUCUUGAAGGCGAGGCCCAAUAAGCAAAUUCCCAGCCCAAUUAAGAAAUCCAUCCAUACUUAGUUGAAAAUCAGGCCAAAUUGUCAAAGUGGCCCAAGUUGUAAAGUUUUAUUUUUAUUUUUAUUUAUUUAUUUAUUUAUUUACUUAGUUUAAAUUUUUAUGUCAAUAUUCAGUCCAAGAGUCCCAGAUAAAAUGACCUUUGACCGAAUUUCCAUAUUAAAAUAAUUAGGAGUUUUUUUUAUUUUAGUUUUCUAAUUAGAUUAGGACUAGUUAUAAGGCCUAUUUAAAGGCAUGGCUGUCCACCUUGUUAAACACUUAUCAUUAUUAUUAAAAUUUCAGAUUUGUUGAGAGCAGAAUUUUCUUUGAGUUUUCUCCAAGAUUUCUCUCUUGAGUUUUCUUUAGAAGUUGUUUUAACAAUCUUGUGAUUGUGGGAGCCAUCUUCAACCUUCUUCUUGCCAUUGAUAUUCUUUGGAGGGGAGAUUAGAGCCGUUUGAAGGGAGUUGUGAGAUCUUUCGAGAUUUCAAGGCUUCUUAGGACUUAUCUUUUAAUUUCUUACUGUCAAUUCUUUCUUUAUUUCUACUUGUGCUGAAUCAUUAUCUAAUCUAUUUUCUAUUCUUAUUGUGUUUUCAGCCUUUUUCUAUCUUAAGGAAUCAGCCCAAAAAUCCCCAAUUUCUAGGGUUUUUCCAUACUCUUUUUGGGUGAAAUUAGAUUGUCGAAAUUUGGGGAAAACUAUCUUGGUGUUCAAUUGGGCAGAAUCACAAUCUCCUUGAAGGUUUCAAGAACCCUAACACUUAUUUCUAUUCUCAAUUUGAUUCUUUGCUGAUUUGGGGAUUUUAUUUCAGAUCUGGAAAUUCAAAGUUCUAAUCUUUUAAUUUUUCUGUUUCGUUUCGGAUCUGAUUGUUUAAGGUUUUCGUAGGAGUUUCUCGUGACUUGGCAACUCGAUCUUGGUCCGCGUGCGUCCCUUUAUCAUUAAGCAAAAGAAUAAGGGUCGAUUUUACCUUUUUCAUUUAAAACAAACCUUCGCUCAUCGGGGGCAUAGUGUAGUCGAAUCUCCGUUGUUGAGUUAACCUUUGUCAAAUGGAACUCAAACUUCAUGUACAACCACAUAAACUGUUUAAGGGACGAAUAUAAAUUGAAAACAAAUUUGGAAAAUUUCGUUACCUUAUUCUCCAAAACAGAUUUGGACAAAUUCGAGGAUUUUACACAAGGUAAAUCAAGAGAAUAACAAAUCACGCUUCUUUUCGUAAUGACUUUAUCAACCACAAUCAAAGAGUAACAAUUAAUCGGAUCAAAAUGAGGGGAUCUUUUAAGAACUAAGUCACCAAAAGUUUGAUCAAUAAUUUUCAAAUCUGCACUGGACUCGGUUUCUAAAAUUUCCUUACCUCGCUUACCUUCGGGAUCAUGUAGUGUGAUUUCAUCUUUGCCUAAGUUGAUCGUAUGAAAGCAUCUUUCAUUUGAGAGGUAUUGAAGUUGAAAGUUAUCUUUCGAUCUUUCGGGAACCUGAAAAGUAGCAACACAAGAAAAAUUCAUAUCUUGGUUAGUGGAAACAUUCCUUACUACCCUUUCCACGUCUUUUUCUUUUGUUUCUUUUUCUAAUUCAAUUUCUCUUCUUUCUUCAAUUUCUUUUUCACUCUCAAACUCUUUUUGCUCUUUUUCAUUCUCUUUUUCUUUUUCCUCACUUGUUUUAACAGAAUUUUUCAGUUUGAUUUGGUCCUCAUGGACUUGUUCCGGAGUGAGCGGCACUAAGGUGGGUUUCUUUCCUUGAUGCUUGAAAGAAUACCUAUUGGUACGACCAUCGUGAGUGACUUUUCGAUCUAGUUUCCAUGGUUCUCCUAGCAACAAAUGGCAGGCUUGAAUAGGUACUACGUCGCACACGACUUCGUCUUGAUACUUACCGAUAGAAAAGGCGAUGCGCACUUGUUGAGUGACCUUAAAUUGGCUUUCGUUGCUAAGCCCUUGUAGUUGAUAAGGUCGUGGAUGCUUGGUAGCGGUUAAGCAAAGCUUUUCCACCAUCGUCGUGCUGGCUACGUUGGAGCAACUUUCACCAUCAAUAAUAACUCUACAAAGCUUACCUUGUACAUGGCAGCGAGUAUGAAAGAGAUGUUCUCGUUGCUGCUCGCUCUUUGGUUUUGCCAAAGAGGGUUGUCCACGAUCAUGAAGAUCAUAAUCAGUUCUAGGGACACGCCGAGGAGCGCGCCUAUGAGCAAGAGGCUGGCUAUCCUCAUCGUCUUUAAUUUGAUCUCGAUAUUGAGGCUCUUGAUUCAACCGCACCUCAUUGAUAGUAGCAGUCAACGCUCGAAGUGCAGCAGCCUGUUCGUCCAAUUGUUGUUGGAAUCUUUUAAAUAUGUCACUAUUAUUAUCACCUGUAGACAUUUUUUUUAAACCCUGCAAAACACUCAAUGAUGUGAGCUUGCCUACGAACCAAAUGGAGAACGAACAAGAAGCUAUUAAGCUGCCCAUUGGUCCGAUAACGCGAGCUAGAGCUAAACGAUUUAAAGAUGCUAUUUUAGCAUUGGUGGAACGGAUUGAGGAAAAUGAAAGCAAAGAGCUUAAAGACGAGCUGAAUAUUUUCAACUUCUUUGAAGUUGAAAUUCGUUCUAGCUAAUUAAAUUGCUGCUGGAUUUUAAACCAUUUAAAUAAGCAUUUAAUUAAGUCUUAUUGCAGCUUAUUAAUAUGUUUUUAUUUAAUAUAAGUGUUUAAUAUGUCUUAAUUUAGUUACAUUAAAGAUGUCUUGAUUUCAUUUAGUUUGUCUAAAUUAUUACAUGUCUUAAAUCUGUUCAACCGAAUUUGUGUCAUGCUUUAUUAAUAUUUAAGUUGUUUCAAUGUUAAAUUAGGAUGUUCACAUUAUGUAUUUACUUAGUUCAGCUUAAUUUGAUUGAAAUUAAUUAAGUUCAUGUGUGUUUUUAGGUACAGCCGAAUUUGAAGAUUCAUUGGGCAGAUUCAUGCAUGAAGAUUCAAUGGAUGUGAAGAUGCAUGCAUGUUGGGUUCAAUGCACCAAAUGAUACAUGCAUGGACUAUAUUAAAGAUGGUGUGCUGAUUGUUGAAGUUCUCUAAGUGACCAUUCGGCCAAAAGAGAUGAUUUUCCAUUCUCCAAAGCUGCCAUUUAUUUCCUUCACAUUGCUGGGUACAUUGUGGCUAUUCGGUUCAUGAUGUUCACACCUUAUGGUCAUUCAAAACCGUCCAUUCACACUUCCAAAUGACUGUUCAAGUUGAUAAUUAAUGAUGGUAAUUUUUCAGCAAGAGUUGCUUCAUUAUUGACCUUAUUAAACUCCAUUGGCCGAAUGUAGCUGCUGCCAAUUUUCCAAGUUCGUUGAAGCUCUUCCUUGGUCUAUAUUCAGCCGAACAUUGAUUCAAGACCAUUCAUGGAUCUUAGCUCAAAAUUAGUUCAAUGUUUACUUAGUUUUUAAGUAUUGAACUUGACUAUUCGGCUACUAGUCACUUAAGCUAUAAAUAGUGAGAAAUUUCUGAAUGAAAUAUAAUUUUAGUGAGAAAUUCACUCUCUUUAUUCUCCAAAGCUCAAAUUGACUUAUCUUCAACGAGUGGCGUCAAUCUGACUUUGUUCGAACUUAUCACCCAUUGGUGUGGCGUUCUCCAUACCGUAGGUUCCUAUUUUGCUAAAUAGAGGGUCUCGGUUUUUAUCCUAUUUCCAUUUCUUUCUUUGAAACCUUAAGCCCGGGUCCUUAUUUGAUAAUAAGGGUUCGAUCUUGUUUCAUCGAAUUACCCAGCAAACAACAACCCAUCAAACUCCUUUGUUCCUAAAGCCAUCCAACUUCAAACACCAAGACUUGAAUUUGAUUCAAUUCCGACACUACCUAAUUUCGAUCGGGAAAGAUUACGACUCGUCUUUACCUCCGAAACGAGCUCGUAUCACUCAACACUCAAAAAUAAAAGUUAUCAAACCUCACCGUUAAUCACUCAAAAAGAAAAAAAUCAAAUUCUCAAUGAGGUCGAAUUCAAUCUUGUGAGUUCUUUAUCAGAGUUUAUAUCAACCAAUUAGAUAGUGUGAACCAAACUACCAAAGAAUCCUAAUUUGCACUAGGAUGCCAAAAACUGACGAGACACCAAUUGAUUCGUGUUGCACCGAGGAAGAAGUUGUGCACACGUUUAAAUCAUACUAACACUAGAAACAAGAAGGUGUUAGAUAACGUAAAGGAAGAAUAAAGGUAAACAAAUGAAAACCUACAGCUAAGAAUCAAUAAAAAUUGCUGAAAACAGAAAACCCGAAAAACUGCGGAGUAACUUGACAACUUCGUUCGAGGUGUUCCCGAUCUCCAAAAAUAACGAAAUUAAAUCUGGAGUGUCCUUAUAUAUUGAAUUUUUUGAUCUGGAAAUUUUGGGCACCAAAUUCAACCCGCUGAAUCUUUUUUUAAAUUUUUAUUGAAUUUCGUAUUUUUUUAUUUUUUUGACUUUUUUGACUGAUUUUUUUGCGCGAAUAAUUUUUUUAUAUUCAAUAACAGUGCCAAAAACAUGUAUGUAAAAUUUCAGAUCAAUCGGACAAUUUUUACCCACUCAAAUGAAUUUUUUUUGAACAAUUUUUCUGGGUAAAACUGCUGUUUAUGCUUUAAAAAAUAGAGAUCAGUUUAGAAAUCAACCAAGAACACCCAAAACGCCCAAAAUCUGAUACCAAAUGAUACGGAAUGCGCGCGGACCAAGAUCGAGUCGUCAAGUCACGGGAAACUUCUACGAAAGCUCUAAACGAACAGAUCUGAAAAUUAAAACAAAGAACAAGAUUAAAAGCAAAUUUGAAUUGAAUUGAAAUUCCCCAAAUUCAAUUAAAUGAGCAGCAAGAAACAAAGAAAUAGGAUAAGUGAAUCACACGGAAUUGAAAGUAUGGAAAGGAUGCGAAUCUGCCAAGGGAUUGAUUCGGCCAAGAAUGCCUAAUUUCCAGCAAUCAAUUGAUCCCCAAAUUGAAAGAGAUCCAAUCGGCCAAACCCUAGGAAUUGGGGAUUUUUGGGUUCGAAUGGGUGCUGUGAUACGCCCUCACCUCGAGAUCGAAUUGAGUCGUAAAGAUCGCCCGAUCGUGAAUUAGGAGUAAAUUGAGGCUUUACAAAAUAGGCUAGAAGAAAGAGGUUUAUUUAGGCUCAAAAAGGUUUUGUUGGUUUAGGAAAUGAAUUAGAAAACAAUGGAAGCAAUUUGGCUAAGGAUUCAAAAGCCGAACUAACACAAUAGGAAUGUGUUAACCCGUAACUUAGGAGAAUGCUUAGGUUGGUAAGGAUGGAUGGAAGGUUUGUUAAAUGGAAAGAAACUUCGACCCACUAUCAAUGGUGAUAGGAACCUUAGUAUGAAUCGAACGCCACACUUUUGGGAUUAAAGUGAUAAGUUCGGGAAGAAACAAAAACAAGUUUGAUGCCACAAAGAUGUUUGAUAAGUCUCACAAGUUUUUGGAGAAUAACGAGAGUUGAAAACAACCUCACAAUUUAGCAAAGCUAUCAAAUUGUUCAUUAAUCUCAAAAUGUGAAUUACAUGACCUAUUUAUAGCUUGACUAAGGCAGCCGAAUAGCCUAUCUAAUCAGAUCCUUAUGCCUUAAGUUUCUUGAGGAAACUUCCUAGAAAUUUCCUAGUUACAUUCAUGUGAUGAAAUUCUGAAAAUUNNNNNNNNNNNNNNNNNNNNNNNNNNNNNNNNNNNNNNNNNNNNNNNNNNNNNNNNNNNNNNNNNNNNNNNNNNNNNNNNNNNNNNNNNNNNNNNNNNNNNNNNNNNNNNNNNNNNNNNNNNNNNNNNNNNNNNNNNNNNNNNNNNNNNNNNNNNNNNNNNNNNNNNNNNNNNNNNNNNNNNNNNNNNNNNNNNNNNNNNNNNNNNNNNNNNNNNNNNNNNNNNNNNNNNNNNNNNNNNNNNNNNNNNNNNNNNNNNNNNNNNNNNNNNNNNNNNNNNNNNNNNNNNNNNNNNNNNNNNNNNNNNNNNNNNNNNNNNNNNNNNNNNNNNNNNNNNNNNNNNNNNNNNNNNNNNNNNNNNNNNNNNNNNNNNNNNNNNNNNNNNNNNNNNNNNNNNNNNNNNNNNNNNNNNNNNNNNNNNNNNNNNNNNNNNNNNNNNNNNNNNNNNNNNNNNNNNNNNNNNNNNNNNNNNNNNNNNNNNNNNNNNNNNNNNNNNNNNNNNGGAAAAGCUUUGCUUAACCACUACCAAGCAUCCACGACCUUAUCAACUACAAGGGCUUAGCAACGAAAGCCAAUUUAAGGUCACUCAACAAGUGCGCAUCGCCUUUUCUAUCGGUAAGUAUCAAGACGAAGUCGUGUGCGACGUAGUACCUAUUCAAGCCUGCCAUUUGUUGCUAGGAGAACCAUGGCAACUAGAUCGAAAGGUCACUCACGAUGGUCGUACCAAUAGGUAUUCUUUCAAGUAUCACAGAAGGAAAAUCACCUUAGUGCCGCUCACUCCGGAACAAGUCCAUGAGGACCAAAUCAAACUGAAAAAUUCUGUUGUUAAAACAAGUGAGGAAAAAGAAAAAGAGAAUGAAAAAGAGCAAAAAGAGAUUGAGAGUGAAAAGGAAUGUGAAACAGAAAAGAAAAUUGAAAAAGAAGUUGAAGAAAGAAGAGAAAAUGAGUUAGAAAAAGAAACAAAAGAAAAAGACGAGGAAAGGCUAGUGAGGAAUGUUUUCACUAACCAAGAUAUGAAUUUUUCUUGUGUUGCUACUUUUCAGGUUCCCGAAGGACCGAAAGAUAACUUUCAACUUCAAUACCUCUCAAAUGAAAGACGCUUUCAUACGAUCAACUUAGGCAAAGAUGAAAUCACACUACAUGAUCCCGAAGGUAAGCGAGGUAAGGAAAUUUUAGAAACUGAGUCCAGUGCAGAUUUGAAAAUUAUUGAUAAAACUUUUGGUGACUUAGUUCUUAAAAGAUCCCCUCAUUUUGAUCUGAUUAAUUGUUACUCUUCGAUUGUGGUUGAUAAAGUCAUUACGAAAAGAAGCGUGAUUUGUUAUUCUCUUGAUUUACCUUGUGUAAAAUCAUCGAAUUUGUCCAAAUCUAUUUUGGAGAAUAAGGUAACGAAAUUUUCCAAAUUUGUUUUCAAUUUAUAUUCGUGCCUUAAACAGUUUAUGUGGUUGUACAUGAAGUUUGAGUUCCAUUUGACAAAGGUUAACUCAACAACGAGAUUCGACUACACUAUGCCCCCGAUGAGCGAAGGUUUGUUUUAAAUGAAAAAGGUAAAAUCGACCCUUAUUCUUUUGCUUAUCAAGGUAAGAUGCUUGAAACCUUUGAAACACUUUUGUACUCCUCGGAUAGCGACAAAGAUCGUGUUGAUGAACACUUAGAUCGAAACGUGCUUGACUGUCCUAUUUUAUUUAUUGAUGAUAAAUCUAUUUUUAUGGUUGCUAAAAAGAUUCUUGUUUUUGAUAAUGCAUGUGUGAGUGAAUCUAUAAACCGUCGAUUAAUGCAUGGUAAUCUGAAUCUGCCCAUUCACAUGCGUUAUACCUGUUCUAUUAUGCUUAUAAUUGGACUACAAGCUUGUUUGCGUUGCUAUUUACUAUUUCAUGGCUAUUCUUUUCAGUGGACUCAAUUGCCAUUAGUCCCGUUCGAUCGAGGAAAGUCGAGUUCAUUUGAUUUUUUAGAUUCGAGGACGAAUCUUUUUGAGGAAGGGGGGAAUGAUACGAGUCACAAAGGCCCAACCCAAGCUUAAGAAGGUGAUGGGCUCAAAUUAAGAAAAUCAAGAUUCACUUUCUUGUUUUCAAGAAAAUCAAGAAAUCGAAUCUUGGCCCAAUUUUGCUGUUCGGAGCAAUUUCAAGAAUCAAGAAAAUCAAGAUUUCAAAUCUUGGAAAUCUUGGUCCAAGAAACCGAAUCUUGCAGCCAAAGCGCGUUGGAUCUCCAUUACGAGCGUCAACGACCCAAUUUCGGUAGGAGAUGGAUCACAAGCCCAAAUUCUUAAAGGCGAGGCCCAAUAAGUAUAUUCCCAGCCCAAUCAAGAAAUCCAUACAUAUUUAGUUGAAAAUCAGGCCAAAAUGUCAAAGGGCCCAAUUUGUAAACAUUUUAGUUGUUUAAGUUAAUUUUUUAAGUUUUAGGAAUAUCACAUGUUAAAUUCGGCCCAAAACAGCCCAAUAGGAUGCAUGGCCGAAUUUUCCUUUGUUUUUUUUAAUUAAGUUUAAAUUUUUUAAGUUUUCUAAUUAGAUUAGGAUUUGUUGGAGGCAUAUAUAAGCAUUGGCCAGCCACCCUUUGUAAACAUAUUAUUAUUAUUUUUUUAAUCAAAUUUCAGAUUUGUUGAGUGCAGAAUUUUCUUUGGGGUUUUCUCCAAGAAUUCUCUCUUGAGUUUUCUUUAGAAGUUGUUUUAACAAUCUUUUGAUUGUGGGAGCCAUCUUCAACCUUCUUCUUGCCAUCGAUAUUCUUUGGAGGGGAGAUUAGAGCCGUUUGAAGAGAUUUGUGAAAUCUUUCGGGAUUUCAAGGAUCUUUAGGACUUAUCCUUUAAUUCUUGCUGUUUUCGAUUUCUUUCUUUACUUUUCUUUGCUUAUACUUGUGCCGAUUUCUCAUCUAAUAUUUUGCUGUUCUUGUUUGUUUUCCAGCAUUGAUUAAAUUCAAGAUCUCAUCGUUUAAGUUGUUCUCCUAUUGGCAGCACCCAUUCGAACCCAAAAAUCCCCAAUUCCUAGGGUUUGGCCGAUUGGAUUUCUUUCAAUUUGGGAAUCAAUUGAUUGCUGGAAAUUGGGCAUUCUUGGCCGAAUCAAUUCCUUGGCAGAUUCGCAUCUUUUCUUUCUUCUCAAUUUCGUUUGAUUCAUCGAUUCUAUUUCUUUUCUUCUUGCUGCUCUUUUAAUUGAAUUUGGGAAUUUUAAAUUCAAAUCUGAUUCGGUUUAAUCUUAAUCUUUGUUUUUGAUUUCAGAUCUGUUCGUCUAGGAUCUUUCGUAGGAGUUUCUCGUGACUUGGCAACUCGAUCUUGGUCCGCGUCGUCCCUUUAUCAGCGUCUAUCUUGCAUCAACACAGCUCCAAUACCUAAACCUGAUGCAUCACACUCUAACUCGAAAGUUUUAUCAAAAUUAGGCAAAAUUAAUAAUGGUGCAUGAGUUAAACAAUCUUUAAUUUUCAGAAAUGAUUUUUCUUGCUCCUCUCCCCAUACAAAAUUAGAAUUCUUACGAAUAACCCCAGUUAAGGGUGUGGCUAAGGUGCUGAAGUUUGGCACGAAUCGUCGGUAAAAACUUGCUAAUCCAUGGAAACUUCAAACUUGGGAGACAUUCGUCGGACGAGGCCAUUCUUGGAUCGGCUUGAUCUUCUCUUGGUCGACUUCAAGACCCUCUGAGCUAACAACAAAACCUAAAAACACAACCUUGUUAGUGCAAAAAUCACAUUUCUUCAAAUUAGCAUACAAGGUUUCUUUUCUCAAUACUUCCAAAACAGCCUUUAGAUGUAAAACAUGUUCAUCCAACUUUUUACUAUAGAUCAAUAUAUCAUCGAAGUAUACUACGCAAAAUCUACCAAUAAAAGGCCUCAAAACGUGAUUCAUAAGCCUCAUGAAUGUACUCGGGGCGUUUGUUAAGCCAAAGGGCAUAACGAGCCAUUCGUAAAGCCCAUGCUUUGUUUUGAAAGCAGUCUUCCACUCGUCUCCCUCGCGCAUCCGUAUUUGGUGAUAACCACUUUUAAGAUCGAUUUUUGAAAAUAAACUUGUGCCACUUAGUUCAUCAAGCAUAUCAUCCAAUCGCGGUAUAGGAUGACGAUACUUAAUGGUUAUCUUAUUAAUUGCACGGCAGUCCACACAUAUCCUCCACGUUCCAUCCUUCUUCGGAACGAGCAAAACAGGCACGGCGCAUGGACUAAGUGAUACAAUCUCGGUUUAGUAGUUGAGGCCGAGUCAUUUAGUUCCCGAUCGUAAACGAAGAAGUAGAAUAGACGAGAAGGAGAUAGAAUAUAUUUGUGUUCAAAGAAGUAAGAUAAGUUCGUGCAAAGUUGGAUGUGGAUUUGGUUUAAGUCGAAAAGGUAUGAAUAGAAUGGACGAGUUCGGUUUAGGAUAAUUAAGAAAUGGUAUUUGGUUUUGGUACGUUUUGGUAUUUGAAAAUUGGUUCGAAAUAGUAUGGAAUUGGUACGAAAUGGUAUGGUAUUUGGUACGAAUUGGUAAUGGUUCAAAAGGACCUUGACCGAUACUUAGGAAAGUAUGAACCAAAGGUAUCAAAGGUGAACGCCACACUCGGGUUUAAGGAGUGAUAAGUUCGGAAAAGACUCGGAAAGACGCCACUAAAAAGCUUAGAUAAGUCUUACGGGUCUCGAACGAAAUUUGAGAGAAAAUGCCUCAUGUAACACCCCGAACCCGAAACCGACACCGGAGUCGAACACGAGGUGUUAACUGACUUUAACCCCUUAUAAAGUUUAUUUUCCAGACACUGCCCAAUCUGUGUACUAGUCGUUCUAAAAAUCAUAUCUUGAGUUUCAUAACUCGAAAAUCAGUUUCGUGAUUUUUCCCAGAAACUAGACUCAUGUUCCCAUCUAUUUAUUUUUUUCUAGAAUUUUUGGUUGGGCCAAUUAGUACAGUUUAUUAGUCAAAGUCUCCCAUGUUGCAGGGGUCGACUACACUGACCUUUGCCCAUUACGACUUGGAUAUCUCACUGCACAGGGCUCCAAUACUGAUGCCGUUUGUUUCUAUGAAAACUAGACUCAGAGAGGAAUCUGUACAUAUAUGGUACAACCCCUAAUUAUCUCUGGUUAAUUUAUAAUGAAUUUCCAAAUUCGGAGUAGGGAAUCCAGAAACCGUUCUGGCCCUGUCCUACAAAAAUCUGAUUAUCUCUCAAUAUACUGCCCAUAUGAUCUUUUCGUUACUUCCUCAUGAAAACAGACUCAUCGAGCUUCGAUUACAUAAUUUAUUCGUCAAUUAAUUCCACUCCUACUAUUUUUAGUUAUUUUUCAAUCUCAUGACACUGCUGCUGCCAGCAUCUGUUACGAAAGUAUCUAGGCCCAUUUCAUGCCUACCCUUGAUCCAACUCAAUCGAACAUUCGUGCCAUUUUCGCAUGGCUUAAAGUUUACAUGCCAAAGUUCAAACACAACGUAAUAGCUUAUACAUGCCAAAAUGUUCUUCUAAUCCAACUAAGAGGAAAGUACCAAAACUUGCUAUCCGGUGUGAUGACUUCGAUGACGGCCCGACCCCGCAAAAAUAGAUGAGUCCAAGCAACCUAUAAUGGGUGACAAGGAAACACCGAGUGAGUUUAUAACUCAGUAAGUCAUAAGCUGUGCACUACCAUCCAUCCAUAACAUUAUCACAAGAGAAAACAAAAUGGAACGAGGCUAAUUACUCCAUCCAUUCCGAACCACACCAUAGUUCCUCCGACCUAUCGGUUUGGUUUCAUACCAAUUUAUGCAUUCACAAUCCACAUACUCAUCAAUAGGAUAUUCGAGGCAUUUUCAUAAAUCAUUUUAUUUUCGUUACCAACAUACAACUAAACGGCCUUUCACCCAUUCUACGAUAAAUUUCAUGUACGUGACUUCAAGUAUAUUUGUCACAUAGGUUCAAACUUACCAAGCUCAUCACCAAGUAUCGACAUAGCACCUAUUAGCCAUGAACUCAAGACACUUACCCGAUCCGCCGUCCGUGAUCGACUCAAUAGCGUCGCACACUUAGUGUCCAUAAUGAUUCAAGAAUAUAUAUUAAGUCCGCACACUCAGUGCUAUAUAAUCAACUCGCACACUUAGUGCCACAUAAUCAAACUCGCACACUUAGUGCUACAUAGUCAACUCGCACACUUAGUGCCGCAUGGUCAAUUCGCACACUUAGUGCAUCAUUUUCAUUUCGCACACUUAGUGCAACAUGGUCAAAUCGCACACUUAGUGCUACAUAGCCAAAUCGCACACUUAGUGCUGUACAAUUUACUCCCGCGCACUUAGCGCCAAUCUCAUGGUCAUAAAUGGUUAUACCCGCACGUUUAGUGCCGAGAUCAACAACUUAGUACAUCUUACCUCUUUUCUUUUCAUUCAACAAUUUCAUCAUCCCAUACGUACAUGCAUAUAUAUAUAUAUGUAUAUUUAUUCAUUCCAUUUAGCAUCAAUACAUACACAUUAUGACCAUUUAAAACAAUACCAACUACAUGCUUAAUGACUUACCUCGUGUUGGGUAAGACGGUUCCAACUCGGCUACUCGAUGACCUUUUCUUUGCCUUUGCUCGAUUCACCUCCUUUAACUCCUUGAGCUUAAUCAAUAAUUUAACUAGUUUAACCACCUUGCUAAAUAUUUACAAUCCAAUUUCACAUGUAUAUGUAUGUUAGUAUAUUCGGCUAAUAACCUCACGCAACUACCAUAUCAUCAAAAAUCUAAUCACACAUGCACAUGCAUUAGGUAAGUCACCUUUGCUAAUUUUAAACCCAACAUCACACAAGCUCUCAAGUGAUGGCCGAAUGCUUCUUUUGUUACCCAACUAAUCAUUCGACAAUUUCAUCAUUUAGGCCUCAAAAAGAUGAACACAAGGCACUUAGCCCAUAUUUAUACAUUAGACAUUAAAGUCUCUUACAUGCAAAAAUCAUGCAUCAACACAACAUAUUAGCUAAUUUAUUUCCCCUUGGCCGAAUAUGCAUGCCUAUUUUUGGGGUCGAUUUCAACACUUAAUACACACAUAUACACACUAGUAAAGCAUCCUCCCCCUUUUCAUCAAUUUAACACAUGCAUUGCUCAUUAACAUGCAAAGUUACAUUCGGCCUUAGCACACAUCUUGCUAGCCGAUUCUUCUCCAUUUAGCACCCAAUGCACAUAUGUGCUCACACAACAAAAAAAAUGCCAAAAAGGAGGUUCAAGAAUCAUCAAGCCAUCAUCACAUGCAUCAUUAACAAGCUUCAUAUUUUGCAUGCAAUGGCAUUAACACAACCUCCACCUAGGCCGAAUCUUAACUCAUCCUCAUGCCUCAUCACCACAACAUCAAACAUCAACCAUGAAUGAUUCAUCCAUGGUCAAGUGCCAUUUCCAUCACAUAGCAAGAUUUAGACCAUGGGUUAGGUAGAACUCAAGCUAACAACUAAAACAUGCAUGCCUCUCAUGGAACAUCAUCAAACAUACCUUAGCCUAGCUACAUGCAUGGCCGAAUCUCUUCACCUUUCUUCUUCUUUCCUCCUUAAAAUUUUUGGCCAAGGAUGAACCAAAGGAUGAGAAAAUUUUUCUUUGUUUUUCUUUCUAGUUUUUGGCAAGCAUGAAGAUGAGAAAAGGAUGAACAAAAUUCCCCCUUUCUCUUGUUUAGCUCACGGCAAUGGGGGGACAAACACCACACACACAUUUUUUUUUCUUUUGUUUUCCAUUUCUUUAUUACCCAUACUCCUUAUUUUAUUCUUCCACUAACAAAACAUGUUUCAUGACAUGUUUUGCCCAUCCUUCCUUGUCAUGGCCGGCCACUACUCAUUAGGGGGGGAAUUUGGCAUGCAAGUCCCCCCCUUUGUCCACAUGCACUAGUAGGUCCUCACACAUUGACCUAUCACAUUUUAGAAUUUUCUCACAUAAGUCCUAUUGACUAAAUUCACAUGAAAUCAACCCAAUUGAAGCUUGAAAUUUUCACACAUUCAUAAUUACAUAUUCUAGACAAUAAGUAUCACAUUCAAACAUUCCGGUGACUCGGUUUAGCGGUCCCGAGACCACUUCCCGACUAGGGUCAACUUUGGGCUGUUACAACUCUCCCCCACUUAAGAAAUUUUCGUCCCCGAAAAUUUUACCGGUAAAUAGGUUUGGGUAUCGUUCUUUCAUCGAGCUCUCGGUUUCCCAAGUAGCUUCCUCGAUCCCAUGUUUGAGCCAUAACACCUUCACUAACGGAACCCCUUUUUUUUUCGCAACUCCUUCACUUCACGAGCUAGGAUACGCAUCGGUUCUUCUUCAUAGCUCAUGUCGACUUGAAUUUCAACCUCUGAUGGGCUAAUUAUAUGCGAUGGAUCAGAUCGAUAGCGUCGAAGCAUCGAAACAUAAAAGACGUCAUGAAUCUUUUCAAGCUCCGGGGGCAAAAUCAAUCUAUACGCCACUGGCCCCACUCGUUCGGAGAUUUCGUACGGCCCAAUGAAUCUCGGGCUCAACUUGCCCUUACGGCCAAACCUAAGUACCUUUUUCCCAGGUGAAACCUUAAGGAACACUUUGUCUCCCACCUGAUACUCGAUGUCUUUUCGUUUCAAAUCUGCGUACGACUUCUAACGAUCCGUGGCCACCUUCAGACUUUCACGGAUUACCUUUACUUUCUGUUCAGCAUCUUUAACCAAAUCAACUCCGAAAAUUUUACUUUCACCGAGCUCGGUCCAAAACAAUGGUGUACGGCAUUUACGACCGUACAAAGCCUCGUAAGGUGCCAUCUUAAUACUUGAUUGAAAACUAUUGUUGUAAGCGAAUUCAAUCAAAGGUACAUACCGUUCCCAUGAACCACUAAACUCAAGGAUGCAGCAUCUCAGCAUAUCCUCGAGUAUCUGAAUUAUCCGCUCGGAUUGACCAUCGGUUUGGGGAUGAAAAGCAGUGCUAAAAUGCAGCUUGGUACCCAAAGCUUCUUGCAAUUUCCUCCAAAAUCGCGAGGUGAAUCUCGGAUCUCUAUCCGACACGAUAGAAAUAGGUACCCCGUGUAAUCUCACAAUCUGAGAAACAUACAAUUCGACUAGUUUAUCCAAUGAAAAAUCCGUACGCACGGGGAUAAAGUGAGCCGACUUAGUCAGUCUAUCAACAACAACCCAAAUCGCAUCCUUCUUACUUGUUGACAAUGGUAGUCCGGACACAAAGUCCAUUGUGACUCGAUCCCAUUUCCACUCGGGUAUCAUGAUCGGCUAAAGUAACCCUGAAGGCACUUGAUGUUCCGCUUUCACUUGUUGACAUAUUAAACAUCUCGAAACAAAGUCGGAGAUGUCUCGUUUCAUACCAUGCCACCCAAACCGACGUUUCAAGUCGUUGUACAUUUUCGUGCUCCCCGGGUGAAUUGACAUUCGCUACAAUGGGCUUCGUUCAGAAUCAUCGGAAUAAGUUCCGAAUUCCUUGGAACACACAAACGACUUCUAAACCUCAAACAACCAUCAUCAUCAAUCUGAAACUCCGAUUCCUUGUUCGGAACACACUCAGCUCGUUUCGCAACCAAUUCAUUAUCGACUUCCUGAGCUUCAAGAAUUUGAUGAGUCAAUAAUGGUUUGGCUUUUAAUUCAGCUACUAACACAUUGUCAGAUAGAACAGACAAGUGUACAUUCAUCGCUCGCAAAGCAAACAGUGAUUUCCGGCUUAAGGCGUCCGCAACCACCUUAGCCUUUCCCGGGUGGUAAUCAAUGACAAGCUCGUAAUCUUUCAACAACUCAAGCCAAUGUCUUUGUCGCAGAUUCAAGUCUCGUUGAAUCAUCAAAUAUUUGAGACUUUUGUGAUCCGAAAACACAUGGCACUUCUCACCAAACAAAUAAUGUCGCCAUAUUUUCAAUGCGAACACAAUGGCGGCUAGUUCGAGAUCAUGGGUCGGAUAGUUUCUCUCGUGUGGCUUCAAUUGUCUCGACGCAUAGGCCACAACUCGACCUUCUUGCAUCAAUAUGCAACCCAACCCAAGUAGGGAUGCGUCACUAUAAAUGACAAACUCUUUACCCGAUUCGGGUUGCACCAAAAUUGGAGCUUCAGUCAAAUGAGUUUUCAGCUGAUCGAAGCUUUUCUGACAUUUCUCCGUCCAUUCGAACUUAACAUCCUUUUGAAGUAGCUUCGUCAUUGGUGUGGCUAUCAUCGAGAAACCUUUGACAAAUCGUCGGUAAUAACCGGCGAGUCCCAAAAAGCUCCGAACCUCAGUAAUACUUCUCGGAGGUUUUCAGUUAAGUAUGGCUGAGAUUUUGUUCGGGUCAACUCGAAUACCCGAUGCGGAUACCACAUGACCCAAGAAGCUAACCUCUCUUAACCAGAACUCACACUUACUGAACUUAGCAUAUAACUUCUUAUUCCGCAAAACUUGCAACACUAAUCUCAAGUGUUCAGCAUGUUCGAUCUCAUCUCUUGAAUAGACCAAGAUGUCAUCAAUGAACACAACUACGAACCGAUCCAAAUAUGGUCUGAAGAUCCGAUUCAUCAAAUCCAUAAAUACUGCAGGGGCAUUAGUGAGCCCAAACGGCAUCACUAAGAACUCGUAGUGACCAUAUCUCGUCCUGAAGGCAGUUUUGGGUAUGUCCGAUUCUCGAAUUCGCAACUGAUAAUAGCCCGAUCUCAGAUCUAUUUUUGAGAACAUAGAGGCUCCCGUCAGUUGGUCGAACAAAUCAUCGAUACGCGGUAACGGAUCCUUAUUCUUUAUCGUCACUUUAUUCAGUUGACGAUAGUCAAUGCACAACCUCAUGGUUCCGUCCUUCUUUUUCACGAACAAUACUGGUGCACCCCAGGGUGAGAAACUCGAUCGAGCGAAACCUCUAUCCGUCAAUUCUUGCAAUUUAGCUUUCAACUCUUUUAACUCGGUUAGUGCCAUACGAUACGGAGCGAUCGAAAUUGGCGUAGUUCCAGGUACAAGCUCAAUACCAAACUCUAUCUCCCGAACAGGUGGCAAACCCGGUAACUCUUUAGGAAAAACAUCCGGGUAUUCACGAACCACCGGCACCGAUUCGGGUUUCUUUUCUAACUCCUUGUCAUCAAGUACAUACGCGAGGUAUGCUUCGCACCCUUUCCUUACAUAUUUCUGGGCCAACAUUGCUGAUAUUACAGCUGGCAACCCCCUUAAGUCCGCAGACUCAACUCGGAUUAUUUCGUUAUUUGCGCACCUCAAAUCGAUAGUCUUGCUUUUGCAAUUCACAACCGCAUCAUGCGCGGUUAACCAAUCCAAACCAAGAAUAACAUCAAACUCGUCGAACGGCAAAAGCAUCAAAUCAGCCGGAAAACAGGAUUCUCGGAUUAUUAGAGGGCAUCUCUUACAUACUUUAUCAACAAAUACGCAUUGACCCAAAGGGUUUGAUACUCGAAUUACGAGCUCAGUAGACUCAACAGGUAGAGUCUUACUGGUUGCUAAGGUUUCGCAUACAUAUGAAUGAGUAGAACCAGGGUCAAUCAAUGCAAUCACAUUAGUAUCAAAGAGAGUGAAGGUACCAGUGAUGACGUCAGGGAAGGAUGCCUCCUCUCGUGCGCGAAUGGUAUAUGCUCUAGCAGGAGUACGGUUCUCGGCUCGAGCAGCCGUAUCAGAGGCCCCUCUCUGACUACCACCAGCAUUGCCUGUAUUUCCAGAUGGUCUACCUCGAGCAGUGGUAGCACCCGGUUUCCCACUCUGAUUUACAGUCUGUUCAGACAACCUCGGGCAAUCUUUAAUGAAGUGGUCAACCGAUCCGCACUUGUAACAGGAGCGGUCAGGGAAUCUACAACUCCCCGAAUGCCAUUUACCGCAAUAUCGACAUUUCAUUCUGUCUCGACGUUCAUUCCCAACACUGGCGACCGAAGUGCCUCGUGUACCCAAAGGGGGUCGAUCACGAUCUCAUCUAAAAAGGCCCGAAGUGCCUCUCGACCAGCCCACAUCAUCUCGAAAUUUCUUCGAUGCCUGUUGAAGAGACUUUCCCGAAGAUAUUGUACGAAACUCUCCAGUUCCCUCAUCAACUUUUUGUUUUUCUUUUCUAAGCUCUUCGGCUUUACAAGCUCACUCGACAAGUACCACGAACUCUCGUAUUUCAAGAACGCCAACGAACAUUUUUAUAUCUUCAUUCAGCCCAUCCUCGAAGCGUUACACACAAUAGCCUCGGACGAAACACAUUCCCGAGCGUAUCUACUAAGUCUAACAAAUUCAUGUUCGUAUUCAGAUACAGUCAUACGGCCUUGCUUGAGUUCUAAGAACUCCUUACGCUUCUGAUCAAUGAACCGUUGGCUAAUAAAUUUCUUUCGGAAUUCUGUUUGAAAGAAGUCCCAAGUUACUCGCUCGUUCGGGACUAUGGAAAUCAAGGUCCUCCACCAAUAGUAGGCUGAGUCUCGCAAGAAAGAUACAGCACAUUUUAGACAUUCGUCAGGUGUGCAUGACAAUUCAUCGAACACCCGAAUGGUGUUAUCAAGCCAGAACUCGGCCCUUUCGGCGUCAUCAGUUACUAUGGCCUUGAACUCCUCGGCCCCUCGCUUCCUAAUCAAGUCUACAGGUGGCUUACUCAGCCUCACAGGAUCAGCGACUGAUGGCAUUACAGGCUCUUGGGGUGGAUUAUUCAAAUUUGGGAAUUGUUGGACAGCCGGGUUGGUUCGGGCAUAUUGCGCGACCCACUCAUUCAUCAUGGUAAAGAAGGCUUGUUUAGCCCCCUCACCUUGAUCAUUCGCAGAUGACUGAGGUUCAACAGGCGGCGUCCCUUGUGCAGGAGCAGCCGCUACGCUCUCAACGUCAUCCGCCAGGGUUCUUUCUACACCGGGAUCCAUUUACUAAUCAAAACAAAAACAUUUCAACCGUCGGAAGUCAUCACCCUUUUAAACAUUAACAUUAAGGCAUGUAUAGCUAGACUCAUACGUGCUAUGGUAGUCCUAGAACCGACUAAACCAUGGCUCUGAUACCAAUCAAAUGUAACACCCCGAACCUGAAACUGACACCGGAGUCGAACACGAGGUGUUAACUGACUUUAACCCCUUAUAAAGUUUAUUUUCCAGACACUGCCCAAUCUGUGUACUAGUCGUUCUAAAAAUCAUAUCUUGAGUUUCAUAACUCAAAAAUCAGUUUCGUGAUUUUUCCCAGAAACUAGACUCAUGUUCCCAUCUAUGUAUUUUUUUCUAGAAUUUUUGGUUGGGCCAAUUAGUACAGUUUAUUAGUCAAAGUCUCCCAUGUUGCAGGGGUCGACUACACUGACCUUUGCCCAUUACGACUUGGAUAUCUCACUGCACAGGGCUCCAAUACUGAUACCGUUUGUUUCUAUGAAAACUAGACUCAGAGAGGAAUCUGUAAAUAUAUGGUACAACCCCUAAUUAUCUCUGGUUAAUUUAUAAUGAAUUUCCAAAGUCGGAGCAUGGAAUCCAGAAACCGUUCUCGCCCUGUCCCACAAAAAUCUGAUUAUCUCUUAAUAUACUGCCCAUAUGAUCUUUUCGUUACUUCCUCAUGAAAACAGACUCAUCGAGCUUCGAUUACAUAAUUUAUUCGUCAAUUAAUUCCACUCCUACUAUUUUUAGUGAUUUUUCAAUCUCAUGACACUGCUGCUGCCAGCAUCUGUUACGAAAGUAUCUAGGCCCAUUUCAUGCCUACCCUUGAUCCAACUCAAUCGAACAUUCGUGCCAUUUUCGCAUGGCUUAAAGUUUACAUGCCAAAGUUCAAACACAACGUAAUAGCUUAUACAUGCCAAAAUGUUCUUCUAAUCCAACUAAGAGGAAAGUACCAAAACUUGCUAUCCGGUGUGAUGACUUCGAUGACGGCCCGACCCCGCAAAAAUAGAUGAGUCCAAGCAACCUAUAAUGGGUGACAAGGAAACACCGAGUGAGUUUAUAACUCAGUAAGUCAUAAGCUGUGCACUACCAUCCAUCCAUAACAUUAUCACAAGAGAAAACAAAAUGGAACGAGGCUAAUUACUCCAUCCAUUCCGAACCAUACCAUAGUUCCUCCGACCUAUCGGUUUGGUUUCAUACCAAUUUAUGCAUUCACAAUCCACAUACUCAUCAAUAGGAUAUUUGAGGCAUUUUCAUAAAUCAUUUUAUUUUCGUUACCAACAUACAACUAAACGGCCUUUCACCCAUUCUACGAUAAAUUUCAUGUACGUGACUUCAAGUAUAUUUGUCACAUAGGUUCAAACUUACCAAGCUCAUCACCAAGUAUCGACAUAGCACCUAUUAGCCAUGAACUCAAGACACUUACCCGAUCCGCCGUCCGUGAUCGACUCAAUAGCGUCGCACACUUAGUGUCCAUAAUGAUUCAAGAAUAUAUAUUAAGUCCGCACACUCAGUGCUAUAUAAUCAACUCGCACACUUAGUGCCACAUAAUCAAACUCGCACACUUAGUGCUACAUAGUCAACUCGCACACUUAGUGCCGCAUGGUCAAUUCGCACACUUAGUGCAUCAUUUUCAUUUCGCACACUUAGUGCAACAUGGUCAAAUCGCACACUUAGUGCUACAUAGCCAAAUCGCACACUUAGUGCUGUACAAUUUACUCCCGCGCACUUAGCGCCAAUCUCAUGGUCAUAAAUGGUUAUACCCGCACGUUUAGUGCCGAGAUCAACAACUUAGUACAUCUUACCUCUUUUCUUUUCAUUCAACAAUUUCAUCAUCCCAUACGUACAUGCAUAUAUAUAUAUGUAUAUUUAUUCAUUCCAUUCAGCAUCAAUACAUACACAUUAUGACCAUUUAAAACAAUACCAACUACAUGCUUAAUGACUUACCUCGUGUUGGGUAAGACGGUUCCAACUCGGCUACUCGAUGACCUUUUCUUUGCCUUUGCUCGAUUCACCUCCUUUAACUCCUUGAGCUUAAUCAAUAAUUUAACUAGUUUAACCACCUUGCUAAAUAUUUACAAUCCAAUUUCACAUGUAUAUGUAUGUUAGUAUAUUCGGCUAAUAACCUCACGCAACUACCAUAUCAUCAAAAAUCUAAUCACACAUGCACAUGCAUUAGGUAAGUCACCUUUGCUAAUUUUAAACCCAACAUCACACAAGCUCUCAAGUGAUGGCCGAAUGCUUCUUUUGUUACCCAACUAAUCAUUCGACAAUUUCAUCAUUUAGGCAUCAAAAAGAUGAACACAAGGCACUUAGCCCAUAUUUAUACAUUAGACAUUAAAGUCUCUUACAUGCAAAAAUCAUGCAUCAACACAACAUAUUAGCUAAUUUAUUUCCCCUUGGCCGAAUAUGCAUGCCUAUUUUUGGGGUCGAUUUCAACACUUAAUACACACAUAUACACACUAGUAAAGCAUCCUCCCCCUUUUCAUCAAUUUAACACAUGCAUUGCUCAUUAACAUGCAAAGUUACAUUCGGCCUUAGCACACAUCUUGCUAGCCGAUUCUUCUCCAUUUAGCACCCAAUGCACAUAUGUGCUCACACAACAAAAAAAAUGCCAAAAAGGAGGUUCAAGAAUCAUCAAGCCAUCAUCACAUGCAUCAUUAACAAGCUUCAUAUUUUGCAUGCAAUGGCAUUAACACAACCUCCACCUAGGCCGAAUCUUAACUCAUCCUCAUGCCUCAUCACCACAACAUCAAACAUCAACCAUGAAUGAUUCAUCCAUGGUCAAGUGCCAUUUCCAUCACAUAGCAAGAUUUAGACCAUGGGUUAGGUAGAACUCAAGCUAACAACUAAAACAUGCAUGCCUCUCAUGGAACAUCAUCAAACAUACCUUAGCCUAGCUACAUGCAUGGCCGAAUCUCUUCACCUUUCUUCUUCUUUCCUCCUUAAAAUUUUUGGCCAAGGAUGAACCAAAGGAUGAGAAAAUUUUUCUUUGUUUUUCUUUCUAGUUUUUGGCAAGCAUGAAGAUGAGAAAAGGAUGAACAAAAUUCCCCCUUUCUCUUGUUUAGCUCACGGCAAUGGGGGGACAAACACCACACACACAUUUUUUUUUCUUUUGUUUUCCAUUUCUUUAUUACCCAUACUCCUUAUUUUAUUCUUCCACUAACAAAACAUGUUUCAUGACAUGUUUUGCCCAUCCUUCCUUGUCAUGGCCGGCCACUACUCAUUAGGGGGGAAUUUGACAUGCAAGUCCCCCCCUUUGUCCACAUGCACUAGUAGGUCCUCACACAUUGACCUAUCACAUUUUAGAAUUUUCUCACAUAAGUCCUAUUGACUAAAUUCACAUGAAAUCAACCCAAUUGAAGCUUGAAAUUUUCACACAUUCAUAAUUACAUAUUCUAGACAAUAAGUAUCACAUUCAAACAUUCCGGUGACUCGGUUUAGCGGUCCCGAGACCACUUCCCGACUAGGGUCAACUUUGGGCUGUUACACCUCACAAAUUUGGCAGCAAUUCGCUAAUUAAAAUGUCAAAAGUCCUUUACAAAUUGAAUUUAACAACUAUUUAUAGACAAAGACUAGGCUAGCCGAAUAGUCAUAUGAAUGCUUAAGAAUUAAGCAAAUGAAAUCCUUUAAUGUGCUUAACUAAAUUUGGCUAAAUGGAGCUCCAAUGGUCAUCUUCUAGAAAGAGCAAUGAACUUAGAAGCUUGGAAAGAUGCAUGGCAGCAGCUAGGUUCGGUUAAUGGACUUAAACAAACUCAAUUAAUUGGCAACUUUUGUUGAAAAGUGAUUAGCAAUUAAAGGAGGUAAUGAGCAGCCACCAAGGUGUGAAAACUCAGCUUUGAAGAGUCAUGGCAUGUGAACAUAUAGAACCGAACAGCCAAGAUGAAUCCAGCAAUGUGAAAAGAAUUAAAAGUCGGCUGAAUGGUCAACUUGGGAGUAGGAAACGAUAGCUUCUUUGGCCGAAUGGUCACCUAGGAUACUUCAAACAGCAGCCAAAUUUAAUUCCCCAAACAUGCAUGUGCCGUCCCCUUACAUGUAUCUUCUUUUAAUUCAUUCAUGCACCAAGGACGUCCAAAUGGGAUGUACCUACAGCAAAAUUUAUUCAAUAAAUCAAAUACAUUUUUAAACACAUUAAUUUGGCAGCAAAUGACACAAAAAUUAUGCACAUUAAAUUCGGCCACCUUAGGACAUAAUUAAAACAUGUAAUAAAAUUGACACAUUAAAACAUGCAUAAAAAACAUAUUAAUGAGCUGUAGAAAUUAAGACAAAUUAAUAACAUAUAAUUAUAACUCAAUUAUCAUGCAUAAUUAAAUUUGUCCAGAUUUUAAACCAAAUAAAUAAUGAAUAUUAAUUGAGCUGUAAUAAACUAAUUAAAUGACUCAAAUAAUUAUUUCAGCUACUAUAAUAAGGUCUUAAUGAAAUUGAGCUAGUUCGUGCUCAUUGAGCUUGAAAGGAGCUGGAAACGAGCUAAAUGAAGCUCCACAAAAUAAGAUUGAGCUACGUCCAGCUUGCAAACACGACGAGCCUCGCUUGUAGGCUGAAACAAUAGCCAUUCUCGGGGGCGGGUCGUAUCAUCCCCUCCCUCUUUAAAGCGAUUUGUCCCCAAAUCAGGCCACUUGCUCGCGAAGAAACUUCUAUUAACAAAGACCCCUUGGUUGUUGAAUUUGACAAACUUGUGCCCAGCAACCUGAAAUUCAUGAAUAGAUUGAAAAUAACACCGAUUAGUUACUUGCCCUCCCUCUUUAAGGCAAAGCCACUUCAAAGUGUCACCUACACAAUAAAGAAAAUUAUGAAUGACACAAUGAACUAAAAACUUGCGAACUCUUUCCAAAUUUUCAAUCAUAAUUAGAGCAAAAGAACUAUUGCCGAAUUCAAAAAUAUAGAUAAGCCUUACCUUUCCACAUUGAUUUUCCAAAUUCAUCAAGGAACUAGACAUGGGAAAUAAUUCUACGAAUAUGAACAGUUCAUGCAAAUAAACACAUAUCCCACAACACACUCCAUCAAAUGGAUUCGAAGACUCAUGAAUCAAACAAUUAAAUCGAUUGGUCAAAUCUUCACCAUGAAAAAUCCCAUCCAAUGGACGAAUAGAUUUUAACGAAUAACCACAAAUCCACAAAAAGUCUUUUAAACAAAUAUGUGAAAAAAAUAUUAAUCGGCCAAAAGAAACAAGAUCACUUAGUUGAAUCAAGUUUUGCAAAUUUAAACUUAGUACUGGCCAAUAAUCUUUCACUUCUUCAUCAAAUUUGUCAUAUUCACGAAUGUCAUCACCUUUUGAACAAAAUAGAGAUGUUUUUAGUUCUUCAGAAACCAAACCUUGUCUAUCCUUGAGAUUAUGGAUUUGAGGAUCAGUUUUACCAUUCUCUCGCAAUAUGAACCUUCUCUUCUCAGGAAUAUAAUGUAAUCGUAAUUCCUUGCUUGGUUUAACCUGAAAAAAUGAAGAGACAGGAAGACAACGAUUAAUCAAAACAUUUUUCUUUCUCUCACUCAAAUUUCUUUCACUUUCUUUUUCUUUGAUCUUGUUUUUCUCACAAUCUCGAUUCUUUUCUUUUGAAUCAUUUUUCUUUUCUUUUUCACUCUCUCUCAAUUUCUUUUUUUGUUCAUUCAAAUCUUCCAAGGAUUGCUUUAAUCAUUGUUGAUCUUCCAUCACUUGUUGUGGAGACAAUGGGGCCAAAGGGAUAUUUUUGCCUUUGUGCUUGAAUGAAUAUUGGUUAGAAAACCCAUCGUGCUUGACUCGCCGAUCAAAUUGCCACAGCCUCCCAAACAGUAAAUGGCCCGCAUGCAUGGGCACAACGUCGCACAAAAUCUCGUCUUGGUACUUUCCAAUUGAAAAGGGAAUUAAGGCUUGUUUGGUUACCUUAAGUUCGACUCCUUCAUUGAGCCAUUGUAACUUGUAGGGACUCGGGUGCUUAAGGGUCGGCAAAGACAACUUCUUGAUCAUAAGUGUGCUUGCAACAUUUGUGCAACUCCCGCCAUCGAUCACAACGCUACAAACCUUUCCAUGAACAUAACAUCGGGUAUGAAACAAAUUCUCGCGUUGCGGUUCACCUAUAGAGCUUUGUGCACUAAGACUUCUUUUAACAAUGAGUAUUUCGCCUUCAACGGCAAACUCUAUCUCAUCUUCGUUAUCGGAAGGAUUGUUAAUCUCUUCUUCAUUCUUGUCUAUUUCCUCCUCCGAUUCUAUUUCACCAUUAGGGAGUAUCACCAUUGUGUUGCGAUUUGGGCAUUGGCUCGCUAUGUGCCCUCUCCCUUGACACUUAAAACACUUAAUAUCACGUGUUUGGGAUUGAGUAUUUUCAAUGGCCUUACCUUUGCUAGAUUCAGCCACAGACUUGUUGGACUUCAUGGGCACCACAUUUUCUUUUGAUUGAUUCGUUGAAACAUUCUUACUUGCCCCUUGGUUCCACUUAGAUGCAUUCGAAGAGGAAUAACCACGUACGGCUUCUUUCAUCUUGAGUUGCUUUUCGACCUUUAUCGCCAUGUGAACCAUAUCGACGAUCUCUACGUAGUGUUGCAACUCAACUAUGUUGGCAAUUUCACGGUUAAGCCCGGCUAAGAAACGAGCCAUAGUUGCCUCUCGAUCUUCCUCCACAUCCGCUCGAAUCAUGGCCACUUCCAUCUCCUUGAAGUAAUCCUCCACGCUUCUCGUCCCUUGUGUAAGAUUUUGAAGUUUUUGGUACAACUCCCGAUGGUAGUACGAAGGGAUGAAACGUCGUCGCAUUACAGCCUUCAUCUCGGACCAUGUUUGGAUAGGACGCUCGCCAUUUCGCCUUCGGCUAGUUGUAAGUUGGUCCCACCACACCAUUGCGUAGUCCGAAAAUUCGAUAGUAGCCAACUUAACUUUCUUGGCCUCAGAAUAGUUAUGGCAUUCAAAUAUAAGCUCGAUCUUUUUCUCCCACUCGAGAUAAGCUUCGGGAUCCGAUCAGCCUUGGAAUGAAGGGAUUGACAACUUAAUGCUUUUCAAGUCAUCAUCGAACCUCCCUCGAUUUCGUUGGCCUCGGUUGCGUUGGCCUCUUCGUUGAACAUUCGCAUUGGACCCUUGAUCACUUUCGUGUUCAAUCGACUCGGAAGAUUCAUCAUCUAAAUCAGAUUACCGUCCUCGAUUUCUCGGAGGGCUUAAGGGAGUUCUCCUUCGUUGGGCUCUUCCUUCCACACGAUCAAGUCUAUCUUGAAUCAGUUCUAACUUUUGAUCGAACAAUCGUUCCACCUCGCGUAGCAAUGCUUGCAAAUUCAAGUCCGGCACAUUUCGAACAGGUUGCCUUUCUGCCAUGUUUAUUGUAGGGCUUCUUGAUAUAUGAAAUUAUAACCUCAUAACAAAAACUCACAAGUCACUCAAAAAGAAAAUAAUUCGGCACUCCACUCGUGUUUACACUCUUUAAUGGCUUUUUCUUCUCUCUAAUGCUCUCUCAACACUCGUGCCUUUUUCCACUCAAUUUCCUCUCGUGAUUUCGUAAGCGACUCGUCGUGAUCUUAUCGUAGUUCAAUGGGUCGGCUUCAAAUGGCUUAACAAGGGAUUGAUGUUAGGUUACGGGUAGGCUAAAAGAAACAAGAAAGGCUUUAGGCUAAGUGUGGCUUAGAAGAUGAAUAGAAGAGAAUGCCAAACUUACAAACUCGAAACACUUUUUUUUUAUAUUGAAAUUUUUUUUAAUUGCGUGAAAUUUCACUACGGGGGAUAUAAAAGAGUGUAGAAUGAGAUUUUGGAAAAAUUUCUAUUGAAAUAUCUUCAGACUCUUUUUUUUUACGGAUUUUUCACGUUCUUUUCGUCCGCACCUAGACCAUAUGCAAUUUUUUUUUCAAUUUUUUUUUUCGAACUCCUUUUUUUUUACGUACCUAUUUCAAAUUGACUUCGAGUGCUCGUACUUCUCGUUUUUACCAGCUUUGAUACCAAAUGAUACGAUCUCGAUUUAGUAGUUGAGGCCGAGUCGUUUAGUUCCCGAUCGUAAAUGAAGAAGUAGAAUAGACGAGAAGGAGAUAGAAUAUAUUUGUGUUCAAAGAAGUAAGAUAAGUUCGUGCAAAGUUGGAUGUGGAUUUGGUUUAAGUCGAAAAGGUAUGAAUAGAAUGGACGAGUUCGGUUUAGGAUAAUUAAGAAAUGGUAUUUGGUUUUGGUACGUUUUGGUAUUUGGGAAUUGGUUCGAAAUAGUAUGGAAUUGGUACGAAAUGGUAUGGUAUUUGGUACGAAUUGGUAAUGGUUCAAAAGGACCUUGACCCGAUACUUAGGAAAGUAUGAACCAAAGGUAUCAAAGGUGAACGCCACACUCGGGUUUAAGGAGUGAUAAGUUCAGAAAAGACUCGGAAAGACGCCACUAAAAAGCUUAGAUAAGUCUUACGGGUCUCGAACGAAAUUUGAGAGAAAAUACCUCACAAAUUUGGCAGCAAUUCGCUAAUUAAAAUGUCAAAAGUCCUUUACAAAUUGAAUUUAACAACUAUUUAUAGACAAAGACUAGGCUAGCCGAAUAGUCAUAUGAAUGCUUAAGAAUUAAGCAAAUGAAAUCCUUUAAUGUGCUUAACUAAAUUCGGCUGAAUGGAGCUCCAAUGGUCAUCUUCUAGAAAGAGCAAUGAACUUAGAAGCUUGGAAAGAUGCAUGGCAGCAGCUAGGUUCGGUUAAUGGACUUAAACAAACUCAAUUAAUUGGUAACUUUUAUUGAAAAGUGAUCAACAAUUAAAGGAGGUAAUGAGCAGCCACCAAGGUGUGAAAACUCAGCUUUGAAGAGUCAUGGCAUGUGAACAUAUAGAACCGAACAGCCAAGAUGAAUCCAGCAAUGUGAAAAGAAUUAAAAGUCGGCUGAAUGGUCAACUUGGGAGUAGGAAACAAUAGCUUCUUUGGCCGAAUGGUCACCUAGGAUACUUCAAACAGCAGCCAAAUUUAAUUCCCCAAACAUGCAUGUGCCGUCCCCUUACAUGUAUCUUCUUUUAAUUCAUUCAUGCACCAAGGACGUCCAAAUGGGAUGUACCUACAGCAAAAUUUAUUCAAUAAAUCAAAUACAUUUUUAAACACAUUAAUUUGGCAACAAAUGACACAAAAAUUAUGCACAUUAAAUUCGACCACCUUAGGACAUAAUUAAAACAUGUAAUAAAAUUGACAUAUUAAAACAUGCAUAAAAAACAUAUUAAUGAGCUGUAGAAAUUAAGACAAAUUAAUAACAUAUAAUUAUAACUCAAUUAUCAUGCAUAAUUAAAUUUGUCCAGAUUUUAAACCAAAUAAAUAAUGAAUAUUAAUUGAGCUGUAAUAAACUAAUUAAAUGACUCAAAUAAUUAUUUCAGCUACUAUAAUAAGGUCUUAAUGAAAUUGAGCUAGUUCGAGCUCAUUGAGCUUGAAAGGAGUUGGAAACGAGCUAAAUGAAGUUCCACAAAAUAAGAUUGAGCUACGUCCAGCUUGCAAACACGAUGAGCCUCGCUUGUAGGCUGAAACAAUAGCCAUUCCCGGGGGCGGGUCGUAUCAUCCCCUCCCUCUUUAAAGCGAUUGUGAAGGAAAUGAGCACUUGUUUUCUGAUUGUGAAGGAAAUGAGCACUUGUUUUGUUACCUUCAAUUCUCCACCAUUGUUAAGCCAUUGGAGUUUAUACGGAUGGGGAUGUUUGGUGGUGGCCAAUACGAGUUUCUCCACCAUCAACGUACUAGCCACAUUUGUACAACUUCCCCCAUCGAUUAUCACGCAACAAAUCUUACCUUGCACUUGACAUCGCGUAUGGAAGAUGUUUUCACGUUGUUGAUCAUUUUCGGCACUUUGCAAAGUAAGGCUUCUUUUCACAACCAAGAUUUCUCCAUGCUCGGCUUGUUCGAUGUCUUCCUCUUCUUCGAGUUGUUCAACAGCCUCGUUCUCUUGUUCACUUUCGGAUUCAAUUUCACCAUCAUUUCGAACAAACAUCAAUUCUGGUUCGGGCAUUGGUUUGCGAUGUGGCCCCUUCCAAGACAUUUGAAGCAUUUUAUGUCUCGGGAUCUAUUUGGUUGGGCAUCCAUCUUUCCUUUACUCGAUUCGACCAUUGGUUUGUUGAAUUUAGUAGCUCCACUUACUUCUUUAUUUCGACUCGGCAAGUCUCGUUUAUUAGGGAAAGAACGGAACGUACCUUUUCUCUUUAAUUGUUUUUCAACCUUUAUGGCCAUAUGGACCAUAUCAAUGACCUCGACAUAAUGGUGUAGCUCCACAAUAUUUGCAAUAUCUCGGUUAAGGCCGGUGAGAAAUCGAGCCAUGGUGGCUUCUCGAUCUUCCUCCACAUCGGCGCUGAUCAUGGCCACUUCCAUUUCCUUGUAGUAAUCCUCCACGCUUCGUUGGCCUUGAGUUAAGCCUUGGAGCUUUUGAUACAACUCCCGGUGAUAGUAAGCAGGAAUGAAUCGCUUCCUCAUUAUGGCUUUCAUUUCCGCCCAUGUAGACACGGGACGUUCGCCAUUGCGUCUUUGGCUCAUCGUGAGUUGAUCCCACCAUAUUAUGGCGUAGUCAGAGAAUUCUAUAGCAGCUAACUUCACCUUCUUGCUUUCCGAGUAAUUGUGGUACUCGAAAACUAACUCCACCUUCUUCUCCCAUUCAAGAUAGGCCUCGGGAUCCGACCUUCCUUGAAAAGUAGGAAUCGCCAUUUUAAUGUUCUUUAAAUCAUCAUCGGUCCUCUCUCAAUCUCUUGGUCCCCGUGCUCGUUGGCCUUGUUGCCUUGCACUUUGUCGCGAAGCUCGAUCACUUUCAACGUCACUUGCUUCGUAUAGAUCAUUUGCAUGUUGCCAUGGACGUUCUCGCUCUCUUCUCAGAAUAGGAGGGGUGUUCACACGUUGGCUUCGUUCCUCCAUUUGUUCCAUUCGUUCAUGAAGGGAAUCGAAUUGAGGUUGGAACAAACGAAAAAUUUCUCGCACGAUUGCUUGAACUUGUAGAUUGGGCACUCUGCCUCCGGGAACGUUUCUCCUUGGUUGAAGAUUAACUCCUCCACUUGCAGCAUUUGAAGCUCCUCCACUCGUCGCUUGUCGUUCUGGGCCCCUUGACAUGAUGAUUAAAAUUAAGAAUUUUUUUUCUCACCAUAAAGACCUCACAAAUUCACUCACAAGAAAAAAAUUCACUCCUCUCGUGUUUCACUCUAUUUCUGGCUUUUAUCUUGAUGUACUCUCUUGCCUUUUACCUCUCAAAUCCAACUCUCGAUAUUCUACAAAGCUACUUAGAUUUAUCCACACUUGUGGGUCGGCUUCAAGGGGUUUGCAAAGGAAAGUCGUAUGGUUUAGGGUAGGCUUGAAAGAAAGAAAGGUUUAAAGAUGUGGCGUAUAAAAUGGAUUCACUAAUUGAAAAAAAAGAAUCACUUGAAAUUUUUUUACAGAUCUUUCACGUUCUUUUCGUCCGCACCUAGACUGUAUACAAUUUUUUUUUCAAUUUUUUUUCUUUUCGAUUUCUUUUUUUUCUUUUUUUCGAAACUACAAUUUACGUACCUAAAUUAACCAGCUCUGAUACCAACUGAUACGAGCUCGUUUCAGAUGUUGUGACGAGUCGUAAUAUGUUCCUAAUCAAAUUUAGGUAGUGUCGAUUUAGUUCAAAUUCAAUAAGAUGGUUUUAGAUGACUUAGGAAACAAAAUGGGAAUAAAUGAUUUCCAAUGAAACAAGAACGAACCCUUAUUAGCAAAUAAGAACCCGGGCUUAAAGGUUUCAAAGAAAAAGAAAAGGAUGGUAGAUAAAACUGAGACCCUCUAUUUAGCAAAAUAAGAACCUUCGGUAUAUUUGUGAACGCCACACCAAGGGUGAUAAGUUUGAAACAAAGUCAGAUUGAUGCCACUCGUAAAGAUAAGUCAAUUGAGCUUUGAAGAAUAAAGAAAGUGAAUUGCCUCACUAAAAUGAUAUUUCAUUCAGAAAUUUGUCAAAAAUCCUUUUACAAGAAAUUCAAUAACUAUUUAUAGCCUUUCUACUAGUAGCCGAAUGGACAAAUUCAAGACUUAGUGAUACGGGGUUGCGCGCGGACCAAGAUCGAGUUGCCAAGUCACGGGAAACUCCUACGAAAACCCUAAACAAUUAGAUCUGAAACGAAACAGAAAAUUAAAAGAUUAGAUUUUUGAAUUUUCAGAUCUGAAAUAAAAUCCCCAAAUCAGCAAAGAAUCAAAUUGAGAAUAGAAAUAAGUGUUAGGGUUCUUGAAACCCUCAAGGAGAUUGUGAUUCUGCCCAAUUGAACACCAAGAUAGUUUUCCCCAAAUUUCGACAAUCUAAUUUCACCCAAAAAGAGUAUGGAAAAACCCUAGAAAUUGGGGAUUUUUGGGCUGAUUCCUUAAGAUAGAAAAAGGCUGAAAACACAAUAAGAACAGAAAAUAGAUUAGAUAAUGAUUCAGCACAAGUAGAAAUAAAGAAAGAAUUGACAGUAAGAAAUUAAAAGAUAAGUCCUAAGAAGCCUUGAAAUCUCGAAAGAUCUCACAACUCCCUUCAAACGGCUCUAAUCUCCCCUCCAAAGAAUAUCAAUGGCAAGAAGAAGGUUGAAGAUGGCUCCCACAAUCAAAAAGAUUGUUAAAACAACUUCUAAAGAAAACUCAAGAGAAAAUCCUUGAAGAACUCAAAGAGAAUUUUCACUCAAAUCAAAUCUGAAAUUUUCAAUGUAAUUGUAAUGUAAUGUAGGGUGGCUGGCCAAGCCAUAUAAAUAGGCCUUUCAAAUAAGCAAAUUCCCAGCCCAAUCAAGAAAUCCAUCCAUACUUAGUUGAAAAUCAGGCCAAAUUGUCAAAGUGGCCCAAGUUGUAAAGUUUUAUUUUUAUUUAUUUAUUUAUUUAUUUAUUUACUUAGUUUAAAUUUUUAUGUCAAUAUUCAGUCCAAGAGUCCCAGAUAAAAUGACCUUUGACCGAAUUUCCAUAUUAAAAUAAUUAGGAGUUUUUUUUAUUUUAGUUUUCUAAUUAGAUUAGGACUAGUUAUAAGGCCUAUUUAAAGGCAUGGCUGUCCACCUUGUAAAACACUUAUCAUUAUUAUUAAAAUUUCAGAUUUGAUUUGAGUGAAAAUUCUCUUUGAGUUCUUCAAGGAUUUUCUCUUGAGUUUUCUUUAGAAGUUGUUUUAACAAUCUUGUGAUUGUGGGAGCCAUCUUCAACCUUCUUCUUGCCAUUGAUAUUCUUUGGAGGGGAGAUUAGAGCCGUUUGAAGGGAGUUGUGAGAUCUUUCGAGAUUUCAAGGCUUCUUAGGACUUAUCUUUUAAUUUCUUACUGUCAAUUCUUUCUUUAUUUCUACUUGUGCUGAAUCAUUAUCUAAUCUAUUUUUUGUUCUUAUUGUGUUUUCAGCCUUUUUCUAUCUUAAGGAAUCAGCCCAAAAAUCCCCAAUUUCUAGGGUUUUUCUAUACUCUUUUUGGGUGAAAUUAGAUUGUCGAAAUUUGGGGAAAAUUAUCUUGGUGUUCAAUUGGGCAGAAUCACAAUCUCCUUGAGGGUUUCAAGAACCCUAACACUUAUUUCUAUUCUCUAUUUGAUUCUUUACUGUUUUGGGGAUUUUAUUUCAGAUCUGAAAAUUCAAAAAUCUAAUCUUUUAAUUUUCUGUUUCGUUUCAGAUCUAAUUGUUUAGGGUUUUCGUAGGAGUUUCCCGUGACUUGACAACUCGAUCUUGGUCCGCGCGCAACCCCGUAUCAUUUGGUAUCAGAUUUUGGGCGUUUUGGGUGUUCUUGGUUGAUUUCUAAACUGAUCUCUAUUUUUUAAAUUACAAACAGCAGUUUUACCCAGAAAAAUUUUUGAAAAAAAAUUCAUUUGAGUGGGUAAACGUUUUCUGAUUGAUCUGAAAUUUUACAUACAUAUUUUUGGCACUGUUAUUGAAUAUACAGAAAUAUUUCCCGCAAAAAAAUAAGUCAAAAAAGUCAAAAAAAUUGAAAAAAGACGAAAUCCAAUAAAAAAUUAAAAAAAUAUUCAGCGGGUUGAAUUUGGUGCCCAAAUUUUCCAGAUCAAAAAUUCAAUAUUUGAAGACAUUCCAGAUUUAAUUUUGUGAUUUUUUGAGAUCGGGAACACCUCGAACGAAGUUGUCAAGUUACUCCACAGUUUUUCGGGUUUUCUGUUUUCAGCAAUUUUUAUUGAUUCUUAGCUGUAGGUUUUCAUUUGUUUGCUUUUUAUUAUCCUUUUAAAAUAUCUAACACCUUCUUGUUUCUUGUGUUAGUAGGAUUUAAACGUGUGCACAAUCCUUCCUCGGUGCAACACAAAUCACUUGGUGUCUCGUCAGUUUUUGGCAUCCUAGUGCAAAUUAGGAUUCUUUGGUAGUUUGGUUCACACUCUCUAAUUGGUUGAUAUAAACUCUGAUAAAGAACUCACAAGAUUGAAUUCGACCUCAUUGAGAAUUUGAUUUUUCUUUUUGAGUGAUUAAUGGUGAGGUUUGCUAACUUUUAUUUUUGAGUGUUGAGUGUUUAUUUUUUACAGGUUUUGAAGAUGUCUAAAGGUGAUAAUAAUGAUGCACUUAUGAAAGUCCAACAACAGUUAGACAGACAUACUGCUGCAAUCACACAAAUAAAUGCUACACUUCAAGCAUUGAAUACUACUUUGAAUGAGGUACGAGUGAAUCAAAAACAUCAAUAUCGAGAUCCAAUUAAGGAAGAUAGGGAUAACCAGCCCCAUAGGUGCAACCCUCAACGUGUCCCUAGAAUGGAUGAUGAUUGUCAUGAUCAUGGACAAUCAUCUUUGGCAAAACCAAAGAGCGAGCAGCAACGAGAACAUCUCUUUCAUACUCGCUGCCACGUACAAGGUAAGCUUUGUAGAGUUAUUAUUGAUGGUGAAAGUUGCUCGAACAUAGCCAGCACGACGAUGGUGGAAAAGCUUUGCUUAACCACUACCAAGCAUCCACAACCUUAUCAACUACAAGGGCUUAGCAACGAAGGCCAAUUUAGGGUCACUCAACAAGUGCGCAUCGCCUUUUCUAUCGGUAAGUAUCAAGACGAAGUUGUGUGCGACGUAAUGCCUAUUCAAGCCUGCCAUUUGUUGCUAGGAGAACCGUGGAAACUAGAUCAAAAAGUCACUCACGAUGGUCGUACCAAUAGGUAUUCUUUCAAGCAUCAAGGAAAGAAACUCACCUUAGUGCCGCUCACUCUAGAACAAGUCCAUGAGGACCAAAUCAAACUGAAAAAUUCUGUUAAAACAAGUGAGGAAAAAGAAAAAGAGAAUGAAAAAGAGCAAAAAGAGAUUGAGAGUGAAAAAGAAAUUGAAGAAAGAAGAGAAAAUGAAUUAGAAAAAGAAACAAAAGAAAAAGACGUGGAAAGGGUAGUGAGGAAUGUUUCCACUAACCAAGAUAUGAAUUUUUCUUGUGUUGCUACUUUUCAGGUUCCCGAAAGAUCGAACGAUAACUUUCAAAUUCAAUACCUCUCAAAUGAAAGACGCUUUCAUACGAUCAACUUAAGUAAAGAUGAAAUCACACUACAUGAUCCCGAAGGUAAGAUUUGAUUAUUGAUAAAACUUUUGGUGACUUAGUUCUUAAAAGAUCCCCUCAUUUUGAUCCGAUUAAUUGUUACUCUUCGAUUGUGGUUGAUAAAGUCAUUACGAAAAGAAGCGUGAUUUGUUAUUCUCUUGAUUUACCUUGUGUAAAAUCCUCGAAUUUGUCCAAAUCUGUUUUGGAGAAUAAGGUAACGAAAUUUUCCAAAUUUGUUUUCAAUUUAUAUUCGUGCCUUAAACAGUUUAUGUGGUUGUACAUGAAGUUUGAGUUCCAUUUGACAAAUGUUAACUCAACAACGGAGAUUCGACUACACUAUGCCCCCGAUGAGCGAAGGUUUGUUUUAAAUGAAAAAGGUAAAAUCGACCCUUAUUCUUCUGCUUAUCGAGGUAAGAUGCUUGAAACCUUUGAAACACUUUUGUACUCCUCGGAUAGUGAUAAAGAUCGUGUUGAUGAACACUUAGAUCGAAACGUGCUUGACUGUCCUAUUUUAUUUAUUGAUGAUCUAUCUGUUUUGAUGGUUGAUAAAAAGAUUCUUGUUUUUGAUAAUGCAUGUGUGAGUGAAUCUAUAGACCGUCAAUUAAUGCAUGGUAUGAUUAUGCAACUCUGUGAACCAUGUGAAUCUUUUCAAAUACCUACUUGUGACGAUUAUGUUUACCAUUUGAUUUAUUACUCGCAAUUUAUUCAUGGUUUGUGGGAACAAUGUGAGACGACUGAAUGCCUUAAAACAUGUCCAUCUUUGUUUCAAAUAUUUGACGAGGCAGUGGUGAGUAAAUUAGAUUGUUUGCAUGGUAAUCUGAAUCUGUCCAUUCACAUGCGUUAUACCUGUUCUGUUAUGCUUAUGAUUGGACUACAAGCUUGUUUCCGUUGCUAUUUACUAUCUCAUGGCUAUUCUUUUCAGUGGACUCAAUUGCCAUUAGUCCCGUUCGAUAGAGGAAAGUCGAGUUCAUUUGAUUUUUCAGAUUCGAGGACGAAUCUUUUUGAGGAAGGGGGGAAUGAUACGAGUCACAAAAGCCCAAAUUCUUGAAGGCGAGGCCCAAUAAGCAAAUUCCCAGCCCAAUCAAGAAAUCCAUCCAUACUUAGUUGAAAAUCAGGCCAAAUUGUCAAAGUGGCCCAAGUUGUAAAGUAUUAUUUUUAUUUAUUUAUUUAUUUAUUUAUUUACUUAGUUUAAAUUUUUAUGUCAAUAUUCAGUCCAAGAGUCCCAGAUAAAAUGACCUUUGACCGAAUUUCCAUAUUAAAAUAAUUAGGAGUUUUUUUUAUUUUAGUUUUCUAAUUAGAUUAGGACUAGUUAUAAGGUCUAUUUAAAGGCAUGGCUGUCCACCUUGUAAAACACUUAUCAUUAUUAUUAAAAUUUCAGAUUUGAUUUGAGUGAAAAUUCUCUUUGAGUUCUUCAAGGAUUUUCUCUUGAGUUUUCUUUAGAAGUUGUUUUAACAAUCUUGUGAUUGUGGGAGCCAUCUUCAACCUUCUUCUUGCCAUUGAUAUUCUUUGGAGGGGAGAUUAGAGCCGUUUGAAGGGAGUUGUGAGAUCUUUCGAGAUUUCAAGGCUUCUUAGGACUUAUCUUUUAAUUUCUUACUGUCAAUUCUUUCUUUAUUUCUACUUGUGCUGAAUCAUUAUCUAAUCUAUUUUCUGUUCUUAUUGUGUUUUCAGCCUUUUUCUAUCUUAAGGAAUCAGCCCAAAAAUCCCCAAUUUCUAGGGUUUUUCUAUACUCUUUUUGGGUGAAAUUAGAUUGUCGAAAUUUGGGGAAAAUUAUCUUGGUGUUCAAUUGGGCAGAAUCACAAUCUCCUUGAGGGUUUCAAGAACCCUAACACUUAUUUCUAUUCUCUAUUUGAUUCUUUACUGUUUUGGGGAUUUUAUUUCAGAUCUGAAAAUUCAAAAAUCUAAUCUUUUAAUUUUCUGUUUCGUUUCAGAUCUAAUUGUUUAGGGUUUUCGUAGGAGUUUCCCGUGACUUGACAACUCGAUCUUGGUCCGCGCGCAACCCCGUAUCACUUAGUUUCUAAGUAAACAAUGAACUAAAAUUCAGCAUGAAUGCAAAAUUAUUAGCCCAUGUAGAUUCAGCUGAAUGAGAGCUCCAAUGGUCAUCUUCUAAAUGGGCAAAUGCACCUUGAACAUCUUGGAUGUGCAUGAAUAGGCUAGGUUCGGUCAAUGAACAUAAUGAGGUCAUUCAUGAAGCAACUAUUGCUGAAAAAUUACCAGCAUUAAUUGGCAAUUUGAACAGCCAUUUAGAAGUGUGAACGGAUGGUUUUGAAGGGCCAUGAGGUGUGAACAUGGCUGAACCGAAUAGCCAUAGUGUGAACAGCCUUUAUACUUCCUUGAGAAGAGAAUCGGCCAAUCUUGAAAGGAUGAAAAGCUUGGUCACUUUGGCUGAAUAGUUGCCUUGAAAAAAACUCCAAAAAUUAAUCAGCUUUAAUGCAUUAAAUCAGCUGCAAAUGCAUCUUCAAAUUCAUUGAAUCUCCAUGCAUGAAUCUGCCCAAUUCAUCUUCAAAUUCGGCUGCACCUAAAAACACACAUGAACUUAAUUAAUUUCAAGCAAAUUCAGCUGAACUAAAUUAAAGUAUAAUGUUGAUGUGAUCCAGCCCGGGUUAAUCGAGUCGUUUCACGUAAUUACCCGAUCGUCGACGAGGAAUAGUUGAGUUAUCAGAAAUAGGAUGGAAUAAGGCUAAAGAUGCAGAAGCUUUCAAAUGGUUUUUAAGGUUGGCUAAGGUGAUGGUAAAUUUAUAAGGAGUAGUAGGCUCGAUUUAAGGAUAAAAAUAAGAAAAAUGGAAGCUGGAAAAAUGAAUGCUCGGUUUUGUAAAAAGAUAUUAUAGUUGGGUAAAAUCUAGGAUAGUUGGUGGAAUGGAUAAAUGAGCUUAAACACCAGAAACGAUUCAACACUAAAAAGUGUCACCCCGAUUUCUAUUCAGUUCAAGGUGGGAUUACGGAAUUGUAGAAAGGUUGAACGCCACACCAAAGCAAGGUGAUAAGUUCAAAGGAGAACGAUAGACGCCACUAGCACGCUAGAUAAGUCAGAUCGAAACUCGUACGAAUUUAGAGAUGAGAAAACUCACUCUUUGAACAAAGUUCAUUCAAAUGAUCAAAAGUCAAAAGUCCUUUUACAAUGAAAAUGAACAACUAUUUAUAGUGUUCAGCUAGGUAGCCUAAUGGCCAAAACAAAGACUUAAUGUCUUAGUAAUUAAUUAGGCUAGAAAAUGCUAGAAAAUUUUGGAAAUAAAAAACUAAAUUGAUGGAGCUAAAUUCAGCUGAAUUUGGAGCUCAAGGGACGAUUUCUAGAAUAGCAAAUGCACUUGGAGAAAUGGCAGCAGCUAGGUUCAACCAAUUGAGCUUAAAUGAGCUCAUUAAAAUGUAAUUCUUGGCUGAAAAGAGACCAGCAUUAAAGGUGAACGUGAACAGCCUUGAAGGUAUGAAAAAGGAGUUGGAAAAGUCUUUGGAAGUGUGAACAAUGAUCAGCCAAAUGGUCCUUGGUGUGAACUCCAAAUGUGAACGCAUAGGUGCUGUUUUGGGAAGUGCAUCGGCCAGCUUUUGGAGAAUGAAUUUAGUUGCUCUUCUUGGCUGAAUAAACACCUUGAAUUAUCAUAAAAUGAGCCAUAUCCAUGAAUCCAACCAUUCAUGUAUUCAGCCAUUCAUGUAUACUCCCAUACGUUGUAUUGAACCAUUCAUGCACUUGGACUUUAAUGCUCCUUCAUGCAUUCAGCCAUCCUACAAGAAAAAAACAUGAACUAAAUUAAGUGCAAAUGUAUAUUCGGCUGAACUAAAUGGUAUUAAGACAAAUUAAAUAUAAUCCAGCCACCUAAUUAAAUUCGGCUAACACAACAUAAUUAUAACAUGUAAUAAGCUGACAAGUAAUUAAGAGCUGUAACUAAAUUAACUAAUUAACUUAAAUAAUUAAUUUAUUCCAGCAAAUAAAAUUAAUUUAGCUAAAGAGCUAAUAAUGAGCUGAAUUGAAUUUAAACCAAGCUCAAACGAGCUGAAUUAAGCUCAUGUGAGCCAAAAUAAAAUUUGGUGAGCUGAACCAAGCUAAAUGGAGCUUGAGGAGCUGAAUUCAAGCUGAAAUCAAGGGCGUCCUUGGCCAGGGUCGUAUCAAAUGUGAACAUCCUAUAUAACAUUGAGACAACUUAAAUAUUAACAAAUCAUAACACAUAAAUUCGGCUGGACAAAUUUAAAACAUGUAAUAAUUUAGACAAACUGAAUGACAACAAGACAUCUUUAAUUUAACUAAAUCAAGACAUAUUAAACACUUAAAUUAAUUAAGGCAUAUUUAAAAGCUGUAAUGAAACUUAUUUAAAUGCUUAUUUAAAUGGUCUAAAUUCCAGCAGCAAAUUAAUUAGCUAGAACAAAAUUCAGCUUCAAAGAAGUUGAAUAUGUUCAGCUCGUUUUUAAACUCCUUGCUAUCAUUUUCCUCAACCCGUUCCACCAUUGCUAAAAUAGCAUCUUUGAAUCGUUUAGCUCUAGCUCGCGUUAUUGGACCAAUUGAUACGAACUCGUCUCGUGAUGUUUUGAGUCGUAUGUGUUGCCCAAUCGUGAAUUGAGUAAGGAUGGAUUCGUUUCGGUUUUAAAAUGAAACAAAAUAGAGAUAAUGGCUUCAAACAAAGGUAUUAAACAAAACAAAUAGGAAACAAUAACAAAUUAAUUGGCUAAGAUCGAAAAUGAACCAACAAUAACGAAUUGUUGACCCGAAUCUCAAAAUGGUCUUUAGGUGUUUUUCGGUUAAAGGAAACAGGAAAGGAACCUUGACCCACUAUCAACUAUGAUAGGAACCAAAGGUAUAUUGAACGCCACACCAAAGGUGAUAAGUUCAGCAACAAAGAAAAGAUGGACGCCACAAGCUAUGCUUGAUAAGUCAAAUCAAUUCCGUAAGAACAAAGAGAAUUGAUAGCUCACAAUUCAAAUAUUUCAUCUAUAUUCAGCAAAAAGUUUUUUUCGUCUAUGGCUGAUUACAUCUAUUUAUAAUGCUAGAACAAGGUAACCGAAUGGUCAAAAACAUCCACUUAAUGUGCCAUAAGAAACUGAUGUCUUUUCUUAUUCUUUGAACCGAAUAACUCCUUCCAUAAAAACACUUUAAUUUAGCUGAUUUGAAUGUCUUUAAUGGCUUAGAAAAUGACUCUUGAGUUGUCCUUGGCUAGUUGAAUAGACACCAUCUCUUAACCAGCUCCUUAAUGACAUUCAAAGGCUUGAUUAAUUUCUCUUGAAAGCUCCAAAAAUGGCUAGAAGUGGAAGAGUUGCUGCUGAAUUUUAAAGGGCAUAAAAUGCGCUUUAAAAACUCCUUUAAUGAUUUUUAAGAUCCCUUUAUAACAAACCUUUUUAAUUGUAACUCAAAAGAACUUGAACAGCCACUUAAUUAAAUGUGUAACAACCUUGAAUUUAACCACUAUAAGCUAAAAAGUCACAUGCAAUAAACAAAUUAAAAUGAGUUUAUUAAACAAAUGAACACACUUAUUAAUCAUAACAAACAUUCAACUUACUUAAAUAAAUGAACUGAAACAUAUAUGCAAUAAUUAUUCCAGGAACUAGUUUAAUUAAAGAAGCAUAAUUUAAAAAAACUUAAUUUAUGCAUCAAUAAAUAAUCCUAGGAACUAGAUCAAUUAAGAACAACACUUAUUAAAUAAAGUUCAACAAAAACACUUAUUAAUUAAAACUAAGAUGAGUUGAAUAAAUGUCCAGCAACUCAUUUAUUAAACUAAGAUGCUUAAAUGCAUGGUUUUGAAAUGCAAAUUUAACUAACAUGAAAGUUACAUAAUUAAACUAACUUGACUUAAUUUAAUGAUGCAAACUUAACUAACAUGAAAGUUACAUAAUGCAUGACUUUAUUAAAUGCAGAACACAUAUUAAUGAUGUGCAAACUAUGACAUAAUUAAAACACAAACUAAAAUAACUAAAAAUUAAUGAAUCAAAGUCCUUAUUUUCCACCAGCCAUAUUGACAGACUAAAAUUAAAAACUUCAUUUUGCACUUGGGCCCCUCGAGUUUGGACCAAUCUCGGUAGCGUCGAGUUGUGUCGUAACAUGAUGCGACCGGGAUCGCAUCAUACCCUCCAUCUUGAAAAUGAUUUGUCCUCAAAUCGGGCCACUUGCUCGAGAAAAAAUUUUCAAGAUCAUGACCUCCUUUGUUCAUGAUCCGAACAGAAUUAUUUUCAAAAUUCUGAGAACCACAAAUGGCUCGGCUAGAAAGAAGGUCAUUUGCAUGCCAUCCCUCUUUAGAAGGGUACCACCUAACAUCGUCACCUACAAAACAAUAAAAUAAAUUAUUGACACAAUGAAGGUUAAACACAAAAGAACUUUCCAGGAUUUUAGUCACAACUUGAACAAAUAAACUCAAAAGAACAACACAUGCAUCAAUACUGGGAUCAAAAAUAGAAAUUGGUUUUACCUUUUUCUUCGAUGGAAACAAACCUGAUUCACAAGGUGAUACGAACUCGUCUCGUGAUGUUUUGAGUCGUAUGUGUUGCCCAAUCGUGAAUUGAGUAAGGAUGGAUUCGUUUCGGUUUUAAAAUGAAACAAAAUAGAGAUAAUGGCUUCAAACAAAAGUAAUAAACAAAAUAAAGAGGAAACAAUAACAAAUUAAUUGGCUAAGAUCGAAAAUGAACCAACAAUAACGAAUUGUUGACCCGAAUCUCAAAAUGGUCUUUAGGUGUUUUUUAGUUAAAGGAAUCAGGAAAGGAACCUUGACCCACUAUCAACUAUGAUAGGAACCAAAGGCAUAUUGAACGCCACACCAAAGGUGAUAAGUUCAGCAACAAAGAAAAGAUGGACGCCACAAGCAAUGCUUGAUAAGUCAAAUCAAUUCCGAAAGAACAAAGAGAAUUGGAUAGCUCACAAUUCAAAUAUUUCAUCUAUAUUCAGCAAAAAGUUCUUCUCUCUAUGGCUGAUUACAUCUAUUUAUAAUGCUAAAACAAGGUAACCGAAUGGUCAAAAACAUCCACUUAAUGUGCCAUAAAAACUGAUAUCUUUUCUUAUUCUUUGAACCAAAUAACUCCUUCCAUAAAAUCAGUUUAAUUCAGCUGAUUUGAAUGUCUUUAAUGGCUUAGAAAAUGACUCUUGAGUUGUCCUUGGCUAGUUGAAUAGACACCAUCUCUUAACCAGCUCCUUAAUGACAUUCAAAGGCUUGAUUAAUUUCUCUUGAAAGCUCCAAAAACGACUGGAAGUGGAAGAGUUGCUGCUGAAUUUUAAAGGGCAUAAAAUGCUCUUUAAAAACUCCUUUAAUGAUUUUUAAGCUCCCUUUAUAACAGCCCCUUUAAUUGUAACUCAAAAGAACUUGAACAGCCACUUAAUUAAAUGUGUAACAUCCUUGAAUUGUAACCACUAUAAGCUAAAAAGUCACCUGUAAUAAACACAUUAAAAUGAGUUUAUUAAACAAAUGAAAACACUUAUUAAUCAUAAUAAACAUUAAACUUACUUAAAUAAAUGAACUAAAACAUAUAUGCAAUAAUUAUUCCAGCAACUAGUUUAAUUAAAGAAGCAUAAUUUAAAAAAAACUUAAUUUAUGCAUCAAUAAAUAAUCCUAGGAACUAGAUCAAUUAAGAACAACACUUAUUAAAUAAAGUUCAACAAAAACACUUAUUAAUUAAAACUAAGAUGAGUUGAAUAAAUGUCCAACAACUCAUUUAUUAAACUAAGAUGCUUAAAUGCAUGGUUUUGAAAUGCAAAUUUAACUAACAUGAAAGUUACAUAAUUAAACUAACUUGACUUAAUUUAAUGAUGCAAACUUAACUAACAUGAAAGUUACAUCAUGCAUGACUUUAUUAAAUGCAGAACACAUAUUAAUGAUGUGCAAACUAUGACAUAAUUAAAAACACAAACUAAAAUAACUAAAAAUUAAUGAAUCAAAGUCCUUAUUUUCCACCAGCCAAAUUGACAAACUAAAAUUAAAAACUUUAUUUUGCACUUGGGCCCCUCGAGUUUGGACCAAUCUCGGUAGCGUCGAGUUGUGUCGUAACAUGAUGCGACCGGGAUCGCAUCAUACCCUCCCUCUUGAAAAUGAUUUGUCCUCAAAUCGGGCCACUUGCUCGAGAAAAAGUUUUCAAGAUCAUGACCCCCUUUGUUCAUGAUCCGGAAAGAAUUAUUUUCAAAAUUCUGAGAACCACAAAUGGCUCGGUAAGAAAGAAGGUCAUUUGCAUGCCAUCCCUCUUUAGAAGGGUACCACCUAAGAUCGUCACCUACAAAACAAUAAAACAAAUUAGUGACACAAUGAAGGUUAAACACAAAAGAACUUUCCAGGAUUUUAGUCACAACUUGAACAAAUAAACUCAAAAGAACAACACAUGAAUCAAUACAGGGAUCAAAAGCAGAAAUUGGUUUUACCUUUUUCUUCGAUGGGAACAAACCUGAUUCACAAGGUAUUUGAAGAUUAUAGUUUUGAAAAUUAGAAUUCCAUGGUCCAAAUCCCUUUAACAAUGAUAUGGAACAACAUUCACCGGGAUCAAAGAUAAAGUUUUUGUUCACCAUUUCAAUUUGACCAGAAAAAUUUAUGGCUAGUAACUUAUGAAGAACUUGAAGCACAUUAAAGUUAAAAUCAUGCAACACAUGUUUGAAUCCAUUAAGCAACAAUAUACAACAACCUCCAGAAUCAAAAAUUUGAUUUUAACUUGGCAAGCCAACGAAAUUCAUAUGUUUGGUUUUCGAACUAAAUAAAGAUAAAACUUGAAGCAAAUAGAAGGGGUCAACACAUUGAUUCAAAAUACAAUUUUGAUACUCACCUUCGCUUGACGUCAACUUAGGAAUACAGGCUCCGGGUUUAAAAACAUGGUUUUGAUCGGUCGUUCCGUAACGUAACAAAAACUUCACUUUCACCAAGACAUCACACAUGCCAAAUAAAGAAGAUGUAGGGAAAAAUAAAUUCAAACAAUCAAAUCUCUAAAAUCUCAUGCAAAUAUACGAAGAUUUCACACUAAAAAGUUAAAAAAUUUUCAUUACCAUCACGAUCAAACAGAUUGAGCGUUUCACAUGAAAGUUCUUUAUCAAACAUGAUUAGAUUUUGUAUUUGUGGAUUUAAUCGAACAACAUCAAAAGAUUUUUCAACACAAAACUUAUUGAGUGAACAACUCUUCAUGCCUCCACUUAAAACAAAUUUAUCAACCAUAAAUAGCGAGUAACAAUUAACCAAAUCAAAAUAAGGAGAUCUUUUUAAAACUAGGUUAUCGAAAAUUUUAUCAACAACUUUCAAACCUGAUUGCCAUGAUUCAUUGACUAAAAACUCCUUACCUUGCUUACCUUUAAGCACUUGAACAUUACCUUUUUCGAUCAAAUGGAAUCGUCUCUCAUCAGGAAGGUAAUGAAGUUGAAACUUGUCAUUUGAAUCUCUAGAAACCUGGAAAGAAGAAACAAUACGAGGACAACUUGCAGAUUGGUUAGUAAAAACAUUCCUCGCUUUUUCUUGUUGACUUUCAUCUUUUCCACUCGUUUCUUUUUCAACUUCUCUUUCUUUUUCCACAAUCUCUUUGUUUGUUGAAAACUCACUUUCACUCAUCAAUUCUCUUUCAUUUUCAACAACACUUGUUUCUCGCACUCUUUCUUUUCUUUCUCCAAUCUUUUUCUCUUUUUCAAUUUUUGUUUCUUUUUCGGUUUCUUUUUCUCUCGUCACUCUUUUUCUUCUCUCAACUUUAUUACAAAAUGGCGAUAAUACAAAAGAAUCAGAACAAUAGACUUUUCAUUGGAAAGAAGUGGAAGAAUCUUCAUAAGAGUCACGAUCAACUCUUCGUGAAUAAACCUCCAUGGAUGAGUUCUUAUACGAGACACAUUCACUUCUUCGUAAGGAUUUUUUCGUAGAUGAAUACUUUGUUGCAUACGAAGAAUGACUUGUGCUUUCUCGUUCGUUACCUUGAUAGGCUUCAAACUUGUAGCUGGAUUUAUUUCGGCCUAAAUUCCUUGAAGAAUAGGAAUCUGGAUAAGGGUCUCUUUUCACAUAUUCGUCGAAUGUUUGUCUCCUUGAUGAUCUCAUUUUCGUCCUUUCAUUUGGAUAAAUUUUCUCCCGUUGGGUUCUUGCUCGAUGACUCCGCUCUUUGACACGAUCCAAUCGUUUCUUGAUGGGUUUGAGUUUUUGAUCAAAUAGAUGCUCCAUUUCAUGUGUCUUGGAGUGUAAAAUCUGGCACACUUCCUCCAACAAUUCUUACAGGACGGAAUCCAACUCCCUUGUCUGAAUUUUUUUCCAGACUUCGUGACAUUUUUUAAAGAACUCACAACAAAGAAAAUAUCACUAUCCACUCACAAAGAAAUCUCACUUCCUUGGCUUUUUUUUCUCUCGAAUAAACUCACUACUCUCUUGCCUCUUUCCACUCACUCCUCCUCUCUAAGUUCUUAGGAAUUAUUUAAACUUAAUAGGCAGUUGCUGCGGGUCAGCUUACAAACUUGAUGUUUAGGCUUGGAAAGAAUAUUGUAGGACAAAGGAAAGUAGGCUUGAAAUAAAGAAAUGUAAAUGUUUGGGUGUGGCGAAAUAGUAUAAGGUAGUAAUGACUAAAAUUUGGGCAAUAAACAACAACAAAAUUUCAAAACUAGCUUCUUCUUCUUUUUUCACGAAAUUUUUUUUUCACAAAUUUUUUUUUCAAAAUUUUUUUUCACAACUUGAUAUCCAAUCUUUUAAGUUUGAAUGGAAACUAGUUUUUUUUUCAAAUUUUUUUUUAAAAUUUUUUUUCGAGUUUUUUUUCAAGAAACUACUAUACCGUAAUGCCGACAACGUCGAUUCUUACUCCAAAUUCGCUAGCUCUGAUACCAAUUUUGAUACGAGUCACAAAGGCCCAAUCCAAGCUUAAGAAGGUGAUGGGCUCAAAUCAAGAAAAUCAAGAUUCACUUUCUUGUUUUCAAGAAAAUCAAGAAAUCGAAUCUUGGCCCAAUUUUGCUGUUCGGAGCGAUUUCAAGAAUCAAGAAAAUCAAGAUUUCAAAUCUUGGAAAUCUUGGUCCAAGAAACUGAAUCUUGUAGCCAAAGCACGUUGGAUCUCCAUUACGAGCGUCAACGACCCAAUUUCGAUAGGAAAUGGAUCACAAGCCCAAAUUCUUAAAGGCGAGGCCCAAUAAGAAAAUUCCCAGCCCAAUCAAGAAAUCCAUACAUAUUUAGUUGAAAAUCAGGCCAAAAUGUCAAAGGGCCCAAUUUGUAAACAUUUUAGUUGUUUAAGUUAAUUUUUUAACUUUUAGGAAUAUCACAUGUUAAAUUAGGCCCAAAACAGCCCAAUAGGAUGCAUGGCCGAAUUUUCCUUUGUUUUUUUUAAUUAAGUUUAAAUUUUUAAGUUUUCUAAUUAGAUAGGAUUUGUUGGAGGCCUAUAUAAGCAUUGGCCAGCCAUCCUUUGUAAACAUCUUAUUACUAUUUUUCUAUCAAAUUUUAGAUUUGUUGAGUGCAGAAUUUUCUUUGGGGUUUUCUCCAAGAAUUCUCUCUUGGGUUUUCUUUAGAAGUUGUUUUAACAAUCUUUGGAUUGUGGGAGCCAUCUUCAACCUUCUUCUUGCCACUGAUAUUCGUUGGAGGGGAGAUUAGAGCCGUUUGAAGAGAUUUGUGAAAUCUUUCGGGAUUUCAAGGAUCUUUAGGACUUCAAUUUACUUUCUUACUGUUCAUUCUUUUCUUUUAAAUUCUGUUUAUGCCGAUUCUUUUGAUCUAACUUGUUUAUUCUUCUUGUGAAUUUCCAGCCAUCUUUAUUACUCAAAAAGAUCGAUCGGUACUCAUUCUUGGUAGCCAAAUUCGACUAAACUUAUCUUUUCCAAUUAAUCUUGUCGAAUUCUUCUUGUCAAAACUGAUCGUUUUAGGUUGCUGGAAUUUCGGGAAAAAUCAAGUUGCUGGAAUUUGGGGCUUUAUUCAUCGGUUUAGUUCUUGGACAGAUUCGGCUUGUUGAAAAUCAAUCUUGGAGAUCGAUUUCGUGUUUUUGCAUUCCGAAAACAUCUAUUCAUAAGAUCUUUGAUUCUUGGCUGUUCUUGAUUGUUUUGGGGAUCUUAAUUUCCAGAUCUGAUUUGUUUUUUUAUCUUAUUCUUUGUUUUGAUUUCAGAUCUGUUCGAUUAGAGCUUUCGUAGGAGUUUCUCGUGACUUGACAACUCGAUCUUGGUCCGCACGCAACCCCAUAUCAAAUUUGAUACGAACUCGUCUCGUGAUGUUUUGAGUCGUAUGUGUUGCCCAAUCGUGAAUUGAGUAAGGAUGGAUUCGUUUCGGUUUUAAAAUGAAACAAAAUAGAGAUAAUGGCUUCAAAAAAAGGUAAUAAACAAAAUAAAGAGGAAACAAUAACAAAUUAAUUGGCUAAGAUCGAAAAUGAACCAACAAUAACGAAUUGUUGACCCAAAUCUCAAAAUGGUCUUUAGGUGUUUUUCAGUUAAAGGAAUCAGGAAAGGAACCUUGACCCACUAUCAACUAUAAUAGGAACCAAAGGUAUAUUGAAUGCCACACCAAAGGUGAUAAGUUCAGCAACAAAGAAAAGAUGGACGCCACAAGCUAUGCUUGAUAAGUCAAAUCAAUUCCGUAAGAACAAAGAGAAUUGGAUAGCUCACAAUUCAAAUAUUUCAUCUAUAUUUAGCAAAAAAAAAUUUUUCGUCUAUGGCUGAUUACAUCUAUUUAUAAUGCUAGAACAAGGUAACCGAAUGGUCAAAAACAUCCACUUAAUGUGCCAUAAAAAACUGAUGUCUUUUCUUAUUCUUUGAAUCGAAUAACUCCUUCCAUAAAAACACUUUAAUUCAGCUGAUUUGAAUGACUUUAAUGGCUUAGAAAAAGACUCUUAAGUUGUCCUUGUGAUACGAGUCAUAAAGGCCCAAUCCAAGUUCAAGAACGUGAUGGGCUCAAAUUGCCACAAGGCCCAAUAACGAGAUCAAAGGCCUGACAAAUGCGGUCCAAACUAAAUGGGACCAUUCAAGAGCUUGUUAGCAAGGCCUUAGAUGCAUACACGAGACAACAAGAAAAUCAAGAUUCACGUUCUUAUUUUCAAGAAACCGAAUCUUGGCCCAAUUUUGCUGUUCGAAGAGAUUUCAAGAAUCAAGAAAAUCAAGAUUUCAAAUCUUGGAAAUCUUGGUCCAAGAAACCAAAUCUUGCAGCCAAAACGCUUUGGAUCUCCAUUACGAGCGUCAACGACCCAAUUUUGGUAGGAGAUGAAUCACGAGCCCAAAUUCUUGAAGGCGAGGCCCAAUAACCAAAAUCCAGCCCAAUGAAGAAAUUUCUUUAUACUUAGUUGAAAAUCAGGCCAAAAUGUCAAAGGGCCCAAUUUGUAAACAUCUUACUUGUUUAAUUUAAUUUUUUAAUCUUUAGGAGCAUUACAUGUAAAAUUCAGCCCAAAACAGCCCAUAUAAGUGCAUGGCCGAAUUUACCUUGUUAUUUUAUUAAUUAGGUUUAAUUUUUUAUUAGUUACUUGUGAGAUUAGGAUUUGUUGGAGGCCUAUAUAAGCAUUGGCCUGCCACCCUUUGUAAACACAUCUUAUUAUUAUUUUUUCUAUCAAAUUUCAGAUUUGUUGAGUGCAGAAUUUUCUUUGGGGUUUUCUCCAAGAAUUCUCUCUUGAGUUUUCUUUAGAAGUUGUUUUAAUAAUCUUUUGAUUGUGGGAGCCAUCUUCAACCUUCUUCUUGCCAUCGAUAUUCUUUGGAGGGGAGAUUAGAGCCGUUUGAAGAGAUUUGUGAAAUCUUUCGAGAUUUCAAGGAUCUUUAGGACUUAUCCUUUAAUUCUUGCUGUUUUCGAUUUCUUUCUUUACUUUUCUUUGCUUAUACUUGUGCCGAUUUCUCAUCUAAUAUUUUGCUGUUCUUGUUUGUUUUCCAGCAUUGAUUAAACUCAAGAUCUCAUCGUUUAAGUUGUUCUCCUAUUGGCAGCACCCAUUCGAACCCAAAAAUCCCCAAUUCCUAGGGUUUGGCCGAUUGGAUUUCUUUCAAUUUGGGAAUCAAUUGAUUACUGGAAAUUGGGCAUUCUUGGCCGAAUCAAUUUGUUGACCGAUUCGCAAUCUUUCUAUACUUCCAAUUUCGUUUGAUUCAUCUAUUCUAUUUCUUUGUUUCUUGCUGCUCCUUUAAUUGAAUUUGGGGAUUUAAUUUCAGGUCUGAUUAGUUUAAUCUUGUUAUUUGUUUUAAUUUUCAGAUCUAUUCGUUUAGAGCUUUCGUAGGAGUUUCCCGUGACUUGGCAAUUUGAUCUUGGUCCGCGUGCAACCCUAUAUCAUUUGGUAUCAGAUUUUGGGCGUUUUGGGUGUUUUUGGUUAAUUUCUAAAUUGAUCUCUAUUUUUUAAAGCAUAAACAGCAGUUUUACCCAGAAAAAUUGUUCAAAAAAAUUCAUUUGAGUGGGUAAACGUUGUCCGAUUGAUCUAAAAUUUUACAUACAUGUUUUUCGAACUUUUAUUGAAUAUAAAAAAUUAUUCCCGCAAAAAAAUCAGUCAAAAAAGUCAAAAAAAAUCAAAAAAUACGAAAUUCAAUAAAAAUUUUAAAAAAGAUUCAGCGGGUUGAAUUUGGUGCCCAAAAUUUCCAGAUCAAAAAUUCAAUAUUUAAGGAUAUUCCAGAUUUAAUUUUGUGAUUUUUAGAGAUCAGGAACACCUCGAACGAAGUUGUCAAGUUACUCUACAGUUUUUCGGGUUUUCUAUUUUCAGCAAUUUUUAUUGAUUCUUAGCUGUAGGUUUUCAUUUGUUUGCUUUUAUUAUUCCGUUACAUUAUCUAACACCUUCUUGUUUCUUGUGUUAGUAGGAUUUACACGUGUGCACAACUCCUUCCUCGGUGCAACACGAAUCACUUGGUGUCUCGUCAGUUUUUGGCAUCCUAGUGCAAAUUAGGAUUCUUUGGUAGUUUGGUUCACACUCUCUAAUUGGUUGAUAUAAACUCUGAUAAAAAACUCACAAGAUUGAAUUCGACCUCAUUGAGAAUUUGAUUUUUUCUUUUUGAGUGAUUAACGGUGAGGUUUGAUAACUUUUAUUUUUGAGUGUUGAGUGUUUUGCAGGUUUAAAAAAAAUGUCUACAGGUGAUAAUAAUAGUGACAUAUUUAAAAAAUUCCAACAACAGUUGGAUGAACAGGCUGCUGCUCUUCAAGCUUUGACUGCUACCAUCAAUGAGGUGCGAUUGAAUCAAGAACCUCAAUAUCGAGAUCCAAUCAAAGAAGAUAGGGAUAACCAACCCCAGAGGCGCGGCCCUCGACGUGUCACUAGAAUGGAUGAUGAUUUUCAUGAUCGUGGGCAACCUUCUUUGGCAAAACCGAAAUUCACAAUUCCCCAAUUUCGUGGUAAGAAUGAUCCUGACGCUUAUUGUGAAUGGGAAUCUAAGAUUGAACUUAUGUUUCGAUAUUAUAAAUGUCCGAAUGAUGAAAAGGUAGCGUUAGCAACACUGGAAUUUUCUGAUUAUGCAUUAAGUUGGUGGACUCAACUUGGGGUAAACCGCCAUCGAAAUUAUGAAGGUGAGAUUUCGACAUGGGAUGAGUUGAAACAGAUUAUGCGUAAAAGGUUUAUUCCACCUCACUACUAUAGAGAAAUUAAAACAAAGCUGAGAAGACUUAUCCAAGGUAGUAGGACAGUGGAUGAAUAUUUUAAAAAGAUAGAGAUGCUCAUUCAGAGAGCUAAUGUGGAGGAGGAUGAAGAAACAACUAUGGUUCGAUUUAUUGAUGGUUUGAACAGGCCGAUAGCUAAUACAUUGAGGCUACAAACUUACAAUGAUUUGGAAGAAGCAGUUCAUAAAGCCAUUGAGAUCAAGCAACAACUAAAGGAACAAAGGUUUGGUUCCUUCUCGACUUCGCAAUAUUACCGAGGUAACAAUUCUAAUUCUGAUUUUAAGAGCUCAAAAUCACCUUUCGUUACUAACAAGUCUUCUUUGAGUAAUGGAAGCAACAGAUUGGAAAAAAGGGGCUCCUGUUAAAACGCAAACACCUUCUAAGCAGCCCAAUUUAGGAGAUUCGAGUGCGAAGAGGACUCGUGAGAUUGAGUGCUUUAAGUGCAAAGGGCGUGGUCAUUAUAGUAGGGAAUGCCCUAACACGAGAUUACUUUUUUUGAAAGAUAAUGGUGAGUACACUUCCGACUCUGAUAAAAUAGAUCCAGAUAUGCCAGAACUUGUGGAUGACAGUGAUAAUGGGGAAGAGUUGGUCGAACCACCAAAAGAAGGGGACUUUGCUAAUUUCCAUUGCUUUGUAGUUCGCCGAACCCUUAACAUUCAGAUGAAAGAUGAUGAGAGCCAAAGGACCAAUAUUUUCCAUUCUCGGUGUUUUAUUAAAGGUAACUUAUGUUCACUCAUUAUUGAUAGUGGGAGUUGCUCGAAUGUAGUGAGUAGUUAUUUGGUGGAUUCUUUAAAGUUGCCUUGUACCAAACACCCUAAGCCAUAUCACCUUCAAUGGCUUAAUGAAUGUUCCGAAAUAAAAGUUACAAAACAGUCCUUGGUCACUUUUAAGCUCGGCAAUUAUGAAGAUGAAGUUUGGUGUGAUGUGGUCCCAAUGCAUGCGGCACACUUGCUCCUUGGACGACCUUGGCAAUUUGAUCGUGAUGUUACACACCAAGGUAAACUUAAUCGAUACUCCCUUGUAUUUAAAGGUAAGAAAUUCACUUUUGCUCCUUUAAAUCCCACUGAUGUAUACAAAGAUCAAUUGAAGAUGAUGAAAUUUUGUGAGGGGGUAAGGGAGAAAGGGCAAGAACAAAAGACAAAAAGAAAAGAGGCUAGUAGUGAAAAAAGUCACAAUUUAAAAAGCCCAAAGGUGAGUGAAUCCUCAAGUGGUAAAAUGAGUGAAAAAAAUCUUUUGGCAACAAAAAAAGAUGUGAGGAGAGCCCUACUCAAUAAACAGCCUUGUAUCCUUGUGAGGUUUAGGUAAAAUUAUUUAUCUUUAUCUAACGUUAACGAAAAUUUUCCUAGUAUGUUUCAAUCUCUUUUGCAGGAUUAUGAGGAUGUUUUUAGUGAGGCCCCUAAAGGUUUACCACCUUUACGAGGGAUUGAACAUCAAAUUGACUUAGUACCCGGAGCUUCGAUUCCUAAUCGACCAGCCUAUAGAUGCAAUCCCGAGGAGACAAAGGAAUUGCAAAGGCAAGUUGAAGAGUUACUAGACAAAGGGUACAUUCGUGAAAGCCUAAGCCCUUGUGCUGUUCCUGUCCUAUUGGUGCCAAAGAAAGAUGGUACGUUUCGUAUGUGUGUUGAUUGUCGCCCAAUCAACAAGAUAACGGUAAAGUAUCGACACCCAAUUCCUCAACUUGAUGAUAUGCUUGACGAAUUACAUGGUUCAAUAAUAUUUACAAAAAUUGAUCUAAAAAGCGGUUAUCAUCAAAUUUGAAUGAGGGAAGGGGAUGAAUGGAAAACAGCCUUUAAAACAAAAUUUGGAUUGUAUGAAUGGUUAGUUAUGCCUUUCGGCCUUACUAAUGCACCUAGUACAUUUAUGAGAUUAAUGAAUCAUGUUUUGAGGCUACAUUUGUGUAAAUUUGUAGUAGUUUACUUUGAUGAUAUUUUAAUUUACUCAAAGUCAUUAGAUGAUCAUGUUUUCCAUGUUCGAACCGUUUUGGAUAUUCUACGAACUGAAAGAUUAUUUGCCAACCUUGAUAAAUGCACAUUCUGUUGUGAUAAACUAAUAUUCUUAGGUUUCAUAGUUAGUGCUCAAGGUAUUCAUGUCGACGAGGACAAAGUUACGGCAAUUAAGGAGUGGCCGACUCCUAAAUCGGUAACUGAGGUGAGAUCUUUCCAUGGUUUAGCCAGUUUUUAUAGACGAUUUGUGAAAGAUUUCUCUACUAUUGUUGCUCCAUUGACUGAAGUUAUAAAGAAAUCAGUGGGUUUCAGAUGGGGUGAAACCCAAGAAAAAGCUUUUCAAACUCUAAAAGCUAAGUUAUGUUCUGCCCCUUUGCUUAAAUUACCUGAUUUUGCUAAAACUUUUAAACUUGAGUGUGAUGCUUCAGGAAUUGGAAUCGGCACCGUUUUAAUGCAAGAUAAGCAACCUAUUGCUUAUUUUAGUGAGAAAUUGAACGGUGCACAGUUAAAUUACUCGACUUAUGACAAAGAACUAUUGGCAUUAGUUCGUGCACUUCAAGUAUGACAACAUUAUUUGCUGCCUAAUGAGUUUGUCAUACAUACAGAUCAUGAGUCUUUUAAAUGGUUAAAGGGACAAGGUAAGUUGAGUAAAAGACAUGCCCGAUCGGUAGAAUUCAUUGAAACAUUCCCUUAUGUGAUUCAAUAUAAAACAGGUAAAGAUAAUGUAGUCGCAGAUGCUUCGUCUAGACGAUAUACUUUAAUAACUACAUUGAAUGCUAAAGUCUUAGGGUUUGAACAUAUUAAAGAGUUAUAUGAUGAUGAUACUGAUUUCAGCCAUAUCUAUAAGAAUUGUGGACAUACUGCUUUUGAAAAAUUUUAUCUUGUAGAUGGCUUUCUUUUUCGUUUAAAUAGGUUAUGCAUACCAAAGUGUUCCAUGAGAGAAUUGUUGAUUCAUGAGGCCCAUAGUGGGGGAUUAAUGGGACAUUUUGGAGUGGCCAAAACACUAGACAUAUUCCAAGAACACUUCCAUUGGCCACAUAUGAAGAAGGAUGUCGAAAAGGUAUGUUCCAAGUGCAUUACAUGCAAACAAGCAAAAUCUAAGGUAAUGCCUCAUGGCCUUUACACUCCUCUACCGAUUCCUGCUUCACCUUGGGUAGAUUUAUCCAUGGAUUUUAUGAUAUGAGUCACAAAAGCCCAAAUUCUUGAAGGCGAGGCCCAAUAAGCAAAUUCCCAGCCCAAUCAAGAAAUCCAUCCAUACUUAGUUGAAAAUCAGGCCAAAUUGUCAAAGUGGCCCAAGUUGUAAAGUUUUAUUUUUAUUUAUUUAUUUAUUUAUUUACUUAGUUUAAAUUUUUAUGUCAAUAUUCAGUCCAAGAGUCCCAGAUAAAAUGACCUUUGACCAAAUUUCCAUAUUAAAAUAAUUAGGAGGUUUUUAUUUAUUUUAGUUUUCUAAUUAGAUUAGGACUAGUUAUAAGGCCUAUUUAAAGGCAUGGCUGUCCACCUUGUUAAACACUUAUCAUUAUUAUUAAAAUUUCAGAUUUGUUGAGAGCAGAAUUUUCUUUGAGUUUUCUCCAAGAUUUCUCUCUUGAGUUUUCUUUAGAAGUUGUUUUAACAAUCUUGUGAUUGUGGGAGCCAUCUUCAACCUUCUUCUUGCCAUUGAUAUUCUUUGGAGGGGAGAUUAGAGCCGUUUGAAGGGAGUUGUGAGAUCUUUCGAGAUUUCAAGGCUUCUUAGGACUUAUCUUUUAAUUUCUUACUGUCAAUUCUUUCUUUAUUUCUACUUGUGCUGAAUCAUUAUCUAAUCUAUUUUCUGUUCUUAUUGUGUUUUCAGUUUUUUUCUAUCUUAAGGAAUUAGCCCAAAAAUCCCCAAUUUCUAGGGUUUUUCCAUACUCUUUUUGGGUGAAAUUAGAUUGUCAAAAUUUGGGGAAAACUAUCUUGAUGUUCAAUUGGGCAGAAUCACAAUCUCCUUGAGGGUUUCAAGAACCCUAACACUUAUUUCUAUUCUCAAUUUGAUACUUUGCUGAUUUGGGGAUUUUAUUUCAGAUUUGGAAAUUCAAAGUUCUAAUCUUUUAAUUUUUCUGUUUCGUUUCAGAUCUGAUUGUUUAGGGUUUUCGUAGGAGUUUCCCGUGACUUGGCAACUCGAUCUUGGUCCGCGCGCAACCCCGUAUCAUUUGGUAUCAGAUUUUGGGCGUUUUGGGUGUUCUUGGUUGAUUUCUAAACUGAUCUCUAUUUUUUAAAUUACAAAUAGCAGUUUUACCCAGAAAAAUUUUCGAAAAAAAUUCAUUUGAGUGGGUAAACGUUUUCUGAUUGAUCUGAAAUUUUACAUAUAUAUUUUUGGCACUGUUAUUGAAUAUACAAAAAUAUUUCCCGCAAAAAAAUAAGUCAAAAAAGUCAAAAAAUUGAAAAAAGAAGAAAUCAAAUAAAAAAUUAAAAAAAUAUUCAGCGGGCUGAAUUUGGUGCCCAAAUUUUCCAGAUCAAAAAUUAAAUAUUUGACGACAUUCCAGAUUUAAUUUUGUGAUUUUUUGAGAUCGGGAACACCUCGAACGAAGUUGUCAAGUUACUCCACAGUUUUUCGAGUUUUCUGUUUUCAACAAUUUUUAUUGAUUCUUAGCUGUAGGUUUUCAUUUGUUUGCUUUUUAUU